rnacentral:lncRNA from 1 species
AGAUAUCUUUGAGACAUAUUCUGUUAAGGUACAUCAAUGUAGCCCUUCUUUGUGUUCAAGAAAGUGCAGAUGAUAGGCCCACCAUGUCCGAUGUUGUCUCCAUGCUUGUCAAGGAAAAUGUACUUUUAUCUUCUCCAAAUGAGCCGGCCUUCUUAAAUCUAUCGAGUAUGAAACCACAUGCAUCUCAAGAUAGGCUUGAAAUUUGUUCCUUAAAUGAUGUAACACUUUCAAGCAUGGGAGCACGAUAAGUGUUCUAAAUUUCAGAUUGCAUAUGCUUAAAUGUCUUCAGCAUAUUGUCUAGUAUUAUUAUUGGCCAUCAAGUGGAUUGUUGAUGUACUGAACGUGUGAACUUUUGUAUGUAUUUUUCUUUCAAUGCAGUUCAAUAAUGUGCUUAAUUUUACUCAAUCCUCAAGGAUUCAGACCUGUAUCUCAUCUUCCCAUCUGUAAUUGCUACUGAAUCUGCUUUUAUGCAUUGCCAAUCCAGACACUAAAAUACAACCCUCAGAGCUUACUGCAAAUGUUCAACUAGUGCUAGGAAAGACGAGCUUUUGCGCAUGCUACAGCUAAGCAUAAGUACUAAUUAACAUAUAGGCAAGAGGGAAAGUGAGGAAGGAAAGCAGCUAUAGAUUUUUUUGCCUUUUAAACUGUGAUAGCAUCUAGCAUUUUUUUUAAGAGAAGAAAUAGUAUAAUUUAAUUGAGUACUCGUAAAACCUUCUUUUCUUAUUGGACAUGGUUUCAAUAAAACCCAUUUGGUUGCCAAGAAAUCUGAGGAAAUUCAGGAUGUGGAUGGGGAAUUUGAAGUCUACCUUCGUCCCUAUAGCUUAAAAUGAAAAGGCAUAGUUACAAACUAAGCUUACAUUCUGGCAGAAACGUAUAUAUUCCCUAUUGGGGCUUGCAGUAGGAGAUUGACCUGGAAGCCAACCAGAAAAGACAUGCAUCUAUGAUUAAAAGGAGCUCAUGCUCACAAGAAACUUUCUCUCUAUCCAAUGUGGGAUAUGACACCCUGAAGUAUGAAUAUCACUACUUACUAUUGCUAGCUAUGGACAAGGAAAAAAAAACAAGAGAAGGAAAAAAAACGAAAGGAGGAAUAAGCAAAAUGAUGUCCAAGGAUUCAAAAUUGUUUACAGUAAUUGGCCAGAAGCUAGAUCAAUUUCAUGAAAAUAUUUAAUUCCCCAAAAUUAAGAGUAAGUUUUUCCCAACAAAAUUGUUAUUUUUUUAAUUCCCUUAAUCCUAUGGGUUCAAGAACAAGCCGAGUCCAGUACGACUCGGCCGAGUCGGAUAGACUCAUACUCAAUCAGGAAUCGCUUAAACUCGGUUAACUCAACGGAGAUUCCGAGUUGACUCGGUUGAACCGUUCGUGUUAACAAAAGAAAUCGUUUUUUCACUUUCGAAUCUCAGCAGAGGAACAACAAACGAGAUGUAAACCUAAAAAACCUCUGAAAAAUCAAAGAUUGUCUUCAAAAGGAAAAGUUUCUCAACAACCAUGAUGAAGAGGAAGAAAGACAUCAGUCUAACCCAUGACUGAGUCUUGGAGGUGCACAAGAAGAAGAGGUUGAGGUAUUACUAACUUCAGAACAAUCAUGGAUGUGGAGCGCCUUCGAUGGUCCCGGUGUGGUAACUGGUGUGAUGAGAAGAUUCCCUCCAUUGACGUGAGCGGCCAUCGCUGCAUCUGGUCUCUCCUCUCUCUAAUUUUGGUCUCAGUUCUCGCCUGCUUCUGUCUGCCUCCCUCCCUCCCUCUCUCUCUCUCUCUCUCCCUGGUACGGGUGAGUUAGUGAUUUGAAGAAAGGGUGGCAAUCGGUGCCAGAAAAUUGGGGAUUUGAAGACAGGGUGGUCAAUGUUUUAAUAUCAAAAUUAUUUAUAAUUGUAUAUGUUAAUAUUAGGUAAUAUAGUAUCAAAUUUUAUAGUCUUUGUUUUUUUUUAUGAUAAUAAUUUAUUAUUUUAUAUAUUAAUGGUGUGAUAUAAAUUAUAUUAGCUUAAGUAAAGUAUUAUUUUAUAUGGCAAUGAUAGCAUAUUUGAUGUAUUAAUUUAUUAUUAACAAUAUAUUCAAGUCAUUUACUAUAUUAUUAUAUUAACAUAUUAAAAUCAUUUAAUUAAUAAUAUAUACUUUGUUUAAUAAAUAUAAUUUUAUAUUAUAUUUAAACAUAAAGUGUUGUAAUCAUUUAAUCAAAAAUAAAAAUAAAAUUAAUGAUUGAAUUAUAUGUCUUUUAGUAAAAAUAUCAUUAUAGUUGAAAUAAAAUAAUUUUCAAUUCUUAACAUUAUCAUAAAUUGUUUUUGUGGAGACUUUAUAACUAUUUAAAUAAUAUUAAAUAUGAGAAAAUUUUAUUUUAUAAUUUUUUAGCUUAUUUAAUUAUAUUUGUUUUUCUAAAAAAUUUCAAAAUAUUUUUGUAAUUUUAAAAUUUUUUAGUUAUCUUAUUUUGCAUACUGCUCUAUACCAAGUCGAGAUGUUGAGACCGUUAUGCCUUGGGACCCUCCAAAUUAAUGAUUGAUAUCGUCACUUCAAUUAUAUGAAUAUAAAAAAUAAAUAUGUAAAGAAAUACCAUAAGACAUAAUAAUAGUAUUUUAAAAUAUUUUUAGCAUAUUGAUAUAUAUAUAUAUAAUUAUUUAAUAGUUAUUAAUUAUAUUUAAUGGUUUAAAAUAUUUUUUAGUUUUUAAUUACUAUAUUUUAUGUAUCAAUCAAUAUCGCACUGACAUCUUAGAUUUAAAUAACGAAAAUAGUAUCAAUUUUUGAAAAAAAAAAAAAAAAAAAAGGAAAUGGUCUUUUAAGGUUAAAGUAUGAAUCUUUAGGUUUAGAUGUUCCCAAACCUUCAAUUCUAAGUGUUGAAGACGACUUCGAAGUUGUUGGAAGUCUUGUAAAUCUACGAUUUUCUAUCUGAUGAUUUAAACCUUGAUCUUAAUGCACUUUUAGUGGAGAUCGAUGGAAGAAAGGGUGGAAACUAUGAGUCUUUCUCUUUGAAGGUGGAAGAUGACUUUCUAGAAAAAGUUAUGGAAACUUUAACCCCAAGAUCGAUGUACCUUAAGACCUUUCAAGUCAAUGACCCAUAACAUAACUUUCAACCAUAAGAUGGACACUAAAAAAAAAAGAAUUAGAGUUGGAUUUGAACACAAACCUCUUUCAAAGAAGAUAAUGUACCUAUCAUUAUGGAAAAUUAUUAUUAAAUUUGGGUGGCAAAAUAUAUCUCUUAUAUUUUAACCCCUUCCAUAAGUGACUUUGCGUAGCCGUAAAAAGAAGAACUAUAGAAAAGAUGCCUUAGGUAUCUGCCGAUUAUUAACUAUAUCUAGUAAAAGAUCUUACACGGUGUUUGAAAAACUAUAGAAGAAGAUAAAUCUUGAAGGGGAGAUCAGUGGAAAUGGAUCUAUGACUCGCCACUCCAUGAUUUAUGGGCUGCUUAAACUUUGAUGAUGGGUUAUGGGUAGCAUGAAAAUUUCAGCCAGAGGGUGGUCUAUCAAUCUUGCUUGUUUCUUCAUGUUUUCACUUGGAAUUUGCUGAUGCAUUUAUAGAUACAAUCUUACAAGGUUAGUCAAUCACAACUUGUCAGACCAUUGUAUCUAUUGGUGGUGACUUUGAAUUAGGAUUCUUUUCUCCUGGAAACUCCACAAAAUAUUAUGUGGGGAUAUGGUACAAGAAAGUGUUAGAGCAAACCAUUAUGUGGGUAGCUAACCGAGGUUAUUCAUUCACAAAUCUGUAUGUGGUUCUUACUGUCAUUCCAGAUGGUAACCUCGAGAUUUGGGAAAGGAAAAUUUCAUACAAGGUGACGAACGUAUCGUCAAAUAGAAACACCAGUGCCACCCUGUUAGAUUCAAGAAAUUUUGUUUUGAGAAAUGAGAAGUUGGAUAUCUUAUGGUAGAGCUUUGACUAUCUAUUGGACAUGAUCUUGCCUAGAAUGAACAUUGGAUAUGACAGAAGGCUGGAAAAACAUGGUCAUUGGUGUCAUGGAAGAGCACAGAAGAUCCUAGUCCAGGAGUUUUUAUUAGAGAAUUCAUUACAAUAGAUUUUCUUGUUAGCUUUUUUCCUAUAAUGUGUGGCCAUAUACAAUUAUAUUUGUAUGAAUAUUAUUUAAGGGUAUCAAUUGAUAGGUAGGUGAAUAAAUUGACUGGACAUCCAAGAGUCUUGUGUAUGGAAUACUCAAAUUUAUAAAUGGGGAGUUAGAAAAUUUAACUCAUAUGAAUGUGGUGUUACAACUUUUGUAACCCCAUCAUUAUGAAAUUUAUUUGUACAUUAUGUUUAUGAGUAAUGGAGGAAAAUGGAAAAGUAUAACCUAUGCAAUUAUAUAGAUGCAUUCAAGUUCAUAACCUAUCAUUACCCAUUAAUUUGUACAUAAUAGGUGUAAAUAAUGAGUAUAACUCCCAUAUAGUCUUUGAUGGGAAGACUAAGAGAUGUACAAUUUUUUUUAUAAGUUGAGGUCCCAAGCCACACUCUCAUUCUUAUGUCUUUUUGUUGGUUUAUUUUUAACAACAUACACCACACAAGUGACCCAUCCACUUUAUGAGAGUAGUGAGUCGAAGACCUUGCCAAUCCAAUUCAUAAGGUGACUCAAUCUCACUUCAAAAGUGUUAUUGAUAUCAUGGAUCAAGGUAAGAAUAUGAUCAUUAUUUGAAUACUUAUAUUUAUUUUGUUUUAUGCAUCCAAAAUGGCUUUAUAAAAUAAUAAUUUCAGCAUAAAGUUUAUAAAAGUUUGGUUGACAUUUCUUUCUAUUUUUAAAUUCUUCUAAUUAGUUGUAAUUUCCUAUUUUUGUUGUAAUCCCCUAAUUUUAGGAUUGUUUCCUAUCUUUGUGUUUUGGGCUAAUUCUAGGAUUGUUUCUUAUUUUUGUGUUUUAGGUUUUGUGUAUAUAUAUUCAUUCUUAAUCAAUGGAAAAGUCAAGCCAUUGUUUCUUAAUGAUCCUCUCUCUGUUUCAACAGUUUUCUCCCUAGAGCAUGACCCUAAUGGAACUAGCCAGAUUUUAUCUUGCAAGGGAACAGCAGGUACUAGACUAGUGGCUUCCGGGAUGGGCAGGUUUUCAGCCUGCUUCUUGAAAUGCGUUUAGACAAUAUAUUGAAAUACAAUUAUUCCUUUAGUAAGGAUGAGAGCUAUUUCAAUUACUCUCUCUAUAAUUCUACCAUUAUAAGCAGAGUGGUCCUGGAUGUGUCAGGGCAGAUUAAGCAAAUGACAUGGAUUGAAGACACUCAUCAAUGGAAAUUGUUUUGGUCUCAACCCAGAACACAAUGUCAGGUUUAUGCUUACUGUGGGCCUUCUAGAAUCUGCAAUCUGGAUUCCUAUGAGUAUUGUGAAUAUUUGCCUGGUUUUGAACCUCGCUCCCCCGGAAACUGGGAAUUGCAAGACGGAUCUGGAGGGUAUGUGAGGGAAGCAGAUUUGCAGUGUGUCAACGGAAGUCAUGGUGAUGGGGAGAGAGACCAGUUUCUUUUGGUGUCUAAUGUAAGACUGCCCGAGUAUCCACUAACAUUGCAAGCAAGAGUGCCAUGGAUUGCGAGUCAGCCAGCCUGAAUAACUGCUCUUGCUCUGCUUAUGUUUAUGACAGCGAGGAGUGUACAGUAUGGAGUGGAGAUCUUCUAAACCUGCAACAGCUGUCGGAUUCUGACAGUAAUGCUGGAGAUUUCCAUCUCAAACUUGCUGACUCUGAGCAAAAUAGGAGAGGUAAGAAAAAGGGAAUGCUCAUACUAGUUGUUGUAGGACAUAAAGCAUAUAAAAUGGCUAUUGAUUCAGUUAAGUUAAAUGUCAUAUAUUUCCUUCUACAGUUUCAAGCAGCAAGUAGAAGCUAUGGCUCAUUGUUACACUAGCCAUUUCUGUAACUUUAGCCUUUGUCACAUUUGGAAUAUGGAGAAGGCUCCAAAGAAAAGGUCAGUAUUUCUCAUGGAUAGAAGAUGACCAAGCAAUUCAAGGCUAUUUAGAUUCCAUCAACACAUACAAAACCAUUUCUUGUCUGAUAUGAAUUCAUUACCAUUGUUGUAGAAUAAUUAAGUUCAUAUUAGAGUUUCAAUCUCCUGAUUACAGUAUUGAAUUAGCUUAUUCCCAUGCCAGAAUUCCUACAUUCGUAAGGAAUUUAGCAUCUGUUUGUUCUUUACCAAGCAGGGGAAGAUUUGUUACUGUUUGAUUUCAGUGACAACUCAGAAAAUACCAACCAUGAACUUAGUGAGGCAAAAAAGGUUGGAAAGGAGAGAAGAAGGAAGUUGAUUUGCCAAUCUUCAGUUUUGCGAGUGUAUCUGCUGCUACCAAUGACUUCUCUAUUGAAAAUAAACUAGAAGAGGGAGGUUUUGGACCAGUUUAUAAGGUGAGCUUAGUAUGACUAACAGUAAUGCCUCUCAGAAAAGAAAUGUGAAAAUUUUUGCUACUGUUCUACAAUCCCUCAACUGUAAAUGCCCAUUAGGCAAACACAAAUUUUCUUUUACUUGUGUGGUUGUUGUACUCAGUUGAAAUCCCCAUGACAAGGAAAGUCACAAAGAGGAUAUGAGGUAGUUGUGAAAAGACUUUCAAAAAGAUCUAGACAAGGUUGGGAGGAGUUAAAAAAUGAAACCAUGCUUAUAGCCAAGCUCCAACAUAAGAAUCUUGUUAGACUUUUGGGCUGCUGCAUUGAGCUAGAUGAGAAGAUAUUGAUUUAUGAGUAUAUGCCCAAUAAAAGCUUAGAUUUCUUCCUUUUUGGUUUGUAGUUCUCAACAUAUCUAAACUUUUGUUUAUCCUAUGCUCAAUAAAAAGCUUUUUUCAUUCAUUGUUGUUGGCCUCUUAUUUACUAACACCAGUUUGUAUUUAUUUGGUGUAAAAUAGGGAUAGAUCCUGCAAGACAUGGGAUUCUAGAUUGGGAGACACACAUUCACAUAAUUGAAGGGGUUGCUCAGGGAUUUCUUUAUUUCCAUCAGUACUCUAGAUUGAGGAUUAUUCAUUGAGAUCUGAAGGCUAGCAACAUUCUUUUGGAUAUAGACAUGAACCCCAAAAUAUCAGAUUUUGGAAUGGCAAGAAUUUUUGGAGGAAAUUAGUUGAUAGCAACAAAUCAUAUUAUCGGGACUUGGUAAGUGAAUCCUUGCAAACCGUAAAAUAUGUGGAUUCUCACAUAACAUGGCCUUUCUUUUAUAUAUAUAUAUAUACAUUUUUGUCACAAGGCAACUACUAAAUGAUUUGUUCUAAUAAUGAAAUUCAGUGGCUACAUGUCCCUUGAAUAUGCUUUCGAAGGCCUCUUUUCAACUGAAUCAGAUGUCUUUAGCUUCAGGGUCUUGUUACGGGAGAUUCUAAGAGGCAAAAAGAAUACCAGAUUUUACCAGAGUGACUCACUCAAUCUUCUUGGAUAUGUGAGUAACACAAUCUACAAUGUUCUAAUAUGUUAAUUCUUGAUUUACUAGUCAGUAAAUUUUCACAUCUUGUUUACUAGUCAAUUUUAAGCUGAUGUUCUUUGCAUGCAAUAAAAAGGACUAUACAUCUGUUUUUCUUUUUUGGAAAUUUGCAUCAAGAGAACAUUUUCUUUUCUUCAGGCAUGGGAUCUGUGGAAAAACAACAUAGGGCUGGACUUGAUGGAUCCAGUAUUGAGUUGGGAGGCACGGGUUCACAUCAUUCAAGGGGUGGCUCAGGGGACUUCUUUAUCUCCAUUAGUACUCUAGAUUGAGAAUUAUUCAUCGAGAUUUGAAGACUAGCAACACUCUUUUGGAUAAGAACAUGAACAAAACAUAUAGUUGGGACUUAGUAAGUGAAUAGUAACACAUUGUAAACAAUUCAAAACAUGUUAAAACAUUAUCAUACUCAUUUUUAUGUGGAAUUUAAAUUUUUAAAAUUUAGUACAAAACAAUUUGCGCUUAUAGCUUUUUAAAUAAGAAAACUAUUAUAUAUUUUUAAAAUAAAAUAAUGCAAUUGUGGCAUGUGAAGAAAUUUUUAUUUUUAUGGAUAAAUAUAUUUUACAAAUUUUAUAUAAAUUUAUUUUUUAUUUAUAUAUAUAUUUUUUUCAAUGUUUUUAGAAUCAAAUCAAUCAUUGAAUCAAAAAAGUUAUUGGUCCACGAUUCAUUGGUUGGAUCGGUGGUCGAACCAUGAUUGAAUUAGUGAUGUUAUAAAUAAGUAAUUUAUAUAUUAUUAAAAUUAAAAAUAUUAUAUAAAAUUUUUUAGAUAUAUAAAAAAAUAAAAAUCAAUAAUAUUUAUUUUUCAUCUUUAAUAUUAUCAAAUUAACAUAUAGAUAUAUUAAUAUUUUAACAUUUGAUUAAAUAAUAUAUAUAUAUAUAGAUAAUAUUUAAAUAUAAAAAUAUUUGUUGAAGGUUAUUUAAUUUCCUUUAUAUAUGUUACACUAUUUUAUUUAUAUUAUUUACAUUUUCACUCUUAUUCAAAAUUUAUGAGAAUUUUAUUAUAUAACGUUGUUGUGUCUGGCAUGUAUAUAACACGCACAGCAAAGUGGUGGUGUGUAUGCGUUUUGAACCCAAGGUUAGUUGUUCAAACCCAUGAGCUGCAGCCCAAGAUAUGGCACAUCUUGCACUAUGUUUGAGCCCAUUUUACCCAAUAAAAAUAUCCAUGAAAGAAGAGAAAACUCAUGAGCGGGCCGGCAUUCCGGCCCAAUUAGGCUACCCGGACUGGAUUAGGCUCCAGUUGAUGGUUGAACUGGCCAAUCCAAAACAUUGAUUUUUUUAUCUCAAUAUUCGUAUCUUAUUUAUUUCAUAUAAACUUUGAAAUUAUUCAUUUAAAUAACAAUUAUCCAUUAUCCAUUUAAAACCAAUCAUCCUCACAUUUCCAAAUGAAAAGUGAAUAUCACAUUGGAUGCAUUGAAUUGUUGUUUCCCUACCACCACCCCUUUUAACUUCUCUUCACUUUGACAUCACAACUUAAAACUAUUUUUUUGGGAUGUUGAGAUGAGAUCAUGAGACAAGCGUUCAGAGGACGUGUUGAGAGUUUCUGAUAUCUUCCACGACAGCUAAGACCAUGAAUCUGAAGAGAAAGAACUGAAGAAGAGGGAGGAAAGUGAGAGUUGGUUACUCCCUUAGUUUUCAAAUUUAGAAUGGAUGAUGAAGAUGUCAUAUUACACAUCCAAUGGGUUCAAUAAAUUCUUGGGUACCUACACAGACUGUUUCGUAGAAUUUUCCUAAAAGAUAUUUUGAAAGGUAGAUCGAUGGAAAGGAGACUUUGACUUACCAGUCGCCGGGCCGCCUCAGAUCCGCUACUGCCUGUUUUGGAUGGCUAUAAUAUUAUUGAUGGGCUGCGUAAACGCUGCUUAUGAGUUAUGGGUAGCAUGAAAUUUUCAACGAGAAGGUGUUCUGCUAAUUAUCUUGUUUUCUUGCUUAUUUCUUCAGGUUUUCACUGGCAAUUUGCUGAUGCAUUUACAGAUACAAUCUUACAAGGUCAGUCAAUCACAACCUCUCAGACCAUCAUAUCUGCUGCUGGUAACUUUGAAUUAGGAUUCUUCUCGCCUGGAAACUCCACAAAUUAUUAUGUGGGGAUAUGGUACAAGAAAGUCUCAAACCAAACCAUUGUCUGGGUGGCUAACCGAGAGUAUGCGUUCAAAAAUCGGUCUGUGGUUCUUACUGUCAGGACAGAUGGUAACCUCGAGGUUUGGGAGGGGAAAAUUUCAUACAGGGUGACAAGCAUAUCAUCAAAUAGCAAAACUAGUGCCACCCUGUUGGAUUCUGGAAAUCUUGUUUUGAGAAAUGACAACUCGAGUAUCUUAUGGCAAAGCUUUGACUAUCCAUCGGACACUUUCUUGCCGGGGAUGAAACUUGGAUACGACAAAAGGGCUGGAAAAACAUGGUCAUUAGUGUCAUGGAAGAGCUCAGAAGAUCCCAGUCCAGGAGUUUUCUCCCUGAAGUACGACCCUAAGGGAACCGGCCAGAUUUUUAUCUUGCAAGGGUCCACAAUGUACUGGGCUAGUGGCACCUGGGACAGGGAUGGGCAGGUUUUCAGCUUGAUUCGUGAGAUGCGCUUAAACUAUAUGUUUAAUUUCAGUUAUUCGUUUAGUAAGGAGGAGAGCUAUAUCAAUUACUCUAUUUAUGAUUCUUCAACUAUAAGCAGAUUGGUGCUGGAUGUGUCAGGGCAGAUUAAGCAAAUGGCAUGGCUUGAAGCCUCUCAUCAAUGGCAUAUGUUUUGGUUUCAACCAAAAACGCAAUGUGAGGUUUAUGCUUACUGUGGGCCUUUUGGAAUCUGCAAUGAUAGUGCAGUUGAUGGAUUUUGUGCAUGUUUGCCAGGUUUUGAACCUGCCUCCCCUAAUAACUGGAACUCGGGUGACAAAUCUGGAGGGUGUGUGAGGAAAGCAGAUUUGCAGUGUGGCAAUAGUACUCAUGCUAAUGGGGAGAGAGACCAGUUUCAUCGGGUGUCUAAUGUGAGACUGCCAGAGUAUCCACUAACACUCCCAACGAGUGGUGCCAUGCAGUGCGAGUCAGAUUGCCUAAAUAACUGCUCUUGCUCUGCUUAUUCUUACAACGUGAAGGAGUGUACAGUAUGGGGUGGAGAUCUUCUAAACUUGCAACAGCUAUCAGAUGACGACAGUAAUGGUCGAGAUUUCUAUCUCAAACUUGCGGCCUCUGAGCUAAAUGGGAAAGGCAAUAAAAGUAGGGAAUGGUCAAACUUUUUUUUGUAGAAGGACAGAGCAUAUGAUUUUCUUUUUCUUAAAUAUAAGAUGAAGUUCAUCAAAGAUUAGUUACAUUUAUUUCUUUUUGCAGUUUCUAGCAGCAAGUGGAAGGUGUGGCUAAUUGUUACACUGGCCAUUUCCCUAACUUCGGCCUUUGUCAUUUGGGGGAUAUGGAGAAAGAUCCGAAGAAAAGGUCAGUAUUUUUCAUGGAUAGAAGAUUAUCAAGCAAUUCAAGGGUAUUUAGAUUCCAUCUACACAUACAAAACCAUUUGUUUUCUGCAAUGAGCUCAUUACCAUUAUUGUAGAAUAAUUAAGGCCAUAUUAUGAUUUCAACCUCCUGAUUACAUGUGUGUGUACCUGCACUACAGUGUGAUAAAAAUCAAUAAUGAAUCAAUUUAUUCCCAUGCCAGAAUUCCUACAUUCUUAUGAUACUUGACAUCUGUUUCUUCUUUAUCAAGCAGGGGAAAAUUUGUUACUAUUUGAUUUCAGUAACAGCUCAGAAGAUACCAACUAUGAACUUAGUGAGGCAAAUAAACUUUGGAGAGGCGAGAAGAAGGAAGUUGAUUUGCCAAUGUUCAGUUUUGCGAGUGUAUCUAUUGCUACUAAUAACUUUCUAUUGAAAAUAAACUAGGAGAGGGUGGUUUUGGACCAGUUUACAAGGUGAGAUUAGUAUUUGUGAAUCUUCUUGGUAUAUACAAUUUUUCUUUUACUUGGUGUCAUUGUACUAAGUUGAAAUUCCCAUGACAGGGAAAGUCACAAAAAGGAUAUGAGGUAGCUGUGAAAAGGCUUUCAAAAAGAUCUGGACAGGGAUGGGAGGAGUUAAAGAAUGAAGCCAUGCUUAUAGCCAAGCUGCAACAUAAGAAUCUUGUGAAGCUGUUCGGCUGCUGCAUUGAGCAAGAUGAGAAGAUAUUGAUUUAUGAGUAUAUGCCCAACAAAAGCUUGGAUUUCUUCCUAUUUGGUUUGUAACUUCUGGCUACUGUAUAUUCAAUAAAAAACCAUUCAGUAUCAUUCACCACUUAUUUGCUAACAUGAGUUUAUAUUUAUUUGGUGUAAAAUGGAAAUAGAUUCUGCAAAUCAUGGGAUUUUGAAUUGGGAGACACGGGUUCACAUCAUUGAAGGGGUUGCUCAGGGUCUUCUUUAUCUACAUCAGUACUCUAGAUUGAGGAUUAUUCAUCGAGAUUUGAAGGCUAGCAACAUUCUUCUAGAUAAGGACCUGAAUCCUAAAAUAUCAGACUUUGGAAUGGCAAGAAUAUUUGGGAGCAACGAAUCAAAAGCAACAAAUCAUAUAGUUGGGACUUAGUAAGUGAAGCCUAACAAAUUCUAAAAUAUGUGAAUGCUCAUACAACUUUUUUUUUUCUUUUUUCUGCACAUAUAUUUAGAAUCAUGCAGCUACUAAAUCAUUUUGUAAUUAAUAAUCAAACCCAGUGGCUACAUGUCCCCUGAGUAUGCUUUGGAAGGCCUCUUUUCGACUAAAUCUGAUGUCUUUAGCUUCGGGGUUUUAUUACUAGAGAUUUUGAGUGGCAAGAAGAAUACUGGAUUUUACCAAAGCGACUCCCUCAAUCUUCUCGGAUAUGUGAGUAACACAAUAUUUCCUCAUUGGUUGUCUUGGGCUACUGGUAAAUUUUCACAUUAUGUUUACCACACAGUUUGAAAACUUAUUUCAUAUGAUUGGCUACUAUAGAAAGGACUUUAUUAUCUUUUACUUUUUAGGAAUUUGCUUCAAUGGAUAAUUUUCUUUAUUUUAGGCAUGGGAUCUGUGGAAAGACAGCAGGGGGCAGGAAUUGAUGGAUCCAGUGUUGGAAGAGGCAUUGCCAAGACACAUUCUGUUGAAGUACAUCAAUAUAGGCCUUCUUUGUGUUCAAGAAAGUGCAGAUGACAGGCCUACGAUGUCUGAUGUUGUCUCAAUGCUUGGCAAUGAAAGUUUACAUUUACCUUCUCCAAAACAACCGGCAUUUUCAAAUCUGAGAAGUGGGGUGGAACCACAUAUAUUUCAAAACAGGCCUGAAAUGUGUUCCUUAAAUAGUGUGACACUUUCAAUUAUGGAAGCACGAUAAUGGUUCAGAACUUAAUAAAUAAUGUGCUUAAAUUUCAGCAUAUUGUCUUGCGUUGUUUUUGUGAAUUCAUAGCUCAUGUAUUGAAAUGGACAUGUAAUCUGUGUGAAUUUUUCUUCCAAAACACUUCAAUAAUCAUUCAGACCUGUGUCUAAUAUUUUUAUCUGAAACUGUUAUGAAGUCUGAUUUUAUCCAGUUGAAUUUGGAUUUAAUUUGAUUAUGAUCUGUACCCUCAUCAAUCCAAAGAGUGAAGGACAAUUUUCAGAGCUCAAAACCAACAAAUGGCACCUUUAGGGCCAAUCCAGCUAUAGAGAGUCAACUAUCCACCUUCCACUUAUUCUCUUAUAUGUGUUUCCAAAUGCCCUGGCAUAUGUAUAGCAUGUACAGAUACAGUUCUGUACUACUGUAUAUUUACUACGAGACUGACUAAGUUCUACUGUUUUGACAAUAGUGCAGUGUAUAUAUCUUGCAAGAAUAUUCUAUGGAGCAUAAUUCCUUUGUGAAAUCAGAUGUUUCCAGCUAAGGAGUUGAUUGUGAAUCCUGUGACAAGAGGAACUCGAAAUAUUACCUCUCACUGAGAAUCCUGUGAAUUGAAACCUCCUUAACAUCUACCAUAUGAAAAUGAAUGAUUUUUUUUUUUUUUUUUUCUGUAAUUUUAUGUAUUAGCAUGGUAAGUGAAUUCAGUUUUCACUGGGCAUCUGAAAGAAGAUAAUUUGAAACAGUUUUUGGUAUGGGGAAUGGGGUAUGAGGACAAGAUGCUGUAAUUGAUGGAUAUGUCAGUGGGGAAAGAAAUUAUCAGAACCCAGGUGUAGGUAUUAACUUAGCUAUAAUGGGGGAAGGGAGUGAACAGAAGCAGGGUUAGCUUCAAUUUCAGAUUCAUAUCAUACAGUGCUUCAUUCAACUAGUAAUAGCGAAGACAAUUCAGCUACUCAGCAUAGGAGGGAGGAAUUAGUUAAGCAGUUGUAGAUUUUUCGCCUUCCAAAUCCAAAGUGAUUAGACAAUUUUCCAGAAAAAAAAAAGUGGUAUAACGUUUCCUGUGACUUAUAACACUUCCCAUUUGUUUGGACAUAGUUUGAGUAAAACCCCUUUGGUUGCCAAGAAAACCAAGGAAAAUGCAAAAGAGAAAUAACUUGAAGUCUACAAUUUCUGUAGUUUAUGAUGGAAAGCUCAAGUUCAAGCUCAAGUAAGGCUAAACGAGCCCAUUGAGCCUCUCUCAUCUCUACAACAUAGACUUCAAAAGCAAAAUGGGUGAAAUAAUGGUCAUUUAUGGGCCCCUGCGCUUAGCUUGGGGAUCAGUUUCAUUGAAUAUUUUAGGAGAGAGAACAUAUAUCAAGUCAAAAAGUAGAUAAUUACAAACUAAUUUUGCCGUCCAGCAUAGAAAAUCUAAUCCCAGUGGGGCCUCAAGUACAUGAAUUUAGUGUUCUUUCCAUAAUUCUUCUCAUUCUGGGCAUGGUCUAGAUUGAAGAAAGGUCCGAUACAAAUUGGAAAAGUCAUAGAAGGAAAUAUAUCUAGGAGGGAAUCCUAACAAAAGGUCUUUCAAAACUGCUACACCUUGCUUUGAAUGGUAGUUGGUCUCUGCAUUGAAUGAGUUUUUUUUUUCCUAUGUACCCUGGAGACAGAAAAUCUGAAAACAUUUCUAAAUGGUUCUCCAAAAUACAGUGCAUGGGAGGUUCCAAGACUUUGAGGGAAAGAAAAGCAGCAGAACCAGCUGGGGAAAAUCAGCAUGAAAAGGAUCAUUUCCUACCACUCUAAUGUUGUUUAAUCUAUUCAACCACGGAAAUUAGGAAAGACUUUGACGAAAAUGAUGCGAUCGCGGUCAAGUUCUGCUACCUGCUACAUUGAAUUAUGCUUAUCUAGGGAAGAUGCAUUAAAGUCUUAGAGCAUUUGAGAUUUUUUUUUUCUUUUUUUCUUUUAAGACACAAUUAAUUGUCCAUAAAUUAAUAGAUUGGGAACAAGGAAAAUCAAUUAAUUAAGUGAAUAUUAAUUGUGUAUUAAUUAAUAAAUCAUUAAUUUAUCAAGAUAGUUCUUAUUUUUUCAAAAUAUUGUAUUUAAUAUUAUUUAUUAUAAUUGUUUGGAAGUGUCCCAAUUUCCUAAUUAGUAUAAAUUUAUUUUUUGUAAAGAAUAUUAUAUGAAUAUUUUUAGGUUAAUAUAUUAUUGUAAUAUUAGAUUUUCUUAUAGGGUAAGGAAGGUUAUUGGAAAUAUCUUUAUACAUAUUCUAGGUCAUGAGGAGAAAAAGUUAUGAGAUGGAAAUGGGUAUGUAAAGAUUAUACGGGGUAAAUAGAGAUGUGAGGAAGAACGGGAGGUACUCGGUGGAGCGAGAUGACUUGUGGUAGGGUAGGGAUACGAAGAGUAGGAAAACAUGAGAUGUUUCGAGAACCCAAUAAUUGUAUCUGGUUAUGUCCUCUAUAAUGUUUUGGUUCUAUCCUCUGUAAUGUUCUCUAUUGUAUAGUGGAAUGAUUCUCUCUCAUCUGUGGACGCAGACAUGGUUGGCCAGAUGUGAUGAGGGAGCAGCAACACCACUCUUCAUCUCUGAACUAGACUGUGAUGUAGACUUUGGGAUGGAUCUUGACCCCAACUCAACCUCCACCUGUGUGCUUGAUUUUUGUUACUCUUUAUCACAAGAAUCUCUAAAAGAUGAGUCAUGAAGCAUAGUAGUUUCAUAAAAAAUAACAUCUCUAUUGACCAUGACUUUCUUGGUUUUUAGACACCAUAGCUUAUAUCCUUUAACACUAGAAUUAUAGCCAAGGAAGACACAUUUUAUAGACCUAGGUUCUAGUUUUCCAUUAUCAACAUGAGUAUAGGCAGGACAUCUAAAUACCUUCAAAUCAAAGUAACUAGCAGGAGUACUAGACCAAACCUCUUGUAGAGUUCUUUUGUUAAUAGUAGUUGAGGGAUAACGAUGAAUGAGGAAACAAGAUGUAGCUUUAGUCCAAAAAGACUUAGGUAAACCAACAAUGGAAAGCAUACAAUGUACUUUCUCCAUCAAAGUCCUAUUCAUUUGCUCUACCACACCGUUUUGCUGCGAGAUAUGACGAACUAUAUGAUGCCUUGCGAUUUCUUUUGACUUGCAUAGAUCAUUAAAUUCAUAAGAACAAAACUCCAAGCCAUUAUCAGUGCGAAGACGUUUUACCUGCUUCCAUGUCUGCUUCUCAAUCAUAAUCGUCCACUCCUUGAAUGUAGCUAACAUAUCACUCUUUUUCUUCAAGAAGAACACCCAAACUUUUUUGGAAAAAUCAUCAAUGAUAGUUAACAUAUAACUAACACCUCCCUUAGAAGGCACCCUAGAUGGUCCCCGAAGAUUAGAAUGUAUAUAAUUGAGUGUCCUCUUUGUUUUGUGAAUGUCUUUUGUGAAUUUGACUCUUCUCUGCUUCCCAAAAACGCAGUGCUCAUAGAACUUCAGUUUUCUAAUACUCUGACCAUUAAGAAGUCCGCUUUUGCUCAAUUCAAUCAUCCCAUUCUCACUCAUAUGCCUAAGGCGCAUAUGCCAAAGUCUAGUAACAUCACCAUCUAAUAAGGAAGAAGUAGCAACAAUUACAUCACUUAUAACUGUGGAUCCCUACAAGACAUAUAAUUUGGUAGAUCUUUUCUGCCAUUUCAUCACAACAAGAACACAUUUACUAACCUUUAAGACUCCACCUUCACCAGUAUACUUGUACCCUUUUGAAUCAAGAGUACUCAAUGAGAUAAAGUUCCUCUCUAGAUUUGGAAUGUGUCUCAUAUCACCAAACAUAGAUGAACAUUCAAGAAUAAAGAUUAGAAUUAGAUUUGAACCCAAACAUCAUUUAAAUAAGAGAUUGUAUAGGUCAUUAUGGAAGAUUAUUAUUAAAUUUGGCCCGAAAAAUAAAUCUCUUACAUUUUACUCCCUACUAUACUUACCACCAGCCUAAAAAGAAGAAAUGUGGGCCUAAUGAGGGGUUUUUUUUUUUUUUUGUUGAUAUUUUCCAUUUAUAUAACUAACUUGAACAAUGUUGUACCCUUAAAAGUAGAAAAGAUCCUUGUAGUAUUCUUUGGUUUAUUAUGGUUAUGUUUGGUUAUGAGAAAAUUUAAAGGAAAAUGUGAAGAAAAUAAAAUAGAAAAGAAAAAUAAAAGGAAAGAAAAUUAAAAAUGGGUUUAAAUUCAAUGAAUUAUUUUUAUAUGCUUCUCCAAAUUCAUUUCACUUUUUUUUCUUCAUUAUAGUAAGAUUAAAUAAUUUAAAAAUAUAUAAAAUUUUAACUAAUUUUAUUUUAUUUUGUAUUUUUUCAUAAUGAAACUAAAUAUAAGAAAACUAUUUUUCUUAACUUUUUUUUCUUAAUAUUUUCCGGAGACUAAAUAUAGCCUAGAUGUAUCUAGUAGAAAGAUCCAACAUGGGGUUGGAAAAAAAUCAUAGAAGAAGAUAUAUCUUGAAGGGGAGAUCAAAGGAUAUUAAAUGGGACUAUGACCCACACCUCCUAGAUUUAUGGGCUGCUUAAUGGAACAAACCAGAUUUUUAUCCACCAUAUUGAAUAUUGAAUAUGGUAUUCUUCCAAUUAUUAAAUGUAUUUAGCGAAAAGGUCCAAUUGUUAGUAAAAGAAGAACAGGUCAAACUAUCGUAUUAGGGUGCUAUGAGUGAGAUUGUGAUUACAUCAACUUUUAAUUAUUUAGAAUAUUGUCCAUUAUAUAUUUUAAAUUUUUAUAAUAUUAAUUUAUUUUAUUGAUUAAGAAUUAGAAUUUAAUGUAUACUUAACAUUAAAAUCUUAUAUAGUUCCAAUUUCAUACAAGUAACUAAAUUUUUUAUAUUGAUCUCAUCUCUGCACCCAAAUGCCCAUUUCCUCUUGAAGAUUAAAAAUUAAAAAUAAAAAUUAAUCCAUCUAACAACCAAGUUAAAAUGUAUUUAUAUAUCAUAAAAAAAUCAUCACCGAAUAAACCAAUAACCAUAAAAAUAAAAAUGGAAAAUCAUCGAUAAAUAAAUCAAAACAAAAUAUAAAAAGAAAUUAAUAUUUUCAUGGUUGAUUAACCCUAUGAGUUGGAUGAUAAAAGCGUUAAUAUCGAGUGGAAAGGAGACUUUGACUCACCGGUCGUUGGGCCUCAGGUCUGCCACUGCCUGUUUUGGAUGGCUAUAAGAUUAUUGAUGGGCUGCUUAAACGCUGCUUAUGAGUUAUGGGUAACAUGAAAAUUUCAACCAGAAGGUGGUCUGCUAAUCUUGUUUUCUUGCUUAUUUCUUCAGGUUUUCACUGGCAAUUUGUUGAUGCAUUUACAGAUGCAAUCUUACAAGGUCAAUCACUCACAACCUCUCAGACCAUCGUAUCCGCUGGUGGUAACUUUGAAUUAGGUUUCUUUUCUCCUGGAAAGUCCACAAAAUACUAUGUGGGGAUAUGGUACAAGAAAAUCUCAGAGCAAACCAUUGUGUGGGUAGCUAACCGAGACUAUUCAUUCACAAAUCCAUCCGUGGUUCUUACUGUCAGCACAGAUGGCAACCUCGAGAUUUUGGAGGGGAAGAUUUCGUACAAGGUGACAAGCAUAUCAUCAAACAGCAACACUAGUGCCACCCUGUUGGAUUCUGGAAAUCUUGUUUUGAGAAAUAAGAAGUCAGAUGUCUUAUGGGAGAGCUUUGACUAUCCAUCGCACACUUACCUGCCGGGGAUGAAGCUUGGGUACGACAAAAGGGCUGGAAAAACAUGGUCAUUGGUGUCAUGGAAGAGCGCAGAAGAUCCCAGUCCAGGAGAUUUCUCCCUGCAGGUCGACCCUAAUGGAACUAGCCAGAUUUUUAGCCUGCAAGGACCCAACAGGUAUUGGACUACUGGGGUGUGGGAUGGGCAGAUUUUCACCCAGGUUCCUGAGAUGCGUUUGCCCGACAUGUAUAAGUGCAAUAUAUCCUUUAAUGAGAAUGAAAUCUAUUUGACUUACUCUCUUCAUAAUCCCUCCAUUCUGAGCAGACUGGUGCUAGAUGUGUCAGGCCAGAUUAGGUCUCUGAAUUGGCAUGAAGGCACACGUGAAUGGGAUUUAUUUUGGCUUCAACCAAAAACACAGUGUGAGGUUUAUGCUUACUGUGGGCCUUUCGGAACCUGCACUCGGGAUUCUGUUGAAUUUUGUGAAUGCUUGCCAGGUUUUGAACCUCGCUUCCCUGAAGACUGGAAUCUGCAAGACAGAUCUGGAGGGUGUGUGAGGAAAGCAGAUUUGCAGUGUGUCAAUGAAAGCCAUGCUAAUGGGGAGCGAGACCAGUUUCUUUUGGUGUCUAACGUGAGACUGCCCAAGUAUCCAGUAACACUGCAAGCAAGGAGUGCUAUGGAGUGCGAAUCAAUUUGCCUGAAUCGCUGCUCUUGCUCUGCUUAUGCUUAUAAGAGAGAGUGUAGAAUAUGGGCUGGAGAUCUUGUAAACGUGGAGCAGCUACCAGAUGGUGACAGUAAUGGUAGAAGUUUCUAUAUCAAACUUGCUGCCUCUGAGCUAAAUAAGAGAGGUAAGAAAAAAGAGUCAUAGUUGUUAUUGUAGGAGGACAUAAAGCAUAUGGGUCUUGUUUUAUUUUCAAUAUAAAAUGGCCAUCGAUUCAGCUAAAUUUAAUAUGAUAUAUUUCCUUCUACAGUUUCAAGCAGCAAGUGGAAGGUAUGGCUAAUUAUUACACUGGCCAUAUCUUUAACUUCAGCCUUUGUCAUUUAUGGGAUAUGGGGAAGGUUCCGAAGAAAAGGUCAGUAUUUCUCAUGGACAGACGGAUGGCCAAGCGAUUCAACCGUUUUUAGGUUCCAUCUACAAAUAAAAAACCAGUUCUUUUCUGAAAUGAGUUCAUUAGCACUGUUAUUGAAUAGUUAAGGUAACAUUAGGAUUUCAUGUUCUGAUUACAUGUACUGUGUAUGUGGAAUCCAAUGUGAGAAAUAAUUUAUUCACAUGCCAGAAUUCCUACAUUCAUAUGAUAUUUAAUGUCUGUUUGUUCUUUACCAAGCAGGGGAAGAUUUGUUAGUAUGUGGAAUCCAAUGUGAGAAAUAAUUUAUUCACAUGCCAGAAUUCCUACAUUCAUAUGAUAUUUAAUGUCUGUUUGUUCUUUACCAAGCAGGGGAAGAUUUGUUAGUAUUUGAUUUCGGUAACAGCUCAGAAGAUACCAGCUAUGAGCUUGACGAGACAAAUAGACUUUGGAGGGGCGAGAAAAGGGAAGUUGAUUUGCCCAUGUUCAGUUUUGCGAGUGUAUCUGCUUCUACAAAUAACUUCUCUAUUGAAAAUAAACUAGGAGAGGGCGGUUUUGGAUCUGUUUACAAGGUUAGAUUACAACCCCUGACAAUAAUGUUCUACAAUCUAUCCUGGAAUGUAAAGGCCCACUUGAUAUAUACCAAAUUUCUUUUACUUGCUGUAAUUGUACUUAGUUGAAAUUCCAAAGACAGGGAAAGUCACAAAGAAGAUAUGAAGUAGCUGUGAAAAGGCUCUCUAAAAGAUCUAAACAGGGAUGGGAGGAGUUAAAAAAUGAAGCCAUGCUUAUAGCCAAGCUGCAACACAAGAAUCUUGUGAAAGUUUUGGGAUAUUGCAUCGAGAGGGAUGAGAAGAUAUUGAUUUACGAGUAUAUGUCCAACAAAAGCUUGGAUUUCUUCCUCUUUGGUUUGUAACUUCCACAUACAUAUACUUCCAGCUACUAUAUAUUCAAUGAGAAAACUUUACACAUUCAUCAUUUUUCACCACUUAUUUGCUAACAUCUAUUUAUUUGGUGUAAAAUGGAGAUAGAUCCUACAAAACAUGGGAUUCUAAAUUGGAAGACACGAGUUCACAUCAUUGAAGGGGUUGCUCAGGGACUUCUUUAUCUGCAUCAGUACUCCAGAUUGAGGAUUAUUCAUCGAGAUUUAAAGGCUAGCAACAUUCUUCUGGAUAAGGAUAUGAAUCCUAAAAUAUCAGAUUUUGGAAUGGCAAGAAUAUUUGGAGGCAACGAAUCAAAAGUAACAAAUCAUAUAGUUGGGACUUAGUAAGUGAAACUUGACAAAUUAUAAAAUAUGUGAAUGUUCAUACAACAUUUGAAAUCAUGCAGCUAUUGAAUGAUUUUUCUCAUUAAUAAUCAAAUCCAGUGGCUAUAUGUCCCCUGAGUAUGCUUUGGAAGGUCUAUUCUCCACUAAAUCUGAUGUCUUUAGCUUUGGGGUCUUGUUAUUGGAGAUUUUGAGUGGCAAGAAGAAUACUGGAUUUUACCAAACCGACUCGCUCAAUCUUCUUGGAUAUGUGAGUAACACAAUAUUUAUUCACUUACAUAACUAUUUAUGAUGUUUUGAUAUGCUAAUUCCUAGUUUUCAAUUCCCUUGUUAUAUUACCUAUCCAGUUGUCUUGGGAUACUAGUAAAUUUUCACAUUAUGUCUACCACUCAGUUUCAAGGCUUAUUUUAUAUUGUUGGCUGAUAUAAAAAGGACUUUAUUAUCUUUUACUUUUCGGGAAUUUGCAUCAAUGGAUAAUUUUCUUCAUUUAGGCAUGGGAUCUGUGGAAAGAUAGUAGGGGGCUGGAGUUGAUGGAUCCAGGGUUGGAAGAGACAUUGCCAACACACAUUCUGUUGAGGUACAUCAAUGUAGGCCUUCUUUGUGUUCAAGAAAGUGCAGAUGAUAGGCCUACCAUGUCUGAUGUUGUCUCAAUGCUUGGCAAUGAAAGUGUACGUUUACCUUCUCCAAAACAACCGGCAUUUUCAAAUCUGAGAAGUGGGGUGGAACCACAUAUAUCCCAAAACAGGCCUGAAGUUUGUUCCUUAAAUGGUGUGACACUUUCAGUUAUGGAAGCACGAUAAUGGUUCAGAACUUAAUAAAUAAUAUGCUUAAAUUUUAGCAUAUUGUCUUGUAUUGUUCUUGGUGAAUUCAUAGCUCAAAUACUAAAAUGGACAAGUGACCUUAUGUGUGAAUUUUUCUUCCAAAACAGUUUAAUAAUCAUCUUGUACUCAAUCCCUAUGGAUUCAGACCUGUGUCUCAUCUUUCAAUCUGGAAUUGCUACUAAAUCUGACUUUAUCCGGUCAAAUUUGGAUUUAAUUUGAAAAUGAUCUGUUCCAUUGUCAAUCCAAAGAGUAAAAUGCAACUUUUUUCAUUGCUUAGUAGCUAACAAAAGGUGCCUUUGGGGCCAAUCCAGCUAUAGAGAAUCAACCACCCACCUUCCACUUCCUCUCUUAUGGAUGUUUCUGAAUGCCCUGGCAUAUGUAUAUCAUGUACAUAUACACCACCAAUUUGGCCUGGGAUGAGUUUCAUCGAAUAUUUCAGGAGACAACAUAAAACAAUCAAAAAGUAGAUAAUUAUGAACUAAUUGGCCAUCCAGGACAGAAAAUCCAUCUCCCAAUGGGGCCUUAAAGCACUUGAAUUUACUGUUCAUUCCAUCAUUAUUUUCGUUCUAGGCAUGGUCUAGAUUGAAGAAAGGUCCCAUACAAAUUGGAAAAGUCAUAGAAGGAAAUAUAUCUAGGAGGGAAUCCUAACAAAAGGUCUUUCAAAACUGCUACACCUUGCUUUGAAUGGUACCUGGUAUCUACAUUGAAUGAGUGUUUUUCCUAUGUCCCACCAUUAAAAUGAAUGGGAGUCUUGCAAAUUACAUAGAUUUUUUUUUAUAAUGUAUUAUUUUAUAAAUUUCAUAGAAUUAUUAAUUUAGUAUUUUAGCCCCAAAGUCCCUAAAAAACAUUAUUUGCUUGAGGGGUUCAUAUUAUCAUGUAUUAAUUUAUUGAAAUUCUACUAUUUUUUCCUUAAUUAAAAAGUGAAUUUUUUAUUUUAUUAUUUUAUUUUUCUUUAACAAAAAAAGUCACUUUUUCUCUUUUUUCUUUGAAGUCCUCUAACUUCAUAACACUCGAACUCAUUUUCUCAUACAAAAUAAAAUUAAUCAAAUUCAAAUUUGAAACAUUGAAAAUUAAUCAAUAACAUAAAAAUCAAUUAGAGUUACCUUUGUUUGAUUUGAAACAAAUUAGAGUUACCUUUGUUUGAUUUGGCUACCAUUAAUACUGCUACUAACAACUUCUGUGUCAUAAAUAGAACUGGCACAGGCAGCUUUGGUCCUGUUUUCAAGGUAACAUUUGAUUGUAAGACAAAGUGUGUUUCCUAUGAGACAAUAUGCAGGGCAGUUUGUCAACAGGACAAGAAGUAGCAGUGAAGAGGUUGUCAAAGAAUUCAGGACAGGGUCUUUAAGAGUUUAAUAAUGAGGUUUUUUUAAUUGCCAAACUCCAACACAAGAAUCUUGUGAGGCUUUUAGGCUGCUGCAUUCAGUUCGGAUUAUUUUAUUUUCGGUUUGAACUUCUCAACCCUUUAUAUCUCUUUGGAUUGGUUUGGGUACAUGAUCAUCCAUACCUUACUCAUGCAUCUAUAGAGUACAAAUAGUUAUAAUCACAAUUUACAAGGGUUGAAAUGAUGUGCAGAUCAAAACAGAAGAACGUUAUUGCCAUAGAAAAAGGCACUUUGACAUUGUUAUGGGGAUCGUGCAAGGACUUGUUUAUCUCCACCAAGAUUCCAGAUUUCAAAUCAUUCAUUGGAAUCUUAAGGCAAGCAAUAUACUGCUAGAUGAAAACCUGAACCCCAAAAUUUCAGACUAUGGCUUGGCAAUAAUUUUUGGAGGGGGAUGAAAUGGAAGCAAAAACAGAGUAAUUGGAACAUAGUAAGUUCUGUACUUCGACUUUAGAAAUGAUGUGCUUUUCCUUGAAAUAACUUAUAUUUGAAAUCUUCAUGCAGUGGCUACACGUCCCCAGAGUAUGUGCUUGAUUGCAAAUUUUCUGUUAAAUUUGAUAUCUUUAGUUUUGGUGUGCUUCUGCUGGAGAUUGUGGCUGGUAUAAAGAACAGGGGUUUCUAUCAUUCAAACUACCACCAUAAUCUUCUGGGACAUGCAAGUAGAAAGAAUGAAAAUCCACCUCUGUCACACAUACACAUCAAAGACGCAUGCCCUCUCUUGCUUUUCUGACAAAGUAUAUGGCUUCCAAUUGCUUUAGACAUGCUUUGGAAACAAGACAAGGCCUUGGAAGUAAUGGAUGCAUGUUUGGAGGACUCAUGUAUUGAAUCCCAGCUACUAAGAUGCAUACAAGUCGGUUUAUUAUGUGUUGAAAACCUCCCAGCAGAUAGACCAGCUAUGUCAUCUGUGAUUUUCACGUUGGGUAAUGAGGGAGCAACACUACCUUAACCUAAACAUCCUGGUUUCUUCACAGAAAUAAGUAUGAUCGAUACAGAUGCAACAACAGGACGUGAAGAGUUACCUUCAGAAAAUGUAGUAACCAUCUCAGUGCCAGAAGGUAGAUAAAGGAUUCAAGCACUAUGUCAGCAUGUGCAGGGUGCAUCCAAGGUUUAAUUCAUGUAGGAUAUAGCACUAGGCUCUUCAAUGGAUGGGCACCAAUUUCCUUAAGGUUGCAAAACUAGAUUAUAGCUUGGGCCCAAGGAGGCUAAGGUAUUGGAUUUACUGCACUAGAACCAUAUCUGCUGGGCUUCAUAAUCCUCUAAAUGUAUGAAUAAAAUGUGCUGGAGUGUGUCCUCUAUGGCAGCUCAGGGCAGUGUGAUUUGUAACUUAAAACUCACUAGUAAAACUUUUGAAAUUCAUAUUUUCACAGGAUCAAGUUGCGUAUACGCACAAGAAUGUGGAUUCUGCAGUGACCUUAGCUGAUUCGCUUUAUUUUCCUCAGAGUUUACAUUUGCAGGGCUUGUAUAGAUGCUGAGCUAUACAAAAAAUCUAGAUUUCAAAUCUCUCAAGAAUUUCUAGAGGUGUUCAAAAUCCUUUGAAAUGUCCUUGGGAAGUGCAAUGAGCUUGCAACAAAUUGGAGUGAAUGGAGAUAAACAAAUUGAAAAUCAAAUGAGAGGAUUUGAAGCUUAAACAAAUAAUCACCUUCACAUAAUAAGGUGUGAAUCUCUACUGUCUCUCUCAAGUUAGAAAUUAUGCUGUUGAGCAAUAACAAGGCAAUAUGCUUCUCCAAGAUUGUGUGCAAUUGAUUAAAUAAGUGGAAUAUAUACAUCUUUUAACUUCUUUUCAUCUUCCCAGAAGCUUCAAAAUUUUUUGCAAAACAUUAACUUGAAUACUGUACAGUGGCAAACCUUAGUGGGAGCUUUCAAAUUAUUUAGGAGAAAGAAUUCAAGAACUAUGUAACAGAUGAUUCACAUAGGUUCUUUCCUUAGGACUAACAUGGAAAGAAUUCAAGUAAAUGGAGAUGAAUGUUUAUCAAAUUAAUAGAGACAAACCUACCAAGCAACCAUUGAGAUGCUACAAGCUCAAUUCAGAUAGUUUGAUCUUGCAACAUUUUUUCCAAUUAAUUGAGGGGGCAUAAGAGAAGACACUGAUUUUACAUCUUAGUAACUUGUUUUUCAUUGGAUUUGGAAAAUUCCAAGUUACCCUGUUCAGACAAUUCUUCCAAUUGAAAUAAUUGAGCUUGCAUAGCACGGUACUCUGUUAAGAUUCUGGAGUCCUUGAAGACUGCAACCUGAUCCACUUGAUGCUGUGUCAUGGUUCAAUUAACUAGCUAGUCAUGCUUGAGAGGACCUGUCUGACAAACUCCAAGAAAAAUCUACAUUAGCAACUAUUUUAUUUUAAUUUUCUUCCUAUGUCUAUAAGCAGAUAGCAUAGAGUGAUUUAUGGUAUAUCUUCAAAUUAAUAAAUGGUAGUUUUUUCAUUUUUUUUCAUUCGUUCAUGUACAGAGUAUAUAUAGAGGGUAAUUACCAUUCUAAGAAUGGGAAGGAACGAUACAAGGAAAGAAUGAUAUAAGGAAAUAACAACUAAUAUCCUAAUAUCUCAACUUUCCUAAUAUCUCAAUAUUCUUAAUAUCUCAAUAUUCUUAAUAUCUCAAUAUUCAUAAUAUCUCAAUAUUCCUAAUAUCUCAACUUUCCUAAUAUCUAAACAUUCCUAAUAUCUCAACACUCCCCCUCAAGUUGGUGCAUAGAUGUCACACAUGCCCAACUUGUCUAAAAAUUUUGAGAACACUUGACUUGAGACAGCUUUGGUGAGGAUAUCGGCCAAUUGAUUUUCUGAUUGAAUCUUAGACAAUUCCACAAUCUUAUCAUCCAACUUUUCCUUAAUGAAGAAUCUAUCCACCUCGACAUGCUUUGUACGAUCAUGUUGUACUGGAUUAUGAGCAAUGUCACAUGCGGCUUUAUUGUCACAAAACAAUCGGAUUGGUUGCUUAGAUAGGUAACCUAAAUCCUGUAAGAGGAGUCUUAGCCAUAAUGCCUCACAAAGUCCUAGAGCCAUACCUCUAAAUUCCGCUUCUGCACUUGAAUGGGCGAUGACAUUCUGCUUCUUACUUUUCCAUGUCACAAGAUUACCACCUACAAAGGUAAAGUAACCAGAUGUAGAUCGCUUAUCAUCCACUGCACUAGCCCAAUCAGCAUCAGUAUAUACUUCUAUACUCUGAUGAUCAACAUUUUUAGCGAACAAAAUUCCCUUCCAAGGAACAUUCUUCAAAUACCUCAAAAUACGCAUGACUGCAUUCAUAUGUUGCUCUCCAGGAUUAUGCAUGUAUUGACUCACUACACUCAAUGCAUAAGCAAGAUUUGGACUUGUAUGAGCUAAGUACAUUAACUCCCCACAAGUCUCUGGUAUCUUCCCUUAUCGGUUGAUACUUGAUUAGGCUCAACACACAAUUUCAAACCUUCUUCUAUUGGUGUAUUAACAGGUUGACAUCCCAACAUUCCAGUCUCCUGUAAAAGAUCUAAGGCAUACUUUCUUUGAGACAGAAAAAUUCCUUCACUUGAUCGAGAAACUUCAAUCCCAAGAAAGUAUUUCAGAGGACCUAGAUCUUUCAUUUCAAAUUCUCUAAAUAGAUAAUUUUGCAAAGCUUUUCUUUCUUCAGGAUCAUUUCUUGUAACUACCAUGUCAUCCACAUAUACGAUAAGUGUCGUAAUCUUACCAUGUUGCUUUUUUAGGAACAAAGUGUGAUCUAAAUUACUUUGACGAUAGCCAAAAGCUCUCAUUGAUUUUGUGAACCUUCCAAACCAUGCUCUCGGGGAUUGCUUCAACCCAUACAAUGACUUCUUCAAUUUGCACACCUUCUGACAUUGCUUUUCUGACACCAUGCAUCCUGGUGGAAGAUCCAUGUAUACUUCUUCAGAUAACUCGCCAUGCAGAAAGACAUUUUUCACAUAGAACUGUUGUAAUGGCCAAUCUAGGUUUGCAGCUAAAGAUAGUAAUACUCGAACUGUGUUGAUCUUAGCUACAGGUGCAAAUGUCUCUGUGUAGUCAAUUCCAUAAGUUUGAGUGUACCCUUUUGCUACCAGUCUUGCUUGAAAUCGUUCAAUACUACCAUCUGCCUUGUUCUUCAUAGUAUAGAUCCAACGACACCCAAUUGGUUUCUUUCCUGGUGAACAUUUUACGAGUUCCCAUGUUUCAUUAUUCUGCAAUGAUUUCAUCUCUUCAUUCAUGACUGUUUUCCACCUUGGAUCAGCUAAGGCUUCCUGCACACUGUUAGGAAUAGCUACAAUAGAUAAUUGAUUUAAAAAUGACUUAUUUGAUUCAGACAAAUGAUGGUUAGACACAUAGUUGCUCAUGAGAUAUUUGACUUUGGUAGACAAUUCAGGUUCAUAUGUGGGUUUAGGAAUACCUCUAUUAUGACGGUGUGGUAACCGUUUCAUGAAUGGAUCAGGUUCCAAAUUAAGAACACCCUCAACAGACGACGAUUGGUUUGGUAUUUCAGUGAAGACACAUUCGAACCCAAAUUGUUGACCACUCAUAUCCAACUCACCCGCUUCUUGGUUCACUAGUUCAGAUUGUCCAAAUUCAUCCUCCUCAGAGAUAUGAUAAUCGUAAUCGAGAGUCUGAAUUUCCUUAUGGUACUCUCCCUAAAGUUCAGACUCAGAUGAANNNNNNNNNNNNNNNNNNNNNNNNNNNNNNNNNNNNNNNNNNNNNNNNNNNNNNNNNNNNNNNNNNNNNNNNNNNNNNNNNNNNNNNNNNNNNNNNNNNNAUGCAUGAGAAGUUAACUUGGUGCGUUGGUGUUUGUGUAGAUGCACAAAUUCCAUGCAACCAAAAACACGAGGAGGUAGAUUUGGGACGGUUGGGGCAACUAUGGCAUUAGUAAGAGCUUGGAGAGGUGUUUGGAAGUUAAUUAGGCUAGAAGGCACCCGAUUGCUCAAGUAUGUGGCAGAUGUGAUUGCUUCUCCUCAAUAAGAUAUCGGUAUUUUUGCUGCUAUCAAGGAAGCACGAACAACCUCUAAUAAGUGCCGAUUUUUUUGUUCAGCGACUCCAUUUUGCUAGGGUGUAUUGGAACAAGUAGUCUAAUGAAUGAUGCCAUGUUCUUUCAAAUACUUUUGAAGAUCAGAACUUUGAUAUUCUCCACCAUUAUCACUACGCAAAACCCGAACCUUUGCAUUGUACUGAGUUUCAAUCAUUUUAUGAAAAUUUUGAAACAACAAGUUCACUUCAUCUUUGGUCUUCAUCAAGCAUAACCAUGUCAUUCUGGUACAAUCAUCAAUAAAAGUAACAAACCAACGUGAGCCACUCAAAGUUGGGACUUUGGAUGGGCCCCAAACAUCAGAAUGUAAAACCAUAAAAGGAAGCGGACUUUUAUUCAAAAUUAACGGAAACGAAACACGAUGACUUUUAGCCAAUUCACAAAUAUCACAACGGAAACCAGAAAUAUCACUCUUUGCAAACAAACUAGGAAACAAUUUUUUUAAAUAACCAAAGGAAGCAUGUCCCAGACGUCGAUGCCACAACCAAAUUUCAGACUUUUUCUUCUCCUUCUCAGAUCCAUCUGCCAUCAAGGCUUGUUGCAACUUAUUUGAAUCCUUUGACUACAAGUCCAAGUAAUAGAGUUUUCCCCGCUUAAUACCCUAACCAAUCGUCUGUCUUGUUUGGAUGACCUUAAUCACACAAAAUUUAGGCCAAAAUAUGACAAUACAAGAUAAGGCUGCAGUGAUUUGAGAAACUGAAAAAAGAUUGUAAUAUAGAGAUGGAACAACUAAAACAUAAUCCAAAUUCAAAGUAUCAGUAAGAGUUAAGGAUCCUUCCCCAAUGACUGGGGUUGUGUUACCAUUGGCUGUGGAAACAAUUUUUUGUGAGGAAGGUCUAAGAGGUGAAACCUGUCUAGAAUCAAAAGUCAUAUGAUCUAUAACACCAGAAUCAAUUAUUGAUUCGUGUGCCUAGCUGGUGUACCUUGAGUUUGGUCCUCAGACAGGAGUAAUCAACAAAAUUUAUAACCUAUAUCACCAUGCACUAGGAUAGCCUUAGCUAAUAUAGCAUAGUGGCUCUAGGAUCGUUCACUGGGAAGGGUUUUCAACUUAUAACUGAUACCAAUUCAAAGUUGAAUUGGUGUUUUUUCAUUUCAAGGUUAGCUUCAAAAGAAAACAUAAACUUUUGUUGAAAAAUGAUUUGUUUUAAGCUAACUAAAAAGAAAGUAAUGGGAAUUACUUAUGAAGAAAACGUUCCUUGGAGUUUUAGGAUCACUGGGAUCAGGCUCCUCAUGCAAAAACAGAGCUCCGGUCACUUGAAUCUUUUCCUCGCAUUAAAGAAUUAACAUGUAGUUAAUUCUCUAACCGGUGUUGUACAGAUGCUUCCCUUUUAUGGAUUUCAGCACUAAUUCCUUCUUACUGAUGCAUCUUGCAAUGGCUCGUGCCUCUCACCUAGCAUUUGUCAUUCAAGGUGAUCAUUAACCUUGGACUUCCUUUCUCAAGCUCGCAAGAGAUAACUAAUGGAUGUCUCCUUAGAGUCCAAAAGCUUACCAAGUGUUGGCAAUUCUAGAAAUCCUACCUUCAAGUCACCUCCCAAAGGCUCGUAAAAGGUAAACUAGCGCAUCUCCAUGGACGGAGAUCAUUUGCCUUACCAAGUGUUGGUCCAGGUGAAUUGAAGGCGUUUUAAGUUAACUAAAAACAUAGAAACCAUAAACGGGUCACACUUUCUCUUCAUUAACAGCUGAAACAACAAAACUACCAAUUCUUGCACUCGGGGCCUUACCCAGCUACCUUAGCUCCAAGAGACAAAAAAGUCUAGCCACUCAUUCUCUGAGGAAACAUCCUCAGAGCUUGUUUGACUAGUAAGAAAAAUACAAUCAAAGUGAGUAGGUAAGGCAGAGCAAAGCUCUGUAUUUUACUUCCUUCAAAACUAUACAAAAAGUUGUGUCUCUGAGAACAAGCUCCCGAGAUGUCUCUGUAAUGAAAAUUACAAACAAUAUAUAUAUGAGGUUAUUCACCCUUUGUGCUUACUUAAUAACUAAGGAAUCUUAUAAUUGGUGGAUUACAAGGAGAGAAUGGGGAUUUAGACAUCAAAUAUCUGAAGCAAAAAAUCUAAAAAUAUCGAUCGCAAAUAUCUGGAAGCACUCUGGAGGAUUUCGCAGGUGUGCAAGAUGGCUGUGAAAUUUUACAACCUGAAGGACACCAUUUCGCAGCCAAAGGCUGAUUUCCCAGCCAUCACCUUGUGAUUUCGUAGCCUGCGGAAUUGACCUUCAGCUUGGUGUGAUUUGCUUGCUCUAACUUCUUCAUUUCAACUCCGAAUCGCACAGCAUUUGAAGCGUUGGAUUGCUGACUUCUCGAGCUUCGAAACAACAUAUAGUAUGCAUAAAUUGAGCUCUAGGAAAUGCUCCAAAAGUGUCCAACAAUUGCUAUCCUCUUGAAUUCUUCAUGUUAGAUUUCUCUCUUUGCUUUCCCUCCUUGUAUUCAUGAUUUGCUUAUGGGAAAGGACUAUAAAGCUUCAAAGCUUAGGUUCUUCAUGUUAAUGAGCUUUCAAUUGCUUUGCCAUGGAUUCCAUAGAACUCUCCUCAAUCUUGGAUUGCUUUGGUGAUCAAAAUACUAUCAAAAACACCAAAACUUACACAAUUUGAUUAGAAAUGAUUGCAAAGGUACUUAAUAUGCUAAUUGAGUUAAAAGGUAAUAACUACUACUCAAAAGUGUUUAAAAGAGUUAAUUACAAGCUAUCAAAUAACACUUUUUGAGUAGUAAUCAAUUAUCCAUGCACUAUUAAUAACAGGUGUAAAAGUAUUUAAAAACUUACCACCAUGAUCUAUAGCGGCUACCAAUGCAGAGGCUUUCUCAGCAACAUUAGCCUUUAUUUUUAUUUCGGCAAUAGUUGCAGUCGAGGUUUUCUUGGAAUCCUUCUUCCGUUGAUCACGAUUAUUGUCAUUAAUAACAAAGUGGUGAUAGCCUAAACAUGAUCUAAAGGUCUAUGGUUCAAAUCCUCGGUUCCUCAUUGUUUUCAUGGUCAUACCAAGAGUCGUUGCUUUGAAAUUGUGGGAUAACCAGACUGGUGGGAUCAGUCUUAUUGCAGUGAGUGCAUUUGAAGGUUGACUUAUCAAUAUUAGGGCUUGUCUUAGGAUGGUUGAUCACUGUUGGACUACCAUAGCAACAAAAUAUCCAGGAUGUCAAUUCCAUGGAUCUGAUACCAUCUUCAAAUUGAUAAAUGGUAGUUUUUUCAAUUUUUUUUCAUUCGUUCAUGUACAAAUAUAUAGAGGGUAAUCACCAUUCUAAGAAUGGGAAAGAAUGAUACAAGAAAAGAAUGAUAUAAGGAAAUAACAACUAAUAUCCUAAUAUUUCAACUUUCCUAAUAUCUCAAUAUUCCUAAUAUCUCAACUUUCCUAAUAUCUAAACAUUCCUAAUAUCUAAACAUUCCUAAUAUCUCAACACUAACUAAUAUAAGGAAAGAAUGAUAUAAGGAAAGCAUUCCUAAUAUCUCAACAGUAUAUCCUCUAUGGCACCAUGUUUUUCCAUAAACACAUUGAUGAUGAAUAAGCUUUCAUAAAUUAGAUAGGGCAUGAGCUUUCCAUGUGGCACUAUUUUUUUUUUUUUUUUUUGUGGAAAAUAAUUUAGUAUUUUAAGCUUUACUAUAACCCAUAAAACUUUUCCUUCAUUUGGAAAAAAUGAAUCUGAAGCUACCCAGAAGCUGACCUGAAAAGACAUGUCUUAAUUGUUCUUUUAAUUAUUAAUUUUAUUGUGGGCAUGACCUAGGUUGAGAAAGGUCCAAUAAGGCUUAGAAAAUUCAUGGAAAGAUAUAUAUAUAUAUAUAUAGAAGUGAUAGGUCAAGUUCAUUCAUCCGCAUGAAAAGGACCAGGGUCGACUUCUUAAUGGUUCGUACUUACUAACGUAGAAAUUAGGGAAGAAAUCACGACAGGUGCUGCUACCUAGGAAAGGUAACACCAUUGCACUUGACUAUGAUCCUCUACCUCAUGUUCAUGUGAUGAUUAUGACGUAGGUGACAACUGUUUUAUCAGAUUGGAAGUAUAGAAUUCCAAGAAUAUUGAAGACAAAUCAAGCGCAAAUGAAGGCGAAGAUUAACAGAUGGAUUAUUACUCACAAAGGAAACUAAGGGUGAAUCUUCCCAGACAACGAUACAGAAAUGAGUGAUGGGUGCUGCAGUCCCUGUUUCAAGGCGGCUGUAUCGCCUACAAUUAAUCAAUCUCUACAAAAAGUGAUUAAAAAGUGAAUUUUUUUAACAAAAAAAAAGAGUUCUUUUUUCUUUUUUUUCUUUGAGGUCUUAACUCUAUAACACUCGAUCUAAUUAAAACUAACAUGGAAAGAAUCCAAGUAAAUAGAGAUGGAUGUUUAUCAAAUUAAUAGAGACAAUCCAGACAUCAAGAUUGGCAUGCCAAGCAACCAUCGAGAUGCUACCUUCCAAGCCCUAUAACACAAACUCAUUUAAGAUAGUUUGAUUUUCUGACAUUUAAAAAAAAAAAUUCAAUGAGGGAACAUUUGGGAGGACUUUACAAUUUUACAUUUCAGUAACUUGUUUUUCAUUGGAAUUGGAAAAUUCCUAGUCACCCUGUUGAGGCAGUUCUUCCAAUUCUAAUGCUUGAUCCCUUAAACCUACAUAACACAAUACUCUGUUGGACUAAGACUGAAAGCUUGACCAAGUCAAAAACUGCAGUGUUGUCCUCUUGAUGCCGUGUCUUGGACAACUUCCAGGAAAAACCUACAUUAGAGAAAUUUUAGUAUUUUUUUUAACUAGUGUAUAGAAGUUUUCCUUCCAUUUGUGAGAAAUGUCAAUGGAGACCCAUAUUUUCUUCUCCAUCUUUUGUGCUUGGAUUUGUCUCUUUCCAUUGGAGUUUUGUAUUGCAGCUGAUUCGUGCCCAAUUGGUGUAUCAGCUGAUUCAUGUCCAGUUGGUGCUCCUUGAUUGAGGGAGUAAUCAACAAAAUUUAUAACCUAUUACACCAUGAACUAGGGUAGCAAAGACAAAGCUACUAUAGCAUAGUGGCUCUAGGAUCGUUCACUGGGAAGGGUUUUCAAUUCAUAAAUGAUACCAAUUCAAAGUGAAUUGGUGCUUUUUCAUUUCAAGGUUAGCUUAAGAAAUAAAACACAAACUUUGAUUGAAAAAGGUUUAGGUUUAAACUAACGGCAAAGGAAGUAAUGGAAAUUACUUAUGAAGAAAAACAUUCCUUGGAGGUUUAGGUUCACAGGGGAGGUUUCUCAUGCAAAAACAGAACUCCGGUCAUUUGGUUCAUUUCCUCUCAUUAGAGAAUUAACAUAUAGUCAAUUCUCUAAUCGGUGUUGUACAGAUGUAUCCUUUAAAUGGAUUUCAGCUCUAAUUCCCUCUCACUGAUGCAACUUGCAAUGGCUUGUGCCUCUCACUUAGCAUUUGCCAUUCAAGGUGAUCUUUAACUUUGGACUUCCCUUCUCAAGCUCGCAAGAGAUAACUAAUGGAUGUCUCCUUGGAGUCCAAAAGCUUACCAAGUGUUUUGGCAAUUCUAGAAAAUCCUACCUUCAAGUCACUUCCCAAAAGCUCACAAGAGGUAAACUAGUGCAUCUCCAUGGACGGAGAUCACUUGCCUUACCAAGUGUUGGCUCAAGUGAAUUGAAGGUGUUUUAAGUUAACUAAAAACAUAAAAAUCAUUAAAGGAUCACACUUUCUCUUCAAUAAUGGCUGAAACCACAAAGCUACUAAUUCUUGCACUUGGAACCUUUCCCAGCAACCUUAACUCUAAGGAACUAAAAGUCUAGCCACUUAUUCUCUGAGGAAACAUCCUCAGAGCUUGUUUGGCUAGUAAGAAAAUACAAUCAAAAUGAGAAGGUAAAGCAGAGCAAAGCUCUGUAUUUUUCUUCCUUUGAAAACUAUACAAAAGAUGCGUCCUCCCCUAUUUGAUCGAUAUAUGAUCGAUAUCUUAUGUAAAGGAAAUUACAAACUAUAUAUAAGAGGUUAUUCACCCUUUGUUCUUACUUAAUAACUAAGGAAUCCUAUAAUUGGUGGGUUACAAGGAGAGUUUGGGGAUUUAGACAUCAAAUAUCUAAAGCAAAAUAUCUCAAAAUGUCAGUUGGACAUAUCGGGAAGCUUCAAGAGAACACCGCGGCACUAUGCAGAAAAAUAUCUCAAAAUGUCGAUCGGACAUAUCAGGAAGCUUCAGGAGAACAUCGUGGCACUGUGCAAAAUGGUUGCGAAACUCUCCGGGUAAGCGCUAUCAGAGGAUUCGGAUAUGUCUGACCGGGGAAGUUGAAACGCCCUCCUCUCUCAUCCGGUGUCAACCGCCGGAUGUGAAACAUUCGGAUGGAAUGUCGGCGGAGAAGAAUUUCGGAUGUGAGACAUCCGGGUGGAAUGUCGGCGGAGCAGAAUUCCGGAUGUGAUACAUCCGGGUGGAAUGGCAGCGCGCUCCCCUAUCCGGACUCCCUUAGGGAGAAGCACACGGCACUCGCGAUCAUUACACCCUGGACGAUAGCAUAUCCUAUCAGGAUAUGUGGUCCGUAUCAUUGGCUAAAGUGCACAAGCCUUGCUACGUCAUUCCGAUAGCCUGCCACAGCUCACAUUCUGCCGCCCUCUGAUAGUGUGUCCGGACGCCCUGUCCGGACAUCUUUUGCCAUGGAUUUCAAAGAACUCUCCUCAAUCUCGGAUUGCUUUGGUGAUAAAAAAGCUAUCAAAACACCAAAACUUAACACAAUUUGAUUAGAAUUGAUUGCAAGGGUCCUUAAUAUGUUAAUUGGGUUAAAAUGUGAUAACUACUACUCAAAAGUGUUUAAAAGAGUUAAUUACAAGCUAUGAAAUAGCACUUUCUGAGUAGUAAUCAGCAGCUGAUUCCAUAAGGAUGGACGAAUCCAUAAGCCAUGGUGAGACUUUAGUUUCCUCAGGCCAAAGUUUUGAACUAGGCUUCUUCUCUUCUAGAAGCUCCAAAAACAGGUACUUGGGAAUAUGGUACAAGAAUACACCCCAAACAGUUGUAUGGGUUGCAAACAGAAACAACCCAAUUGUAGAUUCUUACGGAGUUUUAACCAUCAUCAACAAUGGCACACUUGUUCUUCUCAACCAGUCAAAGAGUGUAAUCUGGUCUCCCAAUUUGUCAAGGGUACUUGAAAAUCCAGUUGCACGGCUCCUAGAGACUGGAAAUCUUGUUCUCAGGGAUAAUAGUAAUGAAAGUUCUGAAAGCUAUAUAUGGCAGAACUUUGAUGAUCCAUCAGACACAAUGUUGCCAGGCAUGAAGGUGGGAUGGAACUUAAAGACUGGUCUACAACAAAAAUUGACAUCAGGGAGAAGUGCUGAUGACCCAUCCAUUGGAGACUUCUCUUACAGAAUUGAUAUUAAUGUGCUGCCUUACAUGGUUCUUGGUGUGGGAUCAAGCAAAAAAGUCCGUUUCGGGCCGUGGAAUGGACUUGAAUUCAAUGGUGUUCUUGUGUUGGACUACUUGGUUUACAAAGAAGUUUUUGUUAACAACGACGAUGAGGUAUAUACCCUCUGUGAGUCUAACAACAAUAAGAUCAUUUCAAGACUAACAUUGAACCAUUUAGGUUUCCUCCAGCGUCUGAUAUAAAAAAAAGGAAGCUCUGAAUGGGAUGAAUUGUACUCAAUUCCCAGUGAACUUUGUGAAAAUUAUGGCCAUUGUGGUGCUAAUGAUAUCUGUAGAAUUGGCAAGACGCGGAUUUGUGAGUGUUUGCCAGGUUUCACACCAAAUUCACAAAAAAGGGACAUGUUUAAUACAUCAAGCGGAUGCACACGAAGAAGGCAUUUGGAUUGCCAAAGUGAAGAGGGAUUUGUAAAGGUUACAGGGGUGAAAUUGCCCGACUUGAUAGAUUCUCAUGUGAUUAAUAGUGUGAGCCUUAGGGAGUGUGAGGUGUUGUGCUUGAGCGACUGUUCUUGUACAACAUAUGCCUAAUCAAAUGCAUAUGCUUACUCAAAUCCUAAUGGAAACAAUGGCUGUUUGAUGUGGUCUGGGGACCUGAUUGAUAUCAGAGAGUUAACUUCAGAAAAACAUGCGGAGGACAUCUAUAUCCGCAUGCACACUUCAGAGCUAGGUAAGACACUUGAUUUUCUGUAAAUCACUUUUUGAUUGUAAGCUAUUGGGGUUGUCUCCAAUAGCCUAAGCCCUAAGUUAUCCUGGUAAAUUAAGAUGCAGAAUUACUUAUUUUCCAAAAUCAGAGAUUCAAUUUGACAAGAAUAUUAUAAUCUAGUUAAAACUAAGACCCUAUAUUAUAUUCCAGAAGAACCAUAGCUGUUAGGAUUCAAGUUAAUUAAUGAUGAACUGACUUGUAAUAAUCCUAACAAACAGAAAGCAAAUAUCCAAUUCAUUUUCCGAAGAAACAGGAAAAUCUGAAGAAAUGGACAAAGCCUACUUCUGAAAGUACUAAUGAACAAAAGGAUUUAUAUGAAAAGUGGGAGCGCUCUAAUCGCAUGAGUCUAAUGAUUAUGAAAGGUUCAAUCACUCCUGCAAUUCAUGGAGCAAUCCCGAAUUCAGAUAAUGCAAUGAGCUAUAUUAAAUAAGUUGAAGAACAAUUCUUAGGAACUUCCAAGUCCUUGGCAAAGUACUCUUAUGAUCAAAAUGAUAACAAUGAAAUAUGAUGGUCAUAGUGGUGUACGUGAGCACAUCAUGAAGAUGAGUGACAUGACUUCUCAAUUAAAAGGAAUGAACAUGGCAAUUUUUGAAGGUUUUCUUGUUCACUUCAUAAUGACUUCCUUUCCUUCACAAUUUGGUCCUUUCAAAAUUAAUUAUAAUACUCAGAAGGAUAAGUGGAAAAUGAAUGAACUAAUUACCAUGUGUGUUCAAGAAAAAGAGAGGCUUAAAAUGGAAAAGCCCGAUAUGGCUCACUUCACUAUUGGUCCAAAUAAAAAAUCCUUCAAGAAAGGUAAAGGUAAGAAAAAGAAGCAAGGUAAUGAUGUAUCUCAUAAUGGGAAAAAGGACGAAAAUAAGAUACAAUGUCAUUUUUGCCACAAGAAAGGUCACAAAAGAAGAUAUUGUUUUGGCUUUAAGGCUUGGUUGGAAAAGAAAGGCAAAACUCAAUGCUUAGUGUCUUAUGAAUCUUAUUUAGUUUAUAUACCACCAAACUCUUGGUGGAUUGACACUAGUGCAAGGAUUCACAUAAUGAAUUCAUUGUAGGGAUACCUUACAAGCAAUAGACUAAGUAAAGGAGAGUGAACCAUUACUUUGGGAAAUGGAACGGAAGUGGAAAUUGAGGCUAUUGGCACUCUUCGUUUAAUUUUGGAUACUGGUUUCAUUAUGGAUUUAGUAGAUACAGUUUAUGUUCCUGUUUUUACUAGAAACCUAAUUUCAGUUCCAAGACUUGAUUCUUAUGGUUAUGAAUUAAAGUUUGGAAAUAAUGGAGUUUCCUUGUUCUAUAAUUCUUGUUUGGUUGUCUCUGGCACUUUACAUGGUAAUCUUUAUUCAUUGAAUUUAGAUUGCAAAUAUUCACAGUCUCUUUUAUCUUAUCAUGUGUAUGAAUCUCUAAAAAACGAAAUCGAGUGAAUGAAAAUUCAUCCAUAUUAUGGCAUAAGCGAUUGGGUCACAUUUCAAGAGAAAGGAUGGAACGUCUUAUUAAAGAUGAAAUUUUGACUUCACUUGAUUUUUAUAAUUUUACUAGUUGUGUUGAAUGCAUAAAGGGAAAAAUACACUAAGGUUAAGGAAAAGGGUGCCUCAAGGGUCACUGAAUUGUUAGAAUGUAUUCAUUCUGACAUUUGGGGACCUUAUUCAAUUCCAACUAUCAAUGGACAUAAGUACUUUAUUUGUUUUAUUGAUGACUUUUCAAGGUAUUCUUAUGUGUAUCUUAUUUGUGAAAAAUCUGAAGCAUUAGAUGUUUUUAAGAUUUAUAAAGCUAUGAUUGAAAAUCAACUCAAUCGGUGAAUUAAAAGUGUAAGAUCUGAUAGAGGUGGUGAAUAUUAUGGUAAGUUCACUGAAUCAGGUCAACAUCUUAGUACUUUUGCCUUAUUUUUAAGAGAGCAUGGUAUCAUUGCAAACUACACAAUGCUUGGAACACCAGAGCAAAAUGGUGUAGUAAAGCGACAGAAUCGUACUCUAAUUGACAUAGUGAGAAGUAUGAUGAGUAACUCAACCUUGCCUGAAUUGUUGUGGGGUGAAACAUUGAAAACUACUGUUCACAUUCUCAAUCGUGUUACUAGUAAGGUUGUACCUAAAACUCCUUAUGAGUUAUGGGUGGGUAGGAAACCAACUUUGAAUUAUUUACAUGUAUGGGGAUGUCCAGCUGAAGCUAAAUUUUUUAACCCACAAAUAAAGAAAUUAGAUUUUAAAACCAUAAGUUAAAAUUUCAUUGGCUAUCCUGAAAGAUCAAAAUGUUUUAGAUUUUAUUGUCAUGGCCAAUGCCCUAAAAUUGUUGAAACUAGACAUGCUGUGUUUUUGGAAAAUGAAUAUUUUAGUGGGAGAACUGAGCUUAAAAAGUUAACCUCUAAUGAAGUAUCAACACCAAUGAUGGAAUAUGGUGUGACUCAAGGGGUUUCUUGUAAUGAAAAUGAGAAUGUCCCAACUACUAAAGUAAUUUUACGUAGAUCACAAAGAGAGAAAAGACCUGCUAUAUCAAAUGACUACGAGGUUUAUCUUAAUGAGUGUGAUUAUGAUGUUGGCUUGGAAAGUGAUCCUACUUCUUAUGAUCAAGCCAUCAAUAGUGAAAAUUCAACUCUAUGGCUUUAUGCUAUGGAAGAAGAGUUGAAAUCAAUGAAAGAUAAUGAAGUUUGGGAUCUUGUAGAAUUGCCCAAAGGAAUUAAAACUAUUGGUUGAAAAUGGAUUUUUAAAACCAAAUAUGAUUCUAAGGGCAAUGUCGAAAGAUACAAGGCCAGGUUAGUUGCAAAAGGAUACACUAAAAAAGAAGGAAUCGACUACAAGUAAACAUUUUCUCCCAUUUCCAAGAAAGAUUCCUUAAGAAUAGUCAUGGCUUUAGUAGCUCAUUUUGACUUAGAGUGACAUCAAAUGGACAUUAAAACUGCCUUUUUGAAUGGUGACUUGCAUGAAGAGGUUUAUAUGGAUUAACCUGAGGGUUUUCAGGAUAAAGGCAAGGAACAUAUGGUAUGUAAACUUAAAAAGUCCAUAUAUGGUCUAAAACAGGCUUCUAGACAAUGGUAUCUUAAGUUCCAUGAAAUUCUCAUCACUUUUGGUUUCAAAGAGAAUCUAGUGGAUUAAUGUAUAUGCCUUAAGAUCAGUGAGAGCAAAAUUUGUAUUAUUGUAUUGUAUGUUGAUGAUAUGUUGCUUGCUAGCAACAAUAUGGGAAUGAUUUUUGAGACCAAACAAUUUUUAUCUAAGAAUUUUGAUAUGAAAGAUCUUGGUGAAGCAUCCUAUGUGAUAGGAAUUGAAAUUCAUCGAGAUAGGUCACGUGGAUUAUUAGGAUUAUCCCAAAAGAACUAUAUUGAAAAAGUUCUUAAAAGAUUCAAUAUGCAAAAUUGUUCUAGCAAUGUUGCUCUUGUUGUGAAAGGGGACAUAUUUUGUGAACUUCAAUGUCCUAAAAAUGAUCUUGAAAAGAAACAAAUGGACAAAAUUCCUUAUGCUUCUGCAGUAGGGAGUAUCAUGUAUGCUUAAGUAUGCACUCGACCAGAGAUAACUUAUGUGGUAGGCAUGCUUGGUCGAUACCAAAGUAAUCCAAGUAUUGAUCAUUGGAAAGUAGUUAAGAAAGUAUUACGUUAUUUACAAGGGACUAAGGACUACAUGCUUACAUGCAGAAUAACAGAUAAUCUAGAAAUUAUUGGUUAUUCUAAUUCUGAUUAUGUUGGCUAUAAGGAUACCAGAAAAUCUACAUCUGGGUAUAUUUUUAUGUUAUCAAAUGUACCUAUUUUAUGGAAGAGCCAUAAGCAAUCAUUGAUAGCUUCUUCUACAAUGGAGGCAGAAUAAGUAGCAUGUUAUGAAGCCACAUGUCAUGCAAUAUGGUUGAGAAACUUUGUAUCAGGGCUUCAUGUUAUUGAUUCGAUAAUGAGACCAUUGAGAAUAUAUAGUGAUAAUAGUGUUGUUGUUCGAUUCUCUAAAAAUAAUAAGACUACAGGAGGAUCAAAGCACAUUGAUAUUAAGUAUUUGGUUGUAAGGGAGAAAGUUCAAAAUGGAGUUGUCUCUAUUGAACAUAUUGAAAAUACACUCAUGUUGGUAGAUUCAUUGACAAAAGGUCUUCCACCUAAGCUUUUUAUGGAUUAUGUUGCGCACAUGGGCUUGGUGGCAAGUUUGUCAAUUUUAGAUUGAUUAAGAGUGUAAUGUAUGUGAUCACAUUAUAAUGAGAAUAAAGUUCUUGAUUAUGAUAUAUUGAUGAUUAUUAUGUUACUUUUAUACAUCAUUUUUGUGCACAAUCUAGAUGUUUAAAAGUUGAUGGGACCAUUAUGUGAAUGAAUUAGUAUUAUCACCUUAAUGUUGCUAAUGUCAUAAAAUUCAUUGAUUCAUGUUAAUGGAGGUGCUAGUACUAUAAUCCUUGAAGAAUAUUGGAUCAUUGUGUGAUCCAAUCAUUUCAAUGAUUUUGUGUUAGUGGUUCUAUGAAACAUAAUCUUAAUGUAAAGGAUGCCUAUUUUGAGAAAUUGUUAUGGCCAUAUUAUGUUUUAAUCUAUUCACUACUACAAAAAAACAAAACAAGGACGCUCUUAUCCUUGGCGUUUUUGAAAAAACGUCAUUAUUUAGUUAGAUAUACUAAAAUGUUGACGCUUGUUUACUACGACGCCUCUAUAAGCGUCAUUGAACUGUAAAAGUUUAAAGACGUUGGCGCUUAUUUUAAGCAUCAUUGUAUACACAUUUCAAUAGGCGUCCUUGGCGCUAAAAAGCGUCAUUUUCUUUCUUACAUAGUAUGUAAUAUAUUUCCCAUUACCUCCAUAUAAUUCGCUGCACCUGUCAAAAGACAAAUUUAGCACCCCGACAAGCCUUAGAAGACCAGUUGUGAGUAUCGAAACCCUUCGAAGACCUAAACCCUCAGAGCAUAAAAAACCCUAAGCCUUCACUCUCGUUGAAAACCCUAGGCUUUCACUCUCGUUGAAAACCCUAAGCUUUCUCUCUCUCUAUUGAAAAACCUUAACCUUUGGAAGAGUACUAUAUUCAGACUCUAAUCUACAACUAUUCUUAACUAGCUUGUUGGUAAUGGAAUCUCAUAGAUUUGAGUGGCAACGAAAUCAAAAGUGAGGUGGGAGACAAUAUUGGGGUGAUAUAUCACAUUGUGAAACAACGACGUGUAGUUGGUGAGUAGCCGAGUUGUUUGGGGGUUUUCAUUUUCAAGAUCCUACUCCGAUCUCCUCUGUGAAGCAACCAGAAAAUGUGAAGGUUUCUGUUCUUAGACCAACUCGAAUAUGAUCUACAUCUGGUUAGGAAGAUUUAUUUUGGGGGUCAAUGUAUGUAGUUCGAAUCAAAGGACCAUCCAGAUAGAGGAGUCCAUGGGUUGGAAGAAAAUGAAGCUUUAUGGAGAUGAUGGUCACUGGAGGUAGCAUAGGCAUGGAAAUUAGAAAUCUUAUUGUGGAAGGUAAAAUUUUUUAGCAAAAGUGAAAAUUUUUAAUUGGAAAGAUUUCAGAAAUUGGGACUCCGUGGAUUGUGAAUUUGUGACUUGAAGGGUUGGCUGUUUAAUAUGAGUUUUUGCAUUUUUGUGGAAACAAAGCUGCAAAUUUUCAUAUUUUUAUGGAUGAAUAAUCCUCUGCAUGUAUAAGAUCCUUGUAGGAUUUGAAAAUGUAUCAAAUUUCUGUCAUCACUAUAGUGGCAAUUCCUACUUGUAUCAUGAUUCUUGACUUGAAUUCCUAAGUUUCCAACUUAGUUGGAGGUGUGGCAGUUCUAUUGCUGAUUUAUCUUCUAUGUCAUUAAGUAAAAGGGAUGUUUGGUAAGUCUUGUAUGGUAUACGAUGGAGCAUUUUUUAUUGGUAAAUUCACAUGUUGUUUUUCCCAUUGAACUGCUGUUUUUCUUUCUUUAUUUUUUUAAAGCUAAUUUUGGUUGUAAUUUUGUGCAUAGUAUUUAGAACAGAGCCUCCUUGAGAGUUAUUCAUCUAGUUGAAGGCUUCCCUUUGUGGUAUUGCUACUUUAUGCUUGCUAGAAAUAUUUAAUCAUCAAUUAACUAUCUUGUGUUUAUCUCAAAAUAUGAUGGGCAGUUUGCUAUGAGGGAUUUUAUCUGCAUUACUAGUUGAUAAUCACACUUUGGAAGGUGAAAAGACCUUCAUUUAAUAGAGGAUCAUAUUUUUGAUCGGAUACCGAAUUUUGUUUACCACUUUGUCAGGCUAUGCACUUCAAUUUGGCAUUGGGUUAUCAUUUCUAAUUCAAAUUCCAUUCCAAUUGUUACCAUUUCCGAAUAGUGCAUAGCAAUGACACACAACGUUUGGAAAUUUCAAAAUCUUAUGUACAGGAUGCCAUGAAUUUAAACAAUGUACUAAUAUUUAUUAUGUAUUACCUAUCUUUCCGCCCUUGGAUUCAUGUUGUGGUUGUUCAAAAAUACCCCAUUAUGAUUCAAUUCAUACUGUGCAACAUGAAAGAAUAAUGAAACUUGAAGCUUCUGCCAAGGCAGGACAUGGAUCCUUUCUACUCUUGAUAGCCAGUUAUAAUAUUUGAAUCUAUAUUCUGUUAUUUAUAGUCAUUGGCAUUGGUGUUUAGUCCCUUGACUUCUAUAGUAGUCCAUGGUGACAUGAUGAAAAAGGAAAUGGAGGCAAGUGCUCUGCUGGGGUCCAUGGCUUUGCAGUGAAGCUUAAUGUGGUAAUACCAUUCAGAUCAAGAUUUUGUUUUCUAGUUUUCUUUCGUACUUCGUUUUACUGGGGUUAUGUGUUCACAUCCACUGUUGACAAUUUGGAGAAAUUUAUGAGGUUAUGCAUUUUAGACUACAUUUGAACAUAUGAAUUUCAAUAUUUUCAUCUGGGAAGUUAUUUUCCUUAGUCUCCAGUCUCCACUGUAGUUUCCAAUAAGAUGUUUUAUAUUUUGUGGUUUAUGGAUUAUUGCACUUGGAAAUAUUUUUUGCUUCUUGGAACCUAUCCACAUUGUAGUAGUUUUGGGUAGAUGAUUAUAUUAUGUGUUUGAUAUACUUCCUGUUUUUUGUUUCUAAAGAUAUAAGACAUAAGGUAAAUCCAUACUUUUCAUAUAAAAAUUAUGAUAUUUCAUGUUAAAGUUACUACAAUUUUUUAUUUAUUUUUAAAGAUAGAAGCUUACAUGUUAUCCUUGUAAUGUUGUUACUAUUUUUCAGUUUUAAUCUCUAGUAGUGUUUUUCUUGCUAUUUUGUAGUCUUACCAUUUGAUUUUUUUUUGCUCAAAAUCUCUCCAAAUUUCUUCUUGGUUGACUGAAAAACAUGAUGAGCCUAUGUUUUGCAACGAAUUUCCAUCUAUGGUCACUAUUUUCCUCACCUCCCUUGAAUCCAUUUCAGAAGUUUGUGCAUGUCCAUGGAAGAUUCCACAAAGACCCUUGAAAUUAAAUGUGAAUUUUUUUUAAUUUUUAAAAAAUAAAAGGUACAAAAAAAAUUUCCUUAUUGACUAAACAAGAAGAAAAUUAGCAUAACACACUUAAAAAUCUUCUUUGUCAUCCAUAUGUAGAGAUGUAAGAGAAAUUCAAGUGUUAUAAUAUCAUUAUUGGAAGUGAUUACAUCAGUUAAGAAAAAAAAAAAAAGAUGGAAGGAGCAGCAUUGGGUCAAAGGCUUACAAUAAGAAGAAAGCAUGAGCCUAUCUGUUAAGCAUUGGUAAGAUUUGUGUUGGGCCACUUGAAAGCUAAUGUUUGAGAUAAAAAAAACCUAUAGGUAUAGAGCUGAUUGGAAGGGAUUCACUUAUUAAUGUCAUUCAAAAUAUGAUUCUCUUUCUUGUGUUUAUCUAUUCUAAGCAGAAGAUUUUCUAGCAUUAAACUUUGCUCUGUGACAAAAGAAUGCCAUUCAACCAUACUAAUUAAACUAUCUUGAAAUUAGGAAUUUGUUAUUUAUAUAAAAACUGAAACAAUUGUUCUUUGAAUUAGGUGGCAAGAAAAAAAAAACACAAUUGUAAUGCUUUCUUAAAGAGGAAAACAUAAGCUAGGUGUUCCAGAAUGUGACAAAAAUCACAAGGUAAAAUUCCCAUUUCAAUGUUGAUUCCCAACACCUAAAAAAAUGCAUAAAACAGGAAACAUAAUGGAAUUCUUUCUAAUUUUCUUUUACUUGUUCUUUAUCUAGUCUCUUAUGGAUGGAUUUCUUUAGAUAUAUGAGAUUUGGGAUUAAGAGAUAGGUUGGAGCCCUAUUUAAGUUUCAGUUUUUUGAGAAACUAUCACAAUUUGGAGAUCUACAACCAUUUUGUCCUUACAUUUUUCUUGUUAAACAUUGCAAUAAUCUAUUUUGAAUUUUGCCAAAAGACCUAUAAUUGAUGUGAAUGUUUAUUAGAAUAUGUGUGGUGUUGUUGAGAUUGCUUCUAUUCUCUUUAUAUAUAUAAAAAAAUAAUUGGUAUUUUUUCUAUGGUGGUGAAGAAGCAUAAGAAUAAGGGGCUUGAAUCACUUGUAUCCUAUAAUAAAUAGUUUGGACUAAAUGAAGAAAAAUUCUGGUAUUUGACCCAUAGCCUCAUGCUGGUAUUUGACCUUUAGGAAAACACUUCAAUGAAUCCCAUUUAUCAAGCCCAAGAUGCAGAUAAAAAUUCUGGUAUUUGACCCAUAGCCUCAUGAUUCCAAUGCAUGGACCAUGCUCUAAUUAAACAUUUAUUGCCUUUGCCUCCUGUAGGUCUCAAGGUGUAUUAGGUUUUCUACUCCUUCAGUGGAGCUUAUGAAGUUCUAAGACUGCUGCAGAAGGCUUGAUCUCGAAUUCAGGUGAUGCACUCCCACUUCUCCAAUGUUAAUGAAGAUUAUAUCUAAAGUAUAAUAUAUGUGAGUGACCUUAUUAGUAUAUAUAGAUGGAAUCUUGUGAUGUGUUACCUUAUUGGUAGUGCUGAUUUUUCUAAUAGUAAACAAUGGUUGAUAUAGUUAUUUAAGAAUUUUGAUUUUCAAUCCUACUUGAUUUCUAGAAGGAAAUAGAAAUGUUAGAGCAAAGCUAGCAAGUUCAUCAUAAUCUUUAGAUCAUUCUUGCGAACACCAAUGCAAAGAGGCUUUUUGGAUUUUAUUUUAUAGAUCAUAUCCACCAACUUGUCUGUUUCCAAAGUACUAUAAUGAAAUGAAUUCUAAUAAGCCAUAGCAAAGGGUUAAAACUUAAUUGGGAAAUCAUAUUAUUUAAUUUAGAUAUGCUCAUUGAAAUUUUGGCUUAUUGUCAUAUGAUGAACUUCUCUACUGGCCUUAAUGAGCAUCCAAGUUCAAGUCAAUCUUCAAACCUUCUAGGUGCAACUUUUGUAACUUUUUGUGAUUAGUUUUUUCAUAUAUAAAUUAAAAAUGAAAUUCCCUAUCAUUCUUCCUUCUCCUAUUUUAUCCGAUGAGCUACACAAGCACUACCUAUUCUUUUUCUCUGAAUAAACACUACAUAUCCUAAAUUUCAUUAGGAAUUCUCUUGAAUCUUCCUGUUUUAGAAUUUUUGAUCCAAUGACCUAUACUUUCUACCCUACUCAAAAGGUCUUAGGCUCUCUUGCUACUAUUGUGGGUGAUUCUGAAAAGGAAGGGAAAUCGAAUCCAACUUAACUAUUUCUAUCUAAAAUGCAUCUCAUCCAAAACCAAUAACAGGAAAUCUCACCUAGUUGUUUACUUUGUUGCAUUUUAUGUUAGAUGCCAUUAAUGUAAUUUUUCUUGCUUAUAAAAAAAAAAAAAUUGCAAGCCACCCACCUCUCUCAAAUUCUUUAUUUCUAUAAUUGAUAUACUCCUUCACAACUAGGGCAUCAUCAAGAAUUUUUUCUACCUUCUCAAACAUUAUUCUGAGAUUCUAAGAUCAUCUCAUCAAUGACCCUUUUUAGCCUUUGAACAAUUUUGCCAUGAGUUUAUAAUGACCCCUUACCAAACUAUAUAUAUAUAUAUCAACAAAUUUUUAUGCUUAGAUUUAGUUCACAGAAAAUUUGAACCAAGUAUAAGGAGAAAAAAAACAUGAAAAUGAAAAUAAACAAAAAAAGAAAAAUAUAAUAAAAAUUUAAAUUAAAUUCUUAUUUUUCUACCACAAUCCUCCAAUUUUCUUCCUCUAAAAUUGUAUAAAUUCUCAAAAAAAAAAAAUUCUAUUUCAUUAAUUUUUCUUUAUAUCUUUGAAACCAACUAAACAGAAAAUCAAAUUGCCUUUGUGUUAUUUAUUCUCUUUUUCUUACUAUUUCUCAAGUUUCAUAUAAAAUCUCACAAAAACUAUUUAUUUAUUUAUUUAAAAUUAAGUUUUUUCCUAAAUAACCAAGUAAUUAUCCAACUAGGAGUCAUACUUUUCAUCACUUUCCCAACCAAGUAAGUGCCCAACUAGCUCAUUUGCAUUAACCUAAUAACUAUAAAUCGCAUUUACUUAAUUGGCCAAUCUUCUUUAAAGCUUUAAAUGUGUCUGGAUCCUUACAUUGUACUAAUCCAAAUCCUUUCUUAAAGCUUUCAUUCUUCAAACUUGUACUCUUAUGAGGUUCUUUAAGAGUUAUUGAGAAUAAUUUGCUCCUUGUUUCAACUUCUCUAAUCUCUAACACCAUUUUUUCUCAUUCCAAAUAUUAAGGUUGGUAAAAUCUAACUCCAAAUAAAAAGUAAGUUCUAUUGCCUUAGUUAUAAUAAUUUCAUAGUUAUAAUAUUAAGUAUGAUUAAACCCAACUUAAUGUUCAUAGCUAAUUGCUUUUCUUUCAAAUUUUAAAGUCAAAACUUGAGAUGUUUUUUUCUGAACAUCAUCAUGCUUGUGAAGAAGUUGAUUCAUUGUUGCUUUCAUAGUAUAAUAAAGGGUCACCAUUCUCAACCCAACUACCUUCUCCUUUUUCCUUGCUAAUUUUGCUUAGGUAAAUUUUCAUCUUGUUGAAUAUUUAUUUUGGGUUAGUUAAUGUUUAUGUCAUGUUUCAUUUAUCCUCUUAUUGUUUUGGGGUAUUAUGAUUUGUCACUUUUAAAUUUUGAUGUUAUAUCAUAUUUGGAAAUAUAUUACUCGUAAAGAAUUUUUUUUUUUUUUUACUAAUGAAGAAUUCAAAUUAAAUUUCCCUUAACUUUAACAAAUUGAUGUUUCUCUCUAUUUCUUAAUUUGGGGUUGCAACAAUUAUUUGGCUUGUUUUAAUGAUGUAGGAGAUGAAUGGGCCUUAAAGAUUCAAAAUACUAACUUAAAUUGUACCAACAGUAAUUUUGGCUUAGGAAUUUGACAGUGUUGGUGAUUGAUUUUCCAUGUUUUCUUUCUAUCUUGAAUUGUAAUUUUAGUUGAAUGUUAAUAGAAAUAUUAGACACCGUCACAACAUCUUAUCUCUCUUCUUCAUGUUUUCAUUUAUUAAUCAUAAUUUUUCUUUUUUAAUAUAUUUAUCUAUCUAUUUAUAGAUCACUCUCCUUUUCCUAGCUUGGAAGAGAGAGAGAGAAAGAAAUAGUGAAAGAUAGAAAGGGAUAGAGUGUUCUACUCUACCAUCUAAGUAUGUGAUGAAAAAUGAGUACAAUUGAACUCUUGUUACUAUUUUUAUUAUUUUUGAAAUUUCUACGGCUAUUCUCCUCGGAUUGAUUUAAUUCUAUUGCUCCUAAUUUACCAUCCCUCAAGGCUGAAUCACAGCCUAAAUCACAAUUUUUUUAUUUAUUUAAUUUCUCCUUAGAUCUAGAAUAAAUUUAUUAAAAUUGCAUGACUUCUCUAUCAUUUAUUUCAUAAAAACAUUCAACUACUUCUUGAACUUUUAGGUUGAAUAUAUAUUUCGUUAAUAUUUAGUAUUGUGAUUGGGUUUCUUAAUUAUUUUCAUUAUGUCAGUUGUAUUUUCCUUAUUGACUAUUAUAUUACAUAGUGUAGUUAGCUUAUUAAAAUUUAAAUGAGUCUAAAUCUCUUAAGCUGUUAUAACAUCAUAAUAGUAGUUGCUCCUCCAUUGCAUAUUAGUAGCCUCUAUAUAGAAGAGGUGCAUGUUAAGGUUUGACUUCUUAGUAUCCCUUGUUCUUGUUUUAUUUUUUGUAUUAAAUGUUAAUCAAAUUAUUGCCAAAAGUUACUCUAGAUGGCUUAUUAUUGACCACAACUAAUACCGGUAGGGAAAUACAAAAGUUUGACUAUUCUAUAGAUGGGUUCAUAAAUUUGUGUUCUCCUCAACAUGUUUGUAUUUUUCUAUCUUUUCUAAAAUAUUUGUUUAUAAUAUUAAUAAACAAGAGAUCCAACUUUCAAUAUUUUUCAAUAAUAUAUCUUCAUAUUGUUCAGUGCAAUUAGUUGCACUAAUUAGACAAAGUGGUCUUCUAUCAAGGAUAUAGAAAAAGAAUAAAAGAAAAAAAAAACAAGGCUAUCAUUCUAUAUGAGAACAAGAGUAGGAGGUAAUGAUUGUGACAACUAGGAGUAAGGGGUUAACUACUAAUAAGAUAGAAUUCUAUUUGUACUAUAACUUUAUAAUUUAAUUAUUUACUUUUAUAAUUAGAUAAAAUUUUGAUCAUAACAUAGUGAUAACAUGAUGGUUUUCAUCGUGUUUGGACCUUGAUAUUUUUUUUUUAUUGUGCAUUAUAAGACUUAUUCUUGUAUUCAAGAAUGCUUUAAGAGGUCACCAUUAAAUGUCCAUACAGAGCAACCCUAACUCAUAUAUACACUUUAUAAUAAGCAUUUAAUGCAUAUUUAUUCACUUAGAGUCUAUGAGUUUAUUAAAGAUUUAAUUUAACUGUUAAUUUAUACUAAAAAUACAAUAUUUUAUCUCAUAAAAACAAAAUUUAUUUCUUCUAUGUUGUUGAAUAAAAAAUUGAAGUACAUUUUUUUCCUUAUUUUGGGGAAAGCAUAAUAUGUUAGUUGAAAUUGUAGUUAAGGUAUUUUGUUGAUAGAGUACGAAUUUAUUUAUUUAGCUUCAACUCAUUGGUCUCCUUAAUGAAAUAUUUGUAUGUCUAGUUUUACUUUGAUGAAUUCUUUAUGAGGUCUUUUUCAAAGUAAUGCUCUAAAGGUGCAACAUAGAGAUGACAAUAGAGAGCUUUUUAUCUACAUUAGAAUAAUUUGUUAUAUUUUAUUUCGAAAACACUUCAUAAUAUAAUUUUUUUUCUUAUAAUGAAUUGAAAGGAGCACAAUCCAUGUAUCUAAGAGGCUAAUUCAUGUAAGCAAACUUGAUAACCUAAAUUAAUUUUGUGAAAGUUAUACUUUCAUUUAUGCUUAUUAUUUAUUGUAUGUAUAUAUAAUUUAGAUGUUUUCUACUCUUCCUUAUAUUUAUUUACAGGUUACAAAGGAAGUUUGCUAAAAGAAGAGAAGCCAUUAUGCUAAAGAAGGCGAAGUCAAAAACCAUGAAGAUUACAUCAGUGAACUCAUUAGGAGGUUGAACUAAGCUUUUAAAGAUUAUGGUUUAUUUUAGUAGUCUUGAUACCAAUGUUUGUUCUUAUGUUAGAAUUAGAAAUUCUUAUUGAAAUAUUUUGGUAUAAUUAAUAAGUUUAUGUGUAAUUAAUAUAUAUAGGUGGUUACAUUAACUGUUUAAACUAGGUUCAUGUAUAUCAAUAUUUGGAUAUAUUUUAAUUAAUAAAAUUUGAUUUUAUUUUAUAGGUUGUAAUUGUUUUUUAAAUUUAAUUAUAUAAGAAAUCAACUAUUUUAAUAAUGGAAUCAAAAUAUUAUUUUUUAAUAGAAAUUGUUCAAAGAUGAUGCUUUUAUAAGCGUCAUUGUUAACGUGAAACAAAGAAGACAUUUUUAAAAGUGUCAUUAAUAAAAUUAAAUCAAAGAUGGCGUUCACAUAAGUGUCAAGAAAGGUAAUUUUAUACAAAUUAUUUCAACAAAAAAUGUUCAAAGAUGACACAGGAGCAUAGAUGACGCUUCAGGGAAGCGUCAUCUUUUACCUUUCUUGACACUCAAAAAAUGUCAUUAUUUCACUUUUUUCUUGUAGUGAUUACAAAUAUAAUUAUGUAGGCCAAGUGAGAGAUUGUUAGCUUUUUUCCUAUAAUGUGUGGCCAUAUAUAAUUAUAUUUGUAUAAAUAUUAUUUAAGGCUAUCAAUUGAUAGGUAGGUGAAUAAAUUGAUUGGGCAUCCAAGAGUCUUAUGUAUGGAAGACUCAAAUUACAAAUGGGGAGUUAGAAAAUUUACUUUAUAUGAAUGUGGUGUCACAACUUUUGUAACCCCAUCAUUAUGAAAUUCAUGUUGUACAUUAUGUUUGAGUAAUGGAGGAAAAUGGAAAUGUAUAACUUAUGCAAUUAUAUAGAUGCAUUCAAGUUCAUAACCCACCAUUACCCAUUAAUUUGUACAUAAUGGGUGUAAAUAAUGAGUAUAACUCCCAUAUAGUCUUUGAUGGGAAGACUAAGAGAUGUACAACUCUUUAUAAAUUGAGGUCCCAAGCCACACUUUCAUUCUUAUGUCAUUUUUGUUGUUUAUUUUUAACAACAUACACCACACAAGUGACCCAUCCACUAUAUGAGAGUAGUGAGUUGAAGACCUUGACAAUACAAUUCACAAGGUGACUCAAUCUCACUUCAGGAUCAAGGUAAGAAUAUGAUCAUUAUUUUAGUAUUUACAUUUAUUUUGUUUUAUGCAUCUAAAAUUGUUUUUUAAAAUAAUUAUUUUCGCAUAAAGUUUGGUUAACAAGAAGAGAAAAAUAAUUGUGUCUUACACAUCAUAUUUUGCAGGGCAAUCUAUCUAGAGUAGCAGUAGCAGUGAAAAGAUGAAUUUAGCACAGGGUGUUCAAGAGUUCAAGAAUGAAGUUGUUUUGAUUGCGAAACUUCAGCACAAGAAUCUUGUCAGGCUUUUGGGUUGCUGCAUUCAAGGAGAAGAAAGAAUAUUACUCUAUGAAUAUAUGCCUAACAAAAGCUUGGAUUAUUUUAUUUUUGGUUUGACCUUCUUAUCCCUAUCUGUUAGGAUUAGUUUCACUUUUUGAUCACCCAUAUUAUGCUCAGUCGUGUUCAAUUCAAUUCACACAUCUAAGUAAUUAAUUAGGCCUAAUAAAAAAAUUUAUAAAGGCGGAUGUAUUGUGCAGAUCAAAACAGAAGAGCAUCAUUGGCAUGGGAUAAGUGCUGCAAGAUUGUUAUGGGGGUAGCACAAGGGCUUCUCUACCUCCAUCAAGACUCUAGAUUUCAAAUUAUUCACAGGGAUCUCAAGACAAGCAAUAUUUUACUGGAUGACAAUCUCAAUCCUAAAAUUUCAGACUUUGGCUUGGCAAGAAUUUUUGGAGAGAAUGAAAUGGAAAUGAGAACAAAGAGAAUUUUUGGGACUUAGUGAGUUAUAAACCUUUAUAAUCUUAUAAAAUGGAAUUUAUCCCUUCAAAUAACUUAUACUUGAAAAUGUUAGUGCAGUGGCUAUAUGUCCCCGGAGUAUGUGAUUGAUAGGCAUUUUUCUAUCAAAUUGGAUGUCUUUUAGCUUUGGUGUUCUUUUACUAGAGAUUGUGAGUGGUAAAAAGAACAGGGGGUUCUCUCAUCCAGAUCACCAUCAUAACCUUCUGGGACAUGUAAGUAGAAAGAAUGCAAUGGUGUUUACUCUCUCUCUCUCUCUCAAUUUGUCUCUACUCUCUAGCUUUUUCUGUCUUUUUUGAAAGAAAAUAAAUAUGAUUUUUGCUCUAGGCAUGGCUGCUGUGGGAACAAAACAAGGCCUUGGAAUUAAUGGAUGCAUGUUUGGAAGAUUCAUGUGUUGCAUCGCAAGUAUUACGAUGCAUACAAGUAGGUUUACUAUGUGUUCAAAACCGUUCAGUAGACAGACCAGCAAUGUCAUCAGUGAUUUUCAUGUUGGGCAAUGAGGGAGCAACAUUGCCUCAAGCUAAACAUCUUGGUUUCUUCACGGAAAGAAGUUCAGUGGAUACAGAUACAAUGUCAGGAAAGAUAGAGUUACAUUCAGAAAAUGAAGUAACCAUCUCAAAGCUAAAAGGUAGAUGAAGAAUUCAAACAUCCGCUAAGUGAAAUAGUUAUGCAGGUGCCAGCUUCUCUUGAUAAAACGGCUUGCAAAGGCUCCUCCGUUGCAGCUCAGGGCACUGUAAUAUGCAACUUAAGACUCACUAGUAGAAUUUCUAAAUUCAGAUUCCCUCUGGAUCAGGUUGGUAGUAAGCAGAAGAACAUGUAUUCUACAGUCACUUUAUUAGCUACUGUCUUUUUUUUUUUUCUCCUCAGGAUGCAUGGGGCUUGUAUGGUUGGUGAAGUGUAUGCCAAACUAUAAUUUGGUUCCAACCAUUUGCUUUCAAUUAUCUUGAUAAUUUUUGAAGUUCUAAAAUCAAUUAGGUAGUACACAGUGGGAGCGCCAUAAUGACACCCCUCUAACUUUAUGAGAGGGAGAACUGGGGAAAUAUUUGGUCCUUAUAUAACAAUUUAAGCAUGUUUCACCAAAGCCCAAGCCAAUCUGAAGGCUAGGUUGCUACUUGUGUUGCAAGGUAUUUGAGGCUAGGUUUGGGCCAAGCUUCCACUUGUUGUAGAAGCUCCAUAGGGGCUACAGCCGAACACCCAUUAAAAGCCCAAACCAAUUGAGCCUAGAGGAUGAGUACCAAAGCCCAAUGCAAUCUCAAGGCAAGGUGUUUGUACCUUUGAUCCACUGAGCUUUAAAAGCAAAGGUGAGGCCAUUGAGCUAUAUGUCAUGCUACAGUAAUAGCUUUGUAAAAUUAAAUACAUAGCAAGAUUAAUGGUUUUUCUUCAAAAAUUUUUUAUGUAAAUAUUAACUAAUCAUACUAGACAGUGGCAAAGAGCUUUCAAUUUUUUUGAAAGAUAUUAUCAUGGUUUGAAAUAUCGAUAAAUAUAGAUAUAUCAGUACUUAAAUUUUAAGGAUAUAUUGGAAAUAUUAGUGGAUAUUUUGACAAAAAUAUCGAUAAGAUGAAAAUUAUUCAAAAUUCAUAAAAAUAUUUAGAAAAACUUAAAAAAAAUGAUAAAAUAAAUAAAAAUACACAUAUUAAAGUUAUUUUUUAUAAUUGACAUAGAUAUGAUCAAAUAGAAAAAUAUCAAUUAAGAUAAAUCGAUAUUAAUAAUUUAUUGUUUAUCUAAUCAAAUUAAUUUUAAUUUGUAAAAUUUUAGAACUUCAUUAUUAUUAUUUUUUAUUUUAGUAUUUUUUGAAUAAAUUUAUAUUUUUAAUAUUUUAAAAUAAAAGCAUUCAAAUUAAAAUAAUAAAUAUAAAAAAUUUAAAAGUGAAGUGAUAAUAAUUUUUUAAAAUAGGAUUAAUGAAAUAAAUGAUUAUACAUUUAAUAUUAAAACUAUAAUUUAUUUAUUUCAAAUACAUUCGAUAAUAUAAAAUAAAUGACACAAUGCAUAUAUGAUUUUUUAAUAUUUAUAUUUUUUAUAUUUAAUUAUCAUAUAAAUGAUAUUAAAAAAUUGUUAAAAAAAUUAUAAUAAUGGUUUCAAUACAUUUAUUAAUUAAAUAAAUAAAUUUUAAAGUAAAAUAAAUAAAAUUAAUUAAUUAAUUUUUUAAUAAUGAAGUUUAACUAAUUUACUACCAACAUAUAUUAAUUGGUGUGAAAUUAGCUUAGUGGUAAUUUUGAAAGGGGGCAACAGCAGUGACAGGCAGAAACAUGAUUGGGCAGCAGCAGCCAAUAUAAUUAAAGGGUUGACCGAAGUUGACCACGGAAAAUAUCGGAAAAUUUCCCAAAAAAAUGAGCAAAAUUUGAGAGGGGUACAAGCAAGUACCUAAAUUCUUUUCAUGUUAGUCCUAAGCAUUUAUCGACAUUUUUGCCGAUUUUUUAAGAAAUUUCCCGAUAUUUUUUAUGGUCAACUCGAUCAACCCUUCAAUUACAUUGGCUGCUGAUGUGCAAUCACGUUGUUGCUUUAUGGAGAUGAAUGUAUAUCAAAUUAAUAGAGACAAACUAGACAUCAAAAUCGGUAUGCCAAGCAACCAUUGAGAUGCUAACUACUUCUAGGCCCUAUGAGGCAAACUCAAUUCAGAUAUUUUGCUCUUGCAACAUUUUUUUCCAAUUAAUUGAGGGAGCAUUAAAGAAGACACUACAAUUUUACAUCUUAGUAACUUGUUUUUCAUUGGAAUUAGAAAAUUCCAAGUUACCCUAUUCAGACAGUUCUUCCAAUUGAAAUGAUUGAGCCCUUAAACCUUGCAUAACACUCUACUCCGUUAGACUUUAACUGAAAGCCAAGUGUAUUCGAAGACUGCGACCUGAUCCACUUGAUGCUGUGUCAUGGUUCUAUUAACUAGCUGGUCAUGCUUGCGAGGAGCUAUCUCACAAAUACCAAGAAAAAUCUACAUUAGCAACUAUUUAAUUUUAAUUUUUUUUCCUAUGUCUAUAAGCAGAUAGCAUAGAGUCAACUAUUUAAUUUGGAAAAAUGGAAUCUGAAGCUACCCAGAAGCUAACCAGAAAAGACAUGUCUUUAUUGUUCUUUUAAAUAUCAAUUUUGCUUUGGGCAUGACCUAGGUUGGGGUACAAGGCUUAGAAAAGUCAUGGAAAGAGAUGUAUAUAGAAGGGAAUCUUAAUAUAUAAAAGUGGUAGAUCAUGUUCAUUCAUUGGCAUGAAAAGGACCAGGGUCGACUUCUUAGUGGUUCCUACCUACUAAGCGUGGAAAUUAGUGACGGCAAUUGUGGUUUCUUCUCCUGCCUAGGGAAGGUAAGACCAUUGCACUUGACUAUGAUCAUCUACCUCAUGUUCGUUUGAUGAUAAUGAUAACAAAGGUGGACAACUGUUUUAUCAGAUUGGAAGUAUAGAAUUCCAAGAAUAUUGAACAAAAAUCAAGCGAAAAGGAAAGAGAAGAUCAACAGAUGGAUUAUUACUCAGAAAUGAAACUAAAGGUGAAUCCUCCCAGACAACCAUACAGAAAUAGGUGAUGGGUGCUGCAGUCCCUGUUUCAAGGCAGCUGUAUCUCAUAUAGACAAUCAAUCUGUACAAAAAUUAAUGUUUUAUUGUUUAAGAGACUUUAAUUUUGUUCAAAUCUCUCACCAGUCUUAUGGUGUAUAAUCCUGUGAAAUUAUCACUGAAAAAAGUACUACCCACCAGAGUAUAAUAGUCAUUCGAUCUUAGACUAAGUAACAGAUGAUUCACAUAGGCUCAUUCCUUAGGACUAACAUGGAAAGAAUUUUCAGGUGAAUGGAGAUGAAUGUUUAUCAAAUUAACAGUGACAAACCAAACAUCAAGAUUGGCAUGCCAAGCAACCAUCGAGAUGCUAGCUACUUCCAGGCCCUAUGACACAAACUUAUUUCAGAUGGUAUGAUCUUCUGUAGCUUGUUUUUCAUUGGAAUUGGAAAAUUCCAAGUCACCCUGUUGAGGCAAUUCUUUCAAUUCAAAUGCGUUAACCCUUAAACCUACCCUGUUGGACUUAGACUGAAAGCCUGACCAAGUCAAAAACUGAAACCUUAUCCUCUUGAUGUUGCGUCUUGGACAAAUUCCAGGAAAAACCUACAUUAGAGAAAUUUUAGUAUUUUUUUAAACUUGUGUAUAGAAGUCUUCCUUUCAUCUGUGAGAAACGUCAAUGGAGACCCAUCUUUUCUUUGCCUUCUUUUGUGCCUGGAUUUGUCUAUCAAUUCCCUUGGAGUCCUGUAUUGCAGUUGAUUCCAUAAGGAUGGACCAAUCCAUAAGCGAUGGUGAGACUUUAGUUUCCUCAGGUCAAAGCUUCGAACUAGGCUUCUUCUCUCCCGGAAGCUCCAAAAACAGGUACUUAGGAAUAUGGUACAAGAAUACAACCCAGACAGUUGUAUGGGUUGCCAAUAGAAACAACCCGAUUGUAGAUUCUUAUGGAGUUUUAACCAUCUUCAACAAUGGCGCACUUGUUCUUCUUAAUCAAACAAAGAGUGUAAUCUAGUCUCUCAAUUUGUCAAAGGUACCAGAAAAUCCAAUUGCAUAGCUCACGAUCCAGAGUCAUUCUUCUUAUUUAUGACCCAGAGUCAUUCUUAGCAUUUAGAGCCCUGAGCGCAUGACCUAGAGUCGUUCUUCUUAUUUAUGACCCUGAGUAAUUCUUAGCAUUUAGAGCCCUAAACUCACGAUCUAGAGUCGUUCUUCUUAUUUAUGACCUAAAGUCAUUCUUAGCAUUUAGAGCCCUAAGCUUACGAUCCAAAGCCAUUUUCACCCUUUAGGCGUUCAGAGUCACCACUUUCUUUCAAGGGUGUUUAGAAUCGUAGGCCUUCAGAUCCAUUCCUCACUUAGACAUUCAGAGCCAUCUCUUUUAGUUUUAGGCAUUUAGAGCCAUUUCUCUUCCAGUUUUAGGCAUUCAGAGCCAUAUUUUCUAGUUUACGUGUUCAGAGCCACCUUCCUCAAUCAGGCGUUCAGUGCCACCUUGCUUAAUUAGGCGUUCAAUGCCACAUUGCUUAGUUUUUUUAGUGUUCAGAGCCAUCACUUUCUCUCAUAGGCUUUCAGAUCCACCUUGCUUAGUUUAAGCAUUCAAAGCCAUUUUUCUUACUUAAGCGUUCAGAGUCAUCUCUUCCAAUUUUAGGCAUUCAGAGCCAUAAUUUAGUUGUUCAAAAUCGUUCGUCUCAGUCUAGGCAUCUAGAGCCACAUUCUGGGCGUUCAGAGUUGUGAUGUUCCAGAGUUUGUCCUCCUCUAUUGUGUGUGAUAUAGCCCUUUGAGCUUAUAGCUUAUGUUUUGAUUGUAUCAUUGGUGCCCUUCACUUUGCGCUCUUGUAUGGUGCAUGUAUAUUUUUCCUUCUAUAUAUGUUCAUUCCUAUGUUCCUAGGUGGUUCGAAUGCCACUCAACUUUGACAUUAAUUUUCGAGUCACUUUUGGAGACAUCUUAGAGGGAGUCUGGAUCCAUAGUGCAGCUUUAGUUUUUAGGAUUUUAGAGCCCUUUUUGUUCAUUUGUGGGUUUGAGCCAGUUUGUGGUCUACUUGUGUACCUUUAGGGGGUUUUUUUUUCUUUGGUAGUGUGGACCCGCAUCUUUCACGUGCGCCCCCACUCGAUCGGCGAGACUCGCUUUUUAUUCGUGAAAAAUAACUUUUGGAAAAGUCGGAGUCGCCACUUAUUUUAUUUUUAUUUUAAAGGGAAAAUAAAACAAGAAAGAAAAACCCUAAAAUGUGACUCCAUAAUUUUUGGAAAAAGCAUGUCUUUGAAAAACCCGAGUCUAAGUCCGGGGAUCAGAUUACCUAUUGGGAAGGUACCUUUAAAAGGUAGCACCCCUCUAAGCCCUAUAAAGGUCUCUACUAACUAAGUUAAGGGGAAUGUGGCAAUUAACCGGUUAAUUAUGGAUACCUAAGUAGGCUAGAUGGUUCCAAAAAAUAGCAUGCCAAACAAGAUCAAAUCAUAAUAAAGGAAGGUUAGGAUGCGUACCUGGACCGCUUCUCAAGUGCUAUCAUAAAACAUCAAUGGUUAAUUUAAACAAUAUAUCAUCCAGCAUGUAUUUUAUUAGAAAUAAUCAAACAAUGAAACAUGUAUAUCAGAACACUCAAGCAUUAUUAGACAUAAGCAUUAUUUCACAAUGACAAGCAUAUUCACAGAAUUCAGAAAGUAGGUGAUAGAGGACAUACCUAGAUAGCAUAGAUAAUUUGUAACGUGCUUCCUCAAGUUGUAAGGGGUUAGAUAAAUAAUAAAAUAUAGAAAUCCUAGCAUGCUCGUUGUCUAAUUAGCAUAGUAGAAGUGAUCAAAGUAUACAAAAUCAUCAAUUAUCACAUACAUCUUGUAUAUAAUUCCUAAAAAAAAUAGAUAUGAUUUCAAUAAAUGGCAAGGGUGACAGUAAAGAUGAGUUUUAAAAAGAUGAUUUUAUGUAGGGGUUUCACCAAUUCCCCAAUUGAUAUACACAAAUAUAGCUUGGAAUUAAAUGUUAUCACUUUCAUAAAAAUAAAAAAUAAAAAAUAAAAAAUAAAAAAUAAAAAUUCAUGAGUAUUAAAAAAACAUUUUUUUGAUAGUUUUAAUGAAUUGUAUUUAUAAAAUAAAGUUUUGAUUUACUUAAAUAAGAAGGCUUUAAUUUCAUGCAAAGAAAAUAUUUUUUAAAAAAGUUUGUUCACAAGAAAAUAAAUGUUAUCACUUUUAUAAAGGAAAUGUUUCAUAAGUAUUAAUAAUAACAAUGAUAAUAAUAAUAAUCGAUUCCAUAGUUUUAAUGAAUUUUAUUUAUAAAAAGAAGCUUUAAUUUAUUAAAUAAAAAUACUUUAAUUCCAUGCAAAGAAAAUGUUUUUAAAAAGUUCAUUCACAAGAAAAUAAAUGUAAUCAUCACUUUUAUAAAGGAAAUAUUUCAUAAGUAUUAAUAAUAAUAAUAAUAAUAAUAAUGAUAAUUGAUUCCAUAGUUUUAAAAAAAGUUUUAAUUUAUUUAAAUAAAAAGACUUUAAUUCCAUGCAAGAAAAUAAAUGUAAUUAUCACUUUUAUCAAGGAAAUAUUUCAUGAGUAUAAUAAUAAUAGUAGUAAUAAUUGAGUCCAUAGUUUUAAUUAAUCUUAUAAAAGGAAGUUUCAAUUUACUUAAAUAAAAAAAGCUUUAAUUCCAUGCAAAGAAAAUGUUUUUUUAAAAGAAAGUUUAUUCACAAGAAAAUAAAUGUUAUCACUUUUAUAAAGGAAAUAUUUUAUGAGUAUUAAUAAUAACAAUAAUAAUAAUAAUAAUUGAUUCCAUAGUUUUAAUGAAUUUUAUAGAAGGAAGCUUCAAUUUAUUUAAAAAAAGACUUUAAUUCCAUGUGAAGAAAAUGCUUUCAAAAAAAUUCAUUUACAAAAAAAAGAGAAAGAAAAUUAAUUAAUUAAUAAUGGUAAUAAUAAUAAAACCUUAUAAAAAAUAUAUUUGAUGAUUUAAAAAUAUUUUUUUUUUAUGUAAGAAUAUCUUUUAUAAUUUAAAUUUUCCUUUAAUAAUUUUUUUUAACUUUAUUUUAUUUACAAGAGGAUGAUUUCCACAACUCUUUAUUUAGAAAGCACAAAAUUUUUUUUUAUUAUUUUUUUAAAACAUAAUAAAUUUUUUUUAAAUAAGAUAAACAAUUAUUUUAUAUUUUAAUCCAAGAGAACAAAAAAAAUGUUUAAAAUAAUUUAAAUAUUACAACUUUUUAUUUUUUAUUUUUGAACAAAGCUAUCAUAAAAAUUAUCAAAACACUUAAAAAUUCAAACUUUUUCAUCAUCAUAAGGAAUUAUCCCAAAACUAAAAAUUAAGCACAAUAUAAAUUUUCAUUAAUAUCCAAAUUAUUGAAAACUAAAAAAAACUUGCAAAAUAUUUCAACUUUUCAUUAACAUCACAAAAUUAUCCAAAACGAAUAAAACAUCUAAUUUUUAAAUUAUCAUCCCGAAUCAUCCAAGACAAAUGCCUACAAAAAGUAACAUGAGAUUAGCAAUAAUAAUAAUUAUAACUAAAAUAAAAUAAACAAAAUAAAUUCAAAAAACCAAAAAAAACUAAAAAUCCUAACUUGAUUUAUAUUUUAUUCAAACAAUCAUUAACACAUCUCAUAUAAAUACAUUAAAUCCAACAAAACACUCACCGAAAGACAUUAAAUCCUAUUAUAACCGUCCAUGAUUUCAUUCCCUUUUUUUUAACAAAUAAAUAAAAACAUGCCAAUAGCAUCAUUUACAUCAGGACUGACCAUAUAUUCACAUUCGUUUGCAUUUUAAAUCCAACAAAACGAAGUCAAAGAACACUAACCUUGCUUGCAGCUACCCUCUUUCACGAUUGUGUCACUUUUUCUUCUCAGUCUAGUUAUGUCUGCUUCUUCGAUCUGGCUCUUGUGUUCCUUCACCACAAAGAGUCCCCAAAUCAGCCUAUGCGUCCUUUAGAAGUUCCACCCGGAAAUGUGAUCUCCAUGUCUACAAUUUUCUUCUGAAUCUCAUUAAAAAAAAUCCACCAAAAUUCUUCCAGAACUCUUUUUUUUCUUUCUUCUCCCUCAGACGUCUCCCUCUAUUUUCAAGCUCUCCUCUCCAAAAAAUCCUCCUCUCUCUCCUCAAAUGUCUUUCUCAUAUUCCCCAAAAAAAAAACCUAAAUCCCCUUCAUCACGCCUCUUCUCCCUUUUUUGCAUGUGAGUUGACUUUUCUUUCCUUCUAUGAAUUCCCCCUGCUCUCUUUCUUGCAAAAUACAGUCUGUCUAUUCAAUAUGCCACCUCAAUUCUUCCUAAAAUAUAUCAUCUCUUUUCCUUUUCUGUUUAAAAUAUGCUUUAACCCAAAACACUACUGAAUCCUCCUUCCAUCAUCACAUGAUUCUUUUUCCAAAAGACAAAUUACAUUACCUUCUUUGCUGCUCAUCAUUUCUUUUUUCAUACAUAAGCUGAAUCUUCCCCAUAACAUGGCUCCAUUCAUUUUUUCCAUAUGUCUACUCUUGGAACCAAUAUGGUAGCUACCCACUCCAAGCUUCACAUCAUAGGCACUUUCUUAUCUUUCUAUUGGUGGACUUCCUACAAAAUUUCAAAGUUAAUAAAGUAAUAGUAAUAAUAAUAAUAAUAAUGAAAACGUUUAAACAAAAUUAUUAAAUUAAACUAAAUAAGUAAAGACAAGUAUUAUGGAAAAGUGAUAAAAUAAUAGGAAAAUAAAAUAAAUGAAGAAAUAUACAAAAUAAUAAAUAAAAUAAAAUAAACAAAAAUAUAAAGGUAAAAAAAAAGUCAAGCAAUGUGAUUUUACAAAAACGAGUCUUGCAAGUCAUACAAGCCAUGCAACCACGCAAGCCAUGCCCAUGCAAAAAAUGAUCUAAAUGGGCCUAAGGUGCCUAAAUGGGCCUAGAAUGCCUAAAUUGGCCUAAGGUGCCUAAAUGGGCCUAAGGUGCCUAAAUGGGCCUAGGGUGCCUAAAUGGGCCUAAGGUGCCUAAAUGGGCCUAUGGUGCCUAAAUUGACUUAAGGUGCCUAAGUGGGCCUAAAGUGCCUAAAUCGUCCUAGGGUGCCUAAGUGGACUUAGGGUGGUGCUUAAGUAGGUCUAAGGUGCCUAGGGUGUAUCUAAGUGAACCUAAAGUGCCUAAGUGGGCUUAGGGUGACGCCAAAUGGGCUAGGUGCGUCUAAUGGGCUUAGGGUGUACUAAGUGGGCCUAGGGUGCCUAAAUGGGCCUAAAGUGAUCUAAGUGGGCCUAAAGCGUCUAAAUGGGCCUAGGGUUACCUAAAUGGGCCUAGGGUGCCUAAGUGGGCCUAAUGUCACAGGAUGCUUCAAAUGACCCUCCCCAUGGGCUUAUAUAGGCGGAGGGAAGCUUCUGGAGACUCCUGGAGCCAUCUACACUAAGCCAUUGGUGGGAAGAGUGUGGAAGGUUCUAGAAAUGCCUAGAGAUGUCCACACAUCUCUACACUAUGGUGGAAGGCAUGAGAGGAGUCCAAGGCUUUCUAGAGACUUCUAGGAAUCUCUUGUAUAUUCUUGUACAUAGGGAUGUACAUAGAAUAGGGUAGGAUGUUCUAGAAUAUUCUUGAUUUGUAAGGGAACCCUCCAAGGUUCUAGAGAGUUCCCUUGGUGCUUAUAAAUAGGUGAGGGCCUCAUUUGGCCAAGGCACCACCCAAAUCACUUCCUAAUCAAGCAAGUGAGCAUCCAAGCACUUGUAAAGGCUUCUUGAGUUAAUAGAGCUUCCAUUCUUUCAAGAGUUGCCUACCAAGCUUCUUAAGCUUUUGAGUCGCAAGUGUCUUAGCCGAGCAAGCUAAGCAUUGGGGAGCAAGGCUGACUUAGCAAGAUCAAGCGUCUUGGCUUGUCUAAGUGCCGCACGAGCUUAGUGAACGACUAAGUCCGUGACACUAAGGUGCCUAAAAGCUAUCCUAAAAAAAACAAGAAAAGCCUAAGUCUAAGUUAGGGCUGCCAAGGGUCACAAUAAGAGGUCAGAUAAUCCCUCAACCAAAGUCUCCGAGGUGACUUAAAAAAGAUAGGCUACACGAGUAUUAAUGGGCCACCAGGGAAUUGCUAUAAACGACAUGUGCGAGGAAGACAAAAUGGAGGGUCUACAGGUAGAGUUCACUUCAUUCCACUCACUAUUCACACUUUCUUUUCACUCUAGUGUUCAUAUUCCUUACACUUGUGAACUCUACCGAAGAGGGGCAUAUUUGUAAACCCCUCUUGGACUAGGGGAUUUUUUUCUCACUCAGAGGAGCUAGUUGAACAUUUCAUUUGGAGUGGGGGACGACUUCCAGGUGAGUUGCAUGCAUAAGAUGUGUGGCAAGGAUGUGACCACCUUGCCAUGGUGGUGGUUGAAGUAGUAGAGUUGGUGGUGAAGUCUUCGCUGAACCAGGAGCAGUGAGAGUGGGUAGAGGCUUGGACUGGAAGCUAAAGAAAUAAGGGGAAGAAAACUAGCUCAAGGGGGGACAGGAAAAGGAGGACAGAGAGUUGGGAACCUGGGAGAGUUUAAAAUAGAGAGUUGGGUACCUGAGAGAGAAAAAACGAGAGGGUGAGUGAGGAAGAAGAAAAAUUUUCAGCAGUGGAGUUUUCAGAGGAAUGAGCUAGGCAUAGGGGGACGGGGAUUGAGAGAGAACAAAUUUUUUUAAAAUGGGACGUUUUGAGAGAAAAACAAGGGAGCUUUUUGGCAACCCCUCCACCAGCAACUCCAUCAUUGGCUACUCCGCCACCAGCAACCCCUCCAUUGGCUCCUCUUGCCUCUCCAUAGUAGCGAUUCCAACGUAAGCUCCAAGCACGAAGGUGAAAUCUUUGGCCUUGGCUCCAUCGCCACUUACGAACAGUCCACUGGCACCACCAGUGGAGGCGUCUGGACUGAUCUCAGGCGGAAACUCACCAGGCCAGAUGCGAACGAUGUGAAUGGAGUGGAAAGGUUAUGGUUGAUGAAGAAGGUGGUCGAGAGCUUGGCAUUUGGACUAGCAUUGAGCUUGAUGAUUUGAAAGAGAAAAAACAUCGAGAGAAAGAGAGAGAAGUCUUCCAAGUGAGAGAUUUUCUCUUCUUAUAUCUACUUCUAGAUGUUAGUUUUUCUGCUAAAAAUUCAUAAUGGGUAAGAGGAAGGUUCACGUCAACAUUGUCGUCAUUGGCCAUGUCGACCAUGGCAAGUUGACCACCACUGGUAAUUUGAUUUACAAGCUUGGAGGUAUUGACAAACGUGUUAUUGAGUUGUUUGAAAAAAAAGCCGCUGAAAUGAAUAAAAGAUCAUUCACGUAUGCUUGGGUCUUAGAUAAGCUCAAGGCUAAGCGUGAACAUGGAAUUACCAUUGAUAUUGCUUUCUGGAAGUUUGGGACCACAAAGUACUACUGCACUGUUAUUGAGGCUCAUGGUCAUUGGGAUUUCAUCAAGAACAUGGUUACUAGCAGCUCACAGGUAGGCUGUCUUGUUCUCAUUAUUAAUUCCACCACUGGUUGAGCAUGCACUACUUGCUUCCAUCCUUGGUGUGAAGCACAUGAUUUGCUGUUGUAACAAGAUGGAUGCCACACAUCCUCUUAAUCCUUCAUCUCUUGGUGUCAAAAAAAAAAUAUAUAUAUAUAUAUAUAUAUAUAUAUAUAUAUAUAUAUAUAUUAAAAAAAAUCCAUUUUCAAGUAAUUUUUCGAAAUUUCCUUUUAUAAAAUUUAAUUUGUAAAAAUUCCAUUUUCAAAAUCCCACUUUUCAAAUUUAAUUUACUAAACUUAAUUUUUUCCAAACAACUUUUCAAAAUCCCAAUUUUCAAAUUUAAUUUUCAAAACUUUCAUUUUCGAAUAAUUCUUCAAAAUUCCAAUUUUGAAAUUUAAUUUUCAAAACUUCCAUUUUCAAAUAAUUUUCCAAAAUUCCAAUUUUCAAAUAUUUUUCCAAAAUUCCAAUUUUCAAAUAAUUUUUCAAAAUUGCAAUUUUCAAAACUUCCAUUUUCAUUUUUUUUUAAAUUCCAAUUUUUAAAUUUAAUUUUUAAGAUUUCAAUUUUCAAAUAAUUUUCAAAAAUCUAGUUUUCUUUCAAAUAAUUUUAAUUCCACUCCAGUUUUCAAAUAUUUUUAAUUCUAUAACUUUUCAUCCUUUAUUAGGGUUUUAGGUAAAAAAAAAAAAUCUUGUUUUUUAAUAAACUUGCUAUCUUUCCCUUCAGGUAAGCACUUUCACAAAUUUUCUUUGAUUUUCAAAUAAUCUUUUGUUUCUCUUGAUUUUAAAUAAGUAUGAAUAUGAUUUCCAUAAUUCCAAAACAAUGGAAUUUGUGGGAUUAAUUCAUGCAAAAUCAAUUGGGCUUUGGUGAGGGCCCUAUAUAUGAGUUUUCUCUACUGAUUGUCAACUGUUAUACUUAAUGAAUAUUGUUUGAUCUUUGUCUUGCUCUUUGAUAUGCAUGUGAUGAUUUUAUACUUUAGCUAACCUUGUUUCCAUGAUAACAUACUAUUACUUGUUGCUAAGGUACGAUUUCACUCCCACUUUGCUUAUUCUUACGCAUGAUUUGUUUUAUUAUCUGAUCAUUCCAUUGAUUUCCUAAUGAAUUGUCAUGUUUACUUCACCUUAUUUAGUAUAAACCCAUUUUUUAGGGCUUAGAGGGGUGUUGCGGUCUUUACCGUACCUUCCCAAUAAGUAACCUGAUCCCCGAACCCAGGUUUGGUUUUUCACAUACCGUUUUUUCCAAAUAAGGAGUUACACUUAGGGUUUUCUUUUUUUAUUUUGUUUUCCAUUUAAAAAUAAAACAAAAAUAAGUGGCGACUCCAAGUCUUUUUCAAAAAAUCAAAUUUUCACCAAAUAAAUAAAAAAACGAGUUUCACUAUCGAGUGGGAACGCAUCAAGCGAAAUGCGGGGUCCACACAUACAUACUUUAGCAAAUAAAAUUAUUUUCUUUUCUCUUUGAAGCUAGAAUAAAUUCAUAAAUAAUCAAAUCAAUUGGUUCAAUGAAUGAAAUGAUAAUUCCUUUCCCUUCAUUUAAAAUAAGCUUGUAGUUUAAAUUAAAAAAACAAAACAAAAAAAAAAAACUAUUUUAACUAGCCAAAAUUAUUAUUAUUAGAGCUAUCACUAUCACACUUAUCGCCUUUUCUUUAUUUUAUUUUAUUUUUUUAUUUUAAUUAAAAUUGACAUGUUUAAUUAAGAUAUGUGCCCUUGGUUCUUCAAUUUUCUAAAUAAACUUCAACAAAAAGAUUGAUUCAUUUGAAAAUUUUACUCAAUAGAUUUGCUAAUAAAAUGAUGGUAUCACCAUUUUCAAUUAAAUUGAUUUAAAUUAUUGCUUGGGUUAAAAUGAAUCUGACCAAUUCCAAAAUUAACUUGACAAUUAUUCCAAAAUUUUUUUUGUUGUUGUUGUUUUAUUUUUUAUUUAUUUUAUUUUUUAAAAUCAAAGGUAACAUAUUAUCUUAUUUGAUUAAGUAGUUUCGAGAUAAAUUUUCAACUUAUGAGUAUUUUUCGAGAAAAUGAUCUUUUUCAAUUAUUUGAGAAGGAUCAACUUUAAAGAAUUUUCUUUUUAUUACUUCAUAAAUAUUUUUCCCAUUCAAAUAGCUUUCAAAUCAAGAUUGUUUUGACUUCAAUUAAAACAAUUAAUCUACUUAGUACUCUUGCCCUUAAGUAUCCCAAAACUCAUUUAAUAUUUCAAAUAAAUAAUAACAUGAUUAUUUUGCAAUCCAAAUAUAAGCAAUCAAUUAAAUUAAUGGAGACAUCAUAUCCCUUCACCAAGCAUUCCCUUAAUUCUAUUGGUUCAACAACAAUGUCUAAGUUGUUGAAAUCAUAAUUCGACUUAAAGUCAAAUUAGAAUAAGUUUAGGAAUUGGAUAAAUAUUAGGAAUUGUAAUUUAUUUAGCCUUCCUAUGUUAAUUAGGACUUUUAGUCUAAUAGGAAUUGAAGUUUUAUUACAAGUAUGAUUAGUUUAUUAUAAAUAGGCUUGUUAUUAUGUUGAAAAUUAGAAUGCAAUAAAUUUAUUUUUUUAGUAAAGUAUUAUCAAUACCCAAUUGUGUGGGUUUCAACAAUUGGUAUCAAAGCCAGAAGAUCAGACAAGGUGAAAUGCCAUAUCAGAGCUAGAAUACCAAGGAAUGUGCAUAAUUACAAGAAAGUUCCAAUCUUGUUGAUGAAAUUAUAGCUACGAAUAAUAACUCAAUUCAUCUUCAACUCCUAAAAUCCACAGGUAAAAUUUUUUACUAUUGGUGUAUUCAAAUGCAUGUCUUAUUUAGAUUUCAAGAUUUAUGGGAUCUAGUGAAUAUUAGUUACAAUGAAGUGACGGAUUCAAAAGAAGUCGAGGCACUAUCAAAGGAGCAGAAAAAUUAUUUGAAAGAUUCUUGAAAGAAAGAUCAAAAAGCACUUUAUGCCAAUAUUCCAAGUAGUGGAUGAAUCCAUAUUUGAGAAGAUCUUAGAGACGGAAACAAAAAAAGAGGCAUGUGUUACUUUACAAAAGUUAUACAAAUGUGAUGAACAUGUCAAGCGAAUGAAGUUGCAAACAUUAAGAGGUGACUUUGAGUCUCUUCGCAUGAAUGACUCUGAAUUUAUCUCAGAUUAUUUUGAUCGGGUACAAACUAUUGUUAACCAGGUGCGGGUUAAUGGUGAGAAGCUUGAUGAUCAACGAAUAGUAGAGAAAAUUAUGCACUUUUUUAAGUGCAAGAUUCGACUAUGUUGUUGUUGCAAUUGAAGAAGAAAAGAAUAUUUUCACUCUCACUGUUGAAGGGUUGAUGAGUUCAUUGUGUUCACAUGAACAACGAAUGAAUUACAAAAUCAACUCUACAAAUUUAGAGCAAGCCUUGUAGAGUAUAGCAUAUACUGGAGGUCAUGGUGGCCAACUAGGUGACUGAGGCCGUGGUCGUGGCAGAGGUAGAGGAGGAUAUAACAACUUCAACAAUAAAUAUGGAGAUGGUGAUACAAAUUCUUCUAAAGGAAUGGGAAGCACUUUUAAACCUAAAGUUAAGUCACACAUACAAUGUUUUAGGUGCAAAAAGUAUGGACAUUAUAAGUCAGAAUGUCAAACAAAAUUGUAAAAUGAAAUAGAUGAGCAUGUAAACAUCGUCGAGGUAGAAUAGAAUUUGGUGUUGGCUUGCAAUGUGGCAACCAGGGAUUGAAAAAUCGGAAAAUGUCGCCGAUAUUUCGAAGAAAUAUCGGAUAUCGGACGGCGUCGAAACGAUAAUCGUCACCGAUUAUCGAUCAACGGAAAAAUCGACAAAAAAUCGGCAAAAUCGCCGAUAUAUCGGCGAAAUAUCGGCGAAAUACCGAUUUAUCGGGAAAUUUCCCGAUAUUUUCCUACCAGUCCAGCCCGCGCACAGGAUACAAAAUCUGGCUCAAAAAUCGUGGAUUUAGGGUUCGUGAAAUUUAAAUCCAAUGGCACAACAACAAAGAGACCCUUAAAACAGAUCCAGAAAACACAGGGAGCAAAAGAAAAGCAAAUUUUUUGGUUUUCUUUGGGGGUUUUGAAUGGAUGGAUUUUCUCGGAAAUCAAACGAGAAUGAAUUUUCCCGGAAAUCAAAUGGGGGAUGGAUUUUCUUGGGAAUCAAACGGGGGUUGCAAAAAAAAUAAUAUGAACGUGAUUAGAUUAGUACCUGCGAGGAUUGAGAGUGGCAGAGGAAGAUAGGUCUUUUUAGGAAGAGGAACUCUUGGCUGGAGGGCAGCUUCAGAAAAGGGGAAAGGGGAAUUCUCUCGGCUGGAGGGCAACUUCAGACGUGGGUGGCCCUUUUAAUUUUUAGAUUUAGUAGAGGUAAAAAAAAAAAAAAAAAAAAAUCAUGAGAGCAAUUUUCCUCUACCCAUAUAAAUAAUUAUAAAUUAUUGAAUUUUAUUUUGAUUAUUAAAUAAAUUAAUAUUAAUAAAAAAAAGUUGUUACUAUAUGUUUUUAAUAAAAUUUUAAAAAUUAAAUCUCAAAUAAAAUAUUUAUAUAAAUUAAUUUAAUUUUCAUUUAAAAUAUAAUAAAACAUGUUUUAAUAAAAAUAUUUUAAAAUUUUUUAAAUAAACAUUAUCUUCAGCAAAUUGGGUCAUCUUCAUCUAACAAUAUAAUGAAAUCACAUCGAUCUCUUCCUUAAUAUAAGGACUAUUGUAAUAUCAUAUGUAUUAUAUUUAUGUAUAAAUUAUUUUUAUUCAAUAAAAUCAAAUAUUUUUUAAUUUAAUUCUAACUCUAUAUACUUUCAAAAUUCAUAUAUAUUAUUUUUAAAAUUCAAAUAUCGAAUCUAUCAAUAUAUCUUUAUUUAAAAUAUCUUCUUAAUUAUAUAUAUGUCAAUUACACUUACAAGAUAACUUUAAAAUGUGUAUUUUUACUUAUUUUAUCAUUUUUUUAAGUUUUUUCAAACAUUUCUAUUAAUUUUAAAUAAUUUUCACUUUAUUGAUAUUUGUGAAAAAAUAUCCACGAUAUUUCUCCGAUAUUUCUCCGAUAUUUCCGAUAUAUCCGUAAAAUCGAAGUACCGAUAUAUCCGUAAAAACCGAUAUUUCAAUCCUUGGUGGCAACAUCAAAUGCAGAUCGACAAGAUGUUUAGUAUCUUGAAAUAGGAAAUUGUCAACAGAUGUUUGAAGAUUUUAGGGAGACAAUGAAACAACAAUUUGAAAUGAUAGAUUUAGGAUUAAUGUCCUAUUUUCUUAGAAUUGAAGUCCAACAAACAAAUGAUGGUAUCUUUAUCUCACAAAAGAAAUAUGCUUUAGACAUUCUAAAGCAUUUCAAGAUGGAAAUCAUCAUCAACAAUCCAUACUCCUAUUGCAGAGCGACUAGAGAUGAAAAAGGAAGACACUAGAGAAUUAGUAAAUCCCACAUAUUUCAAGGGCAUAGUAGGAAGUCUUCGUUAUUUAACUUCUACUAGACCGGAUAUUGUUUAUGGAGUCGGAAUUAUUAGUUGAUUUAUGGAAAAACCAUAUUAAUCACAAUUGCAAGCGACAAAGCGAAUUUUCAGGUAUGUAAAUGGUACUUGUGAUCAUGGAAUCUUCUACUCCUACUCAAACAACUUCAAUUUAGUGGGCUACACAGAUAGUGAUUGGGGAGGUGAUGUAGAGACUAGAAAGAGUACUGUUGGAUAUGUUCUUUUUUAUCUUGGAACAAGAGCAUUCUCAUGGUCAUCAAAGAAGCAACAAGUUGUAGCAUUAUCAACUACAGAAGUUGAAUAUAUGGCAGUUACUUCCACAUCAUGUCAAGUAGUUUGUCUUCGUAGGAUGCUUAGUGAAUUGAAGUAUGAAUAGAAGGGUCCUACAAAGAUUUUGUGUGAUAAUAAGUUUGCUAUUGCAUUGACAGAAUCUGAAGUUUCAUGGUAGAAACAAACACAUAAGCAUCAAAUUUUAUUAUAUUAGGGAACUUCUGAAAAAUCAAGAGAUUGAAAUUAAGUUUUGUAGAUUAGAAGAUCAAGUUGCAGAAAUUUUUACCAAGCCAUUAAAAAUGGACAUGUUUGAGAAGUUUAAGAUGAUGCUUGGUGUGAUUGACUUUACAAUUCGGAUUAAGGGAGACUGUUGAAAUCAUAAUCCGAAUUAAAUUCAAAUUAGAAUAAGUUUAGGAAUUGGAUAAAUAUUAGGAAUUGUUAUUUAUUUAAGCUUCAUAUGUUAAUUAGGACUUUUAGUCUAAUUGGAAUUAAAGUCCCAUUACAAGUAUGAUUAGUUUAUUAUAAAUAGGCUUAUUAUUAUGUUAAAAAGUAUAAUGCAAUAAAUUUAUUUUUUUAGUAAAAUAUUAUCAAUAUCGAAAUGUGUGGGUUCCAACAUAAGUCUGAGAACUUAAACAAAACUAAUCAAGCCUAAAAUAGAAAAAAUAGUAAAUUUAACUAAAAAAACUAGAACCCAAACUUGUUUGAUAAAAGGGAAAAGCACUUACUAGGCAAGAUGGGCAUUGGGCACCUAAAAUGUGAAAUGCACUCUUACCACCAGGCACUGAUGGACACUCAGAGAAUAAAUAGUAGAAUUUGAUUCGAACCCAAACCUUCUUUAAAAAAAAAAAGAAUGUAAAGAUGAUUAUGAAAAAUUAGGUGUUGGCAUUUUUUUUUCCUAAUUUUUAUUUAUUUAUAGAAAAUAGCUUAUUUUUAGAUUUCAGAUAGUUUAUUUUUGUACUUUUUGUUAAUAUAUAACUUAUUUCUUAAAUUUUUUAUUUAAAAGAAAAAAAUCAAAAUAUUUUACUUUUUCUGAUUACUAAAAUUAAUUUAUAGCCUUUUCUUUAAUUCUUAAAUACUUAAUAAAAAUAAAAUAUGAAAAAAAACAAAUAACUUAAUAUUUAACACUAUUAAAUACUAUUUAGUUUUAAGUUCCGAAUAAAAUUAAGUCAAAAAAGUAACACCACCUUAGAAUUAAAUUUGGUUGAAAAAAUAAAACUCUUAUAAUUUACCUUCUACCCAUAAGUGACUUUGUGUCAGCAUACAAAGAAGAAAUGUGGGCCUAAUGGGGGAUUUUUGAUAUUUUCCUUUUUUUUUUGUAAUACAAUAUUUGUAAAAAAAAAAAAUGUAGUUAUAUAAAUAAUUUUAAACAAUGUUGUUUCCCAAGGGGACCUCAUUCGGUACAAAAAAUGCAUGUGGUAUUCUUCCAAUUAUUAAAUUGUAUCGAGCGAAAAGGUCCAACGCAUAUUUGAAAAAGGGAGAAUUCCCAUUUAGAGUAGGCUGCUAGUGAUAAUGAUUAUUAAAUUGUAUCUAGCAAAGGUCCAACAUGUAUUUGAAUAAGGGAGAAUUCCCAUUUAGAGUAGGCUACCAGUGAUAAUGACCUAAAAGGAUCAUCAUAUUUGCAAAUUCUUAUCAAGUCCUUUGAAAAAUUAAUCAUUUCAAAAUCCCAGUUAUACAUUUUUUUUUUGUCCUUUUCUUCUUUUUCUCAUUUAAUUUUACCUUUUUAUUGUUUUUCUUUUAUACUUUUUUACACAUUAUUAUUAACUAUUAAUAUUAUUAUUUAUAAUAUUAAUGUUUUGAAUUAUUCAUGUUACUUAUUAAAAUCAUUCUUAUUAAUAUUAUCUAUUUUUAUGAUUAUUAUUCAUAUUUUUAAAAUAAUAAUUAGAAGAAAAAAUAAAACAAAGAAAAGACAAAAUAGAAAAAAGAUAAAGUAAGGAUAUGUUUAACUUUAAAGCGAAAGGUAUAUUUGAAUUUUUUUAUUUUGAGAUACUUUGAAGAAUUAUCAAAGUUGAUGACCCUUUAGGAUCAUUAUCAUUCAUAGCCCACCCUAUAUGAUAAUUUUCCCUUAAAACAACUCUUCUGUGUCAUACCUCUAAUGACCACAAGUGAGAUUGUGAUCAAUCAAGACAAUUACAAUAAAAUUUAACAACUAAUCACUUUCAAUUUUUUUAUAAUAUUUAUUUUAUUGAUUAAGAAUUAUAAUUUAAUAAAAAAGGAGGUUGUUAUUCACAACAUCCCUUUUGCUAAACGUAACACUUUUUUGUCAUAUUUUUUUUCUACAUAUGCCCUUUUAAAUAAAGAACUCUCUCUAACCUCCUCUCAACAUAUUGAACCUAAAUUCUAAUUGGUUAAGGCUAUGAAUCACAUACGAAAUACAAUGAAUGAUGAAAUUCAAUCAUUUGAUGACAAUUUUUAGGUAAGAUUUAUAACUUUCAUUUGUUUUUAUAAAGAAAUAUAUAUAUUUAUCAAAAAAUAAAAAUAAAAAUCGGCAACUUGGGUGGGGCUCUAGCGUCCUGGGAGGCGACAAUGACCACAGUGGUUAUGGUUUGGAGUAGGGAUGGAAGUCAGUGACCAUCGGCAACGGUGGUUGGGCUAAAUUUUUUGUUUAUAAUAAUUAUAAAAAUCGAAUUUUUUAUUAUUAUUUAUAAUAGUUACUAAAUUACUUUUCGUUUAUAAUAGUUAGAAAAUUCUUCAUGACAUAAAUUUUUGCUUAUAAUAAUUAUAAAAUUCUAAUUCUUUUAUUUGUUUAUAAUAUUUACUAAAUUACUAAUUUUUUUCUAAGAAAACAUUAUAGUAGCCACAUAAAUUAUUAAUUUAAACAAGAUUUGUUUUUGCCAAUUUUCACCAAUUUUACUAAUUUCAAUGUUUUAAUUUCUUUUUUUGAAAAUUUUAACUAAUUGCUUCAUGUUUUAAUUUUUUAAAAACUGUCAUGUACAUUCUCAUAUAAUUUGGAUAAUGUUAUUGUCUUCAUGAUAUAAAUAGAAUUUUUUAUCUAUUUUGUAGGAUGAAUAUUUUGUGGAGGAAUUUCCAUCACAAUUGAUAGAUUAUGGCAAACAUUUCACUAUACAUAAAAGAGUCAAAGACCGAGAAGAGUUUAUUGAAGAGGUUAAACAAAUUGGAGAACAACAAAAUAUAUUUGUGAUUAUUUGUCGUUCCACUAAAGCUGAUGGUUCAGGAAGUGGCAAAGUAUGGAUAGGUUGCGAGAUAUUCGAAGGUUAUAGACCGUAAUAGAACAGAAAAACUGAUGUGGUGCCUAGAAAUUGAACUAGGACGAAGAAGUGUCGUUGUCCCUUUAUGUUGAAGGGUAUUGAACAGGAUGAUGGAUAUUGGACAUUAGUCAUCAUUAAUGGCAACCACAAUCACUACCUUGGAAAGUAUCCUCACGAUCAUUCAUCGGUUGGUAAAUUAAAGGAAAUAGAGUUCAAGAUAGUAGCUACAAUGACCGAAAGUCAUGUUAAGCCACAACUUAUUUUAAAUCACGUCAAAUGGGAGAAUCCAAGCAACUUGAGUUGUGGGAAACAUGUCUACAAUGCCAGACAAAAGCUUAAAGAUCAGAAAAAGAAUGGUUGUUCAGUGAUGCAACAACUACUAAAAUUGCUAAUUGAUCAUGGUUAUAUCACCACUGGUAUAGAGAAGUGAUAAGGUUAAUUUUGAGGAAGAGAAGGUAGAAGAGAAGAAGAGGACGGAGAAGGAUUUUUGGAUUUUUCUGCUAUGCUUUAUUGAUCAUAAUACCGACUAUUUAUAAUAGUCUUACAACUGGGAAAUAAAAAACAAUGCUAUAACUUAGGAAAGAACUAAGGCUAGUCCACUUGGCAAAACAAAUAAAACAACACGUUGAAGACUAUCUCCGACCAGCUUAUUAAGUGGAGAAUAGUUAACAGACUACUGACUAAGUCUUGUAAGGCUCACGUAUCAUGCCUCCCCCUCCUUAAGGAUCCUUGUCCUCAAGGAUAAAAAUCUAGAUAGGACCUAUUGAAGCGUCAUUCGUUCUCCCAGGUUGCAUCUUCCCUUGGUGCUCCCUUCCACUUGAUUUAAACUUUAGACCUUGGACGGUAUUUCCCUUUUUGAAUAACUCGUCGAUCAAGUACAACUUCAGGUUGUGGUAGUAUAACAAAAUCUUCUGAGACUAGAGGAAGUUGAUUCUGAACUAGAGUAUGUACUGGACCCAAAUGUUUCCGCAACAUGCUAACAUGAAAUACAUUGUGAAUUUGAGUCCUCAGAGGGAGAACUAACUGAUAAGCCACUGGAUCUACUUUUCCCAUAAUUAGAUAAAGGCUAAAGAAACGUGGAGCAAGCUUCAUUGAAGCUCGAAAGGCCACAAAAGUUUGGCGAUAUGGUUGGAGCUUCAGAUAGACAUAAUCACCAAUAUCAAAGAAGACUUCUCAUCGUUUCUGAUAUGCUUGACAUUUCAUUCGUUGACUAGCUUGUGAAAGGUUGUGGCGUAGCACACUUAAGAUGGUGUCACAGUCACGAAGGUAUUCAUCAAUUGCUUGAAUGCGAGAAGUACCUGGAACAUAAGUUAGAAUGCUUGGUGGAGGAAUUCCAUAGACGACUUCAAAUGGUGUCAUUUUGGUUGAGGAAUGUAUGAAAGUAUUAUAGCUAAACUUAGCCCAGGGAAUCCACUCAAGCCAUUUUCGUGGUUGAUCACCUGCAAAACAUCGCAAGUUUUGUUCCAAAGUGCGGUUUACUACCUCGGUCUGACCGUCAGUUUGUGGGUGGUAACUUGAGCUCAUGCGAAGCUUGGUUCCUUGUAGCUAGAAUAGUGUUUGCCAAAAAGAACUGAUAAACACUUUAUCUCGAUCACUCACUAUGGAUGUCAGAACACCGUGGAGGCGAACCACGUUGGCUAUAAAUGAUUUAGCAAUAGUGGCUGCGGUAUAUGGAUGUCUUAAGGCAACAAAAUGAGCAUAUUUUUUUAAGCGAUCAACAAUUACCAUGAUGACUAUGUGUCCAUUUGACGGUAGUAAUCCUUCGAUAAAAUCCAUUGAUACUUCAGUCCACAUCCAAGUAGGAAUGGGUAAUGGUUGAAGUAAGCCAGCUAGUUUCAUGCAAUCGGUUUUGUACCUUUGAAAUACACUGCAUUGUUAUAGAAACUCCUUCACUACUCGACGCAUACUAGGCCAUCUGAAGCUGAGCUUGAUGCGAGAAAGUGUUUUAUGGAAUCCACAAUGCCCCCUAGUUGGUGAUGAGUGGCAAUCUUCAAUUAUUUGGUGAAUUAAAAUUGAAGUGGGACUUAAGUAGACUUUGUUGUUUUUGAACCAAACUUCAUCUCGAAGUGUUAGCUGGUAAGGAGAUUGUGUUUGGCUCAACUUCUUAUAAAAAGGAUCUUUUUGUACUUCCUCUUAAAAUUUUGGCUACCAAUUUGCAUGUGGCAUAGAAAUGGAUAAGAACUGAAAUUCAACUACAAGAGAAAGGGAGUCAACAACUUGAUUUUCAGGCCCACGCUUGUACUCAAUUUCAUAGUCAUAUCCAAGGAUCUUUGGGAGCCACCGGGUUUGUGCUGGUAUGGUAAUUCGUUGCUCAAGUAAAUAUUUGAGGCUCCUUUGGUCGGUGGGCAUCGUAAAUGGUUUGCCCAGAAGAUAUGGACGCCACUUUUGAAUUGACUUGACAAUGGCCAACAUUUCUUUCUCAUAUGUAGAUAACAAGGCUGACCUCUUCAGAGCUUCACUAAAGUAAGCUAUGGGUCGAUUAUUUUGAGAAAGGAUUGCUCCGAUUCCAAUCCCACUAGUGUCGCAUUCAAUUACGAAUAUUUGAGAAAAAUCUAGAAGGCCUAGGACUGGUGGAGAUGUGAGUGUUUUCUUUAGUCUUCGAAAAGCAAGUUCCGCUGCAUCGUUCCAUUUAAAUCCUUCUUUGGACAAAAGUUGCGUUAAUAGAGCCGCUAUACCUUCAAAAUGACGAAUAAAUUUGCGGUAAUACCCUGCAGCCCGAGAAACCCACGCACUCCUUUUGUUGUGGAAGGUGUUGGCCAUUCAAGAACAACUUGUAUUUUUGUUAGGUCUACUGCCACUCCAUGUUCGGAAAUGAUGUGUCCCAAAUAGUCCACCUAAGAAACACCAAACCUGCAAUUGGUUGCCUUAGCAAACAAGUGAUUAGAUUUUAAAAUAUUAAGGACGGUCCGGAGAUGUGAGAGAUGGUCAUCCCAUGUCUUUGAAUAAACUAGAAUGUCAUCAAAGAAUACCAAGAUAAAUUUUCUGAGAUAUGUGCGGAAAAUUUCAUUCAUGAGGCUUUGGAAGGUGGAGGGUACAUUGGUAAGGCCAAACGACAUUACAAUGAACUCAUAGUGCCCUUCAUGUGUUCGAAAAACUGUUUUUGAAAUAUCUUCUUCAUAUACCCGAAUCUGAUGGUAUCCAACCUUCAAAUCUAACUUGAAGAAGAAUUUGGCUCCGUGAAGUUCAUCAAGGAGUUCAUCAAUUACUAGAAUUGGAUAUUUAUCCUUGACUAUGAUGAGGUUCAGUGCUCGAUAGUCAAUGUUGAUGUCUUGCGUCCCAGGGAUCCACGUUGCUGCCAGGUGGACGCACGCUUUCAACCAAGAUUGAAUUCUGGCUCAAUCGAUCUUGCAAAAGAUGUCCGGACAGGAUGUCUGGACACACCUUUCGAUGGUUUUGUUAGCCAUGGCUCCAGAGAUUAAGUUGUCGGCCUUUUUCAGGGAUAGCAAGCUUACCUUCUUCCUUGUAUGAAGGCCCUUUUAUAUAGUGUCAGAAGCUCUGCCUCCCUCUUUAAUGGUGGGAAGACUUUUUAGCUCGUCAUGAUGUCCUCAAGGUGGUGGUAGGGUCAUCAUCACCCUGCAGGCGGCUGUCAAAGAUCGUGAGAGGCAACUUGCCAUCGCUUCUGUCCUUUCGCUCUACAGGCGGCGGAAUGUGGGUUGUGGCAGGCUGUCGGGGAUGACUCAACAAGGCUUGCUCGCUACAGUCAAUGAUCCGGACAAUAGGUCCAGAUAGGAUAGAGCAUCGCCCGGGUAUGAUAUUUGAGAGUGUUGUGUGCCCCCUUGGGGGACCCGGAUAGGGGUGUGCACCAUGUGUCCUCUUGGGGAGUACAGAUAGAAUUACUCCGGAUAGCGAUGCGCGCCACGUGUCAUCGGGGGGAGGGAUUCCUACAAUGCCUCCCUUUUAACUUGUCGAUUUUGCCCGGGCAAAAUGGGUGGGUUAAAAGUGAUUGUUUUUACAACUUAGGUUACUUUUUUGCGCUCAUUGGGCCACGUGGCGCGCGUAGGUGAAAAGGAAGAAGAGCAUUUAUGACGAGUCGUCGUCCUUGGGAAUUCCCAGGCAGCGUGUCUUUUCAAUAACGGCACGGCUGGGCGUUUGGAAUACCGAGGGGCUGUUUCUCUUUAAAUAGCAGGCCGAGCCCCCUACGCCUGCAUUUUUUCCUUCUGCAUUUCUGCUGAUAGUGUUUUCUCUUCGACUUUUUGCGUAUCUUCGGCUAUAAGUGAAGUUCUAGGGUUUCUGCUAGCGAUAUUCGUGUUGUGAGGGUGACUGCAUCGCGGGCUUCAUCUUCGUUUCGCCAGUUUGUGCUAGGUAUGUUCCCUAUUCUUGCCUUUUCUUCGUUGUGUUUGUUUUUUUUAUUGUUUCUAGCUUGUUGGGUAAGCUACUUGUGAUUGAGGGUCGGUACUGGGGUUCAGGGGUUUUUCGAGGGGUUUUUGGUUUCGUUUUGGGUGCGUUAGGGUUCCUGUUGCACCCCUGCACCUUUUGCGAGUUACCGAUCCUGCUUUGGGGUAGAGCCAAGGGUUAGGAUGGGGAUGUUGGGUAUUUUAGGUUUUUUGGGCGUUUUUGUUAUUAGGGUUGUGGGGUCGGGUCAUUGUUUUUUACUGUUGGCAUCCUGCCAUGCAGGUUCCAUUUCGGCCCCACUCUUUAAAAUGCCUGCGAAAAAGGACAUAGCUUGGUCCAGUGUGGUCGGGUAGAGCGACAAGGAUGCGUCCGGGGUGGUCUAUGCGGAAAGGUUUGUUGACAAGCUGAACGUGAGGCAGUUCUGUGAACGCUUCUGCAUUCCGAAUGGCGUGUCCAUUUAGCUUGUGGAUGAAGAGGUCGUAUCCAUUGAGAAAUCUGCGGACAACGCUAUCUACUUCACCAAGGAGCAAUUCAAUGCGGGGCUCCGGUUCCCUCUCCCAUCCUUGUUCAAAGAAUUUCUUCACUUCACCUAGAUCCCUCCGGCCUACAUCCAUCCCAACAUAGUCCGGGUGCUGAUGAGGUGCAGCAUUCUGAGCAUGCUGUUUAACUUGGAUCUUUCGCUGCUAGAGGUCUUUUUCAUCUAUUCCAUCAAGAAGGGGAAGACUGACCUCUUCAGCCUGGCUGCCUAUAUGUCUUCCCUCUAAUUGGUGACUCAUCUUUCGGAUUCGACGAAGGAGGGAUCCAAGGGGCAUGUACUAGUCAGGGGUGUCUGGGCUGGGCUGUCAGAGCAUCCGGAGAGAGCGUUUUCCCCAAACCGUUCGCUGGUGCUCCCAGGUAGGGCAACUUGUGGGGUUUGUCUAGCGUUUGCCUGUUGUUCUCUUAUUUUAGUGUUAUCAGAUGGCUAACAUUUUUGGUUGUUUGACAACGCAGGUACGGACAGGAGGGGUCGCGUGGUCGAGUGGGUGGAAAAAGUGUUUUUCGACCGCUUGAACAAGUUAUUCGAGAUCACCAUAGCUAAAAGGCAUCAUCAGACGCUGCUCACUGCUCGAAACUUGUUGACGGUUGUCCGGGAGCCUCAGCCAUACGUCACCAACAUUCUCCCUAGGUGGUUGCCAAAACGAGUAGUGCCUGGGGAGCAUUUUGUAUUGAAAGACUUGCCCUUUUACGAGAGGGCUCGCAAGGCUGACGUAAAGGCGCGCCAAGAGCGCAUUGACCAGCUAGAGGAGAAGAGGCAAGAGGGGACGAUAAGGAAAGCACCUAGUGAAAAGGGGCGCUACUCUCCUCCAGCGGCUCGUCCUCCGGCCACAAAGGAAAAAAAGAAAAAGAAGAAGACGAAGAAGACGAAGAAGACACUUGCACAGGUGCUCCAGAUUGCAGCCCCCACUCUUGAGGCUUCGUUUUCCUCUUGUAGGUCCGGACCUAGCCGGUCGGACCACACUAUUCCAGAGUCUGAGGAGGUUGAGGAAUCUGAGGCUACUUCCAGCUCCCUUCAGCUUGUAGUCUUCCACCAGGGUCCUAGCUCUCCCCAGCCUGAUCCGGAGUCUGCUGGCUUGCAAGUCGCAAAUGAGCCAGAAGAGAUGAGAAGCAUAAGUGAGCUUAGGGAGAGGCUGAUGCAAAGACAUGGCAAAAGGCUGCAUAUCCCCAUCGACCUGGGGCCUCCCCCAGCUAAGAAAGUUUGCUUGGAUCGGGGUGGGGAGGACCCGACGCUCUAGGUUCCGGUUCCAGCUGCGACCCGUCCGGAUGGGAAUGGUGCGAGCACGAGUGCCCCGGUCCCUCCGAAUGCCGCAGGGUCUAGCACGGUGGCUAUGGCUCCGAUCGACGCUCCAGGGCGUAGCUCUCCUACUAUGGUGAGGACCCCUAUGCCAGAGGGGGUUCCGGAGGCACCGAACAGUGAGGAGGCUCCGGUCGAGAGGAGUAGUUAUACUGCAGCAGUUCCUCCAAGCUGGGAGGAACUGAUGGAUAUGCUGAAGGGGGUGUCUUGCUUCACAGACGCAAAAGCGUGGCACCCUUUUGGUAUUUCUGAGUUCGCUGUGCCUUGCGUUCAGCACCUACAGGAAUGGACAAUGCCAGAGGCUGUAGAAAUGGUAAAUAUUUCUUUGUUGUUUUUCUCUUGUUUGUUAGCAGUUAUCGCUUUUCCAUGUAACUUUGUCUGCUAUUUUGUUGUCGUUUUGCCCAGGUUAUAUCCGGCAUCCGCUACAUGUUGUGCACACGCGAGCAACUUUUCCAGCGGCUGAGGGUGGCGAAGGCCAUGCGUGCCUUUAUCUCCCAGCAUCCGGGUGGCGUUGAGGGGUUGCGCGCCCAAUUGGAGAAGGUUGAAGCGGAACUGGCCUCCGCGCGGAAAGCGGUGUCAGAUGGGGCGGAGCAGCUGAGCCAGGUUGAGGGGGAGAAGGAGGCUAUCCGGGCGGGGGUUGAUACUUUAAAGAAAGAAAAAGAAGCCUUGGAGGGCCAAGUCAAUGAAGCUGGGCAGGAAAACCUCCAAUUGAAAAGAGAGACGGAGGAACUUCGGGCUAGCCUCGCCGCCCAGAAAAAGGAGUCUGAGGAUUUGCGGGCUAGUCUGGCGGCUCAAAAGGAGGAAAUGGAGGCUAGGUUCGCCGCACAGAAGAAGGAGAUGGAGGAGAAAUACCAACAGCAGGCGGACGAGAUGUACUUCUUCGGCUACCGCUGCUGUAUGAAGAAGCAUGGAAUUAUGCAUGAUACUCCUUCUUUCCAUUCUGAUGAGGAGGAUUCGGUGCCUGGGGUUCCGUCCAGCUGAGAUUUCUUUUGGUGCAGACUUUACAAUUUUUCCUUUGUUUUGCUGCGUAUGGGGCAGCUAUAUUUGUAAAGACACUUUGUUCUUUAUUUUACAAAUACACUACAUUUUCUCUAUCUCUUUUGCUUACUCUUUAUUUCCUUUCAUUGAUAAUACUGCUUAAGAUUGGAUACAUUCCAUGGACGAAGCAGCGGGGUUCCGUCUAGUUUCUAUAGAUGAUAGGCUUCGUUUUCACUUGUCUUGGAUACUAUGUAGGGGUCUUCCCAAUUGGCUUGAAACUUUCCUGCUCCUGUCUCAGCAAUGUUUUUGAAUAUCUUCCUAAGGACCAUCCUUCCACUUUUGAAGCUCCUGGGUCUUGCCUUGCGGUUAUAGUGAGCGGCUGCCCUUUGUUAAUAGUCGGUCAUCCAGAUGGAUGCGCUCUCUCUUACUUCGUCUACCUAGUCCAAAUUUCUUCCUAGUUCCGCAUUUGCAUCAUCCUAUCAUCCUACCUCGGUUCGGAUAGUGGGUAGCCCUAUUUCUGUGGGAAUGACUGCGUCCAUACCAUAUGCGAGGGCGAAGGGAGUAUUUCCUGUCGGUCAUCCGGGUGUGGUCCGAUAAGCCCACAGGACGCUGGGUAGCUCCUCUACCCACUUCCCUUUGGCUUGCUCGAGCCUCUUCUUUAAGGCAGUUAUUAGGGUUUUGUUAGUGGCCUCUGCUUGUCCAUUGCUUUGAGGAUAACGCGGUGUAAAGUAUAAAUUCCAAAUGUUUAGUUCCAAACAGAAAUUCCGGAAAGUGAUGCUAUCAAACUGUGGGCCGUUGUCAGCUAUAAUGGUUUGAGGGAUUCCAAAGCAGUAGAUGAUGUUCUUCCAUACAAACUUGGUGACAUCUUUGUCCUUGAUGCUAGCGUAUGCUUCAGCUUCCACCCAUUUGCUGAAGUAAUCCGUGGCGAAAAGCAGGAAUUUCUUCUGGGCAGCUGCGGCUGGUAGGGGUCCUACUAUGUCCAUGCCCCACUACGCGAAGGGCCAGGGGCCAAAAAUUGGUUUUAACGUCUUCAACGGCACAUGCGAUAUGGGGACAUGCCUUUGACAUUUGUCACACUUUUUGACAUAGGCUGCCACAUCUUUUUUCAUCGUGGGCCAAUAAUAUCCUUGCGAGUGGGCCCGGUGCGCUAAAGAUCGACCUUCGGAAUGAUUCCCACACACCCCUUCAUGUAACUCAGUCAACACAUACAGGGCUUCUGAGUGGUCUAGGCACCUGAGGUAGGGGCCUAUAAAGGACCGCUUGUACAAGUGCCCCCCGAUCAGGGUGAAACGGGCGGCUUGUAUCCGGGUCUUAUGUGCCUGCUUGGGCUCUUCGGGCAAAGUGCCUGUCCGGAGAUACUCUAUGAUGUCUUCCGUCUAGUCUUGGCCGUAUGCUUGGUUUGCCUCAAUGGUAUUGCAAGUGGAGGCUCCUGCGACGGAGGGGUUAGUUUGCACAUGUAUAGGCAAUAAUAUGGCUUCUUUGAUGGGGAGGGAAGCGGCUAUGCCUGCCAGGGCGUCGGCACGUCCAUUUUCAGUUCGUUUAAUUUUUUUCGAUCGUCCAUUCGGUGAACCGUUGUAAAGUGUCUCUUACUUUAGUCAGAUAUCGCGCCAUGCGCUCAUCCUUAGCUUAGUAUUAUUUCUGAACGUGUCUUACCACAAGUUGGGAAUCACUAUAGACCUGUAACCUGGAGACAAACAGGGUGAGGUCCAACCCAGAUAGGAUGGCUUCAUACUCGGCUUCAUUGUUAGACGCGGGGAAUCCCAGUUGGAUAACUUGCUAUAACUGUUCUCCUGUUAGGGACUGUAGCAGGAGCCCUACCCCGGACCCUAAUGACCGGGAGGCUCCAUCAACUUGCAAAGUCCACCAUUCUUCCCCGCAUGGUUCUUUGUGUUGGGCAGGCCUUUGGGAGUAUUCCAGCACAAAGUCAGCCAUUGCCUGCUCUUUCAUGGACAACCUGGGUUGGAAUUCAAUUCCAUACUCGCUCAACUCUAUGACCCAUUGAACCAUUCUUCCGGUCAGGUCUGGCUUGUGCAGGAUGUAGUGAAGGGGUUGAUCGGUCAGUACGACCACCGGGUAGGCUUGGAAGUAAGGGCGAAGCUUCUGGGCGGCACUUCGAAGGGCCAAAGUCGUCAGCUCCAUCUUUGAAUACCUUGUUUCUACGUCCGCCAACGCUCUGCCGACGUAAUAAAUAGGUUUCUGCUCCUUGUGCGAGGGGUAGCGGAAUAGAACAGCGUUGAUUGCCCACUCUGAUACAGUCAGAUACAUAUACAAUUUUUCUCCAGGGAGGGGGCUGGUUAAAAUGGGUGGUUGCCUAAGGUAGUGUUUGAUUUUUUUGAAAGCGCUCUAGCAGCUGUCCGUUUACCCGUUCGUGCCGGCUUUUCGUAUUGCGAGGAAGAAGAGUCGUAAUUCAUCAGUGAAGCGGGCUAUAAAGCGUUCUAGCGCGACGAGCUUGCCUGUGAGGCGCUGUAAUUCCUUUUUGCUCCUGGGGGGUGGUGUUUCCAUGACUGCCUUAACCUGAUCUGGGCUAACCUCUAUCCCCCUUUGGCUGACCAUAAAUCCCAGGAAUUUUCCAGCACUUACGCCAAAAGCGCAUUUGGACUAAUUCAAUUCCAUGUCAUACUUCCUUAAGAGGUGGAAGACUUCUUGCAAGUGGAGGGCAUGUUCCCCUCAGGUUUUGAUUUUAACCACGAUAUCAUCGAUGUAUACUUCCACUGCGCGACCGACUAGAGGUUUGAAGAUUUUCGUCAUCAAUCUCUGAUAGGUGGCGCCAACCUUUUUGAGUCCAAAUGGCAUGACUUUGUAGCAAUAAAGUCCAUGUGGCGUUAUAAAGGCUGUAUUUUCUUCGUCGGGUGGGGCCAUGGGGAUUUGGUGGUAUUCGGAGAAGGCAUCCAAGAAGGAGAGCAUUCCUUGUCCGACGGUGGAGUCUACAAUUUGGUCUAUCCGCGGUAGAGGGAAACUGUCUUUUGGGCAUGCAUUAUUGAGGUUGGUGUAAUCGACGCACACCCGCCACUUGCCUUCCUUCUUGGGAACCACUACCACAUUUUCUAACCAUUCCGGAUAUUCCACCUCUCUAAUGAAUCCAGCUUCCAGCAAUUUGUCAAUCUCAUCCCUGAUAAUCUUUUGCCUGUUUGGGUGGAAACGUUUGAUCCUCUGUCAGACGGGUCUUGCUAUUGGCAAGACGUUAAGCCUAUGAGAGACGAUGGAGGGGUGAAUUCCUUUCAUAUCAGAAUGCGCCCAUGCAAAAACGUCAUGGCUUUGUUGGAGGGCAUCUUGGAUUCCGGUGUUAAGAGGAAACUGAUAUGUGUGAGGCGAGUACUUUCUUCCGAAAUUUGAAUCGUUCGCAAGGGAUCCGCUGCCGGUGGAUCUUUGUCCGCCGGACUCAGUAAUUGCUAUUGGCCAAGUGCGUGGGUGGGCUUAGGAAGGAGUCUAUCCUCCUGGUUGGUCCCUACUUCUCGCGCUAUCUGAUAGCAUUGGCGAGCGGCUAACUGGCUGCCGUAUAGGUCGAUUUGCCCGUCUUCAGUGAGAAAGCUUACCAUUUGAUGGUACGUAGAGGGGAUGGCUUUCAUGUAGUGCAUCCAUGUGCGCCCCAAAAUAGCAUUGAAGGGUGAUAAAUCUUGUACCACAUAAAAUUGUAUGUUGAGAGUGAUUGGGCUUGCUUGGACCGGCAACACAAUAUCUCCCAAUGAGGUAGUCGCAGCUCUGUUGAAUCCGGACAAGAUUCUCCUAGGGUUUUCGAGGCCGGACAGAUCGCGUCCCAUGUGGCUAAUUACCAACUCUUGCAAAAGAUCGGUCGAACUGCUUGGGUCAAUUAGGAUGCGUCUCACGUCGAAGUCUCCCAUCCCUAGGGAUAGGAUGAGGGCGUUGCGGUGAGGCUGUAAUAUCCGUGUGGGGUCUACUAAAGGGAAAAUGAUUGUCCCAUCUAUGGGCUGGGGGCCCCCACCAGCUAUCCCAGGUCGUAUGGAGUUGACGCACUCACGUACCGAUGCUGCCCGCAACAGCCUCUGUCUCUUUCGUUUGGAGUCGUAUUCCUCAUCCAGUGGACUUCCGUGAAUACAGUUUAUAAUGACUUUGGGGGCGGCUGGGAUCCUGGGGGUUCCUAAGUUGUGACUUCGGGAAGUGUCUCUAACUCUGGCGUCUGAGCGGAGGUAUUGCUUCAAAUGUCCCACCUUUAUGAGUCUUUCCACCAAAUAAUGGAGGCUCCUGCAUGCCUCCGUAGUGUGGCCGUGCUCCUUAUGGUAGGCACACUUCUUACUAUGAUCCCUUUGGGCUAGGUCCGCUCUGAGGGGUCCGGGCCACCUGAAGUCGGACAGGUCCUGGAUCAUAGGGAGGAGCUUCUCAUAGGAUAUGGAAAGGGGUGUGAGGGGUGGUCGUUCUGGGCGGCUUUGUUCUUCUUGUCUUCAACCGGACGGCCUUGGCCAGUCCGGAGGUUUGGCACUUCUUUCCACACCACUUCUGGAUGUUUGGCCGGCGACCAAGAUUUGCUGGGUGGUUGCUCGCACAUCAUCCUCCAACAUUGAGUAUUUGCUCGCGCGCCGGAACAAGUCAUCCAUUGUCGUAGGAGGCUUCUUAGCGGCGAUUCAAAGAAUGGAGUGUAGACACUCUAUUUUGUCUUCCUCACACAUGUCGUUUAUAGCAAUUCCCUGGUGGCCCAUGAAUACUCGUGUAGCCCAUCUUUUCUAAGCCACCUUGGGGACUUUGGUUGAGGGGUUCAUUUAACCCCGUUGUGACUCUUGGCAGCCCUAAUUUAGACUUAGGCUCACAUAGCCACCUUAGGCACCUUGGGCCCAUUUAGGCACCACACUUGGCCCAUUAGGCAUCACCCUAGGCCCAUUUAGACACCUUAGGUUCACUUAGUGCACCUUAGGCCCAUUAGGCAUCACCCUAGGCCCAUUAAACGCACUUGGCCCAUUAGGCACCGCCUUAGGCCCACUUAAACACUUUUCAAGGUUUAGUUUCACUUAGAUUUGUUUUCUUGUUUUUAUUUAUUUAUUUAUUUUAUUGAUUGCUUUUAGGAUUAAGUGAGUUUUGAUAUAUUUAUAUUAUUUCAUCAUUAUUAUUAUUUGUAUUUUUUUGUUUAUUUAUUUUAUUUUAUAAUUGCAUGAAAUGAGUUUUUAUUAUUAUUAUUAUUAUUAUUAUUAUUAUUAUUAUUAUUAUUAUUGGUGGCUUGGGUUUGACACUUCGACUAUUAUUAUAUGUUGCAUUAGUUUAAUCCUUUUUAUUAUUAUUAUUAAAUAUAUCUAACAUUUAUUUAUUUAUUUAAUUAUUUAUUUUUAGGUAUGUAUCCUCUUAUCUAUGUAUUGAUAUUUUCCUAUUUGGGAUUUAAGGACUUCUUGAAAUUUUAAUGAAAGAUAUGUUGACUUUGAAUGACGGGAAUGGUUUUGACUUCAUGGAUUCUUGCUUUCUUUUUUGGAAUUUUUUUUUAUUAUUAUUGUUAUUUUUCCAUGUAGGUGGAGUCAAUGGGAAGGUGUGCAGAAGAUGCUCAUGGAAAGGGACCACACUGUUUUUUGGAAAGGUGGAUUGGGGCGUGGAAGCGGAAUAUAAAUAAUGGAUGAAUGAGGAUGUUUUUUUGGGGAAGAUACAAAGAAGGAUCAGAAUUUUUUAGAAAUGAAGGAGAAUGACACACGGGUUGAUGGAUGAAUGAAGCCGGUUGUAGGAAAAAUUACCAAAGUGGUUUUGGCAAGUGAAAAGGAAAAAGAAAAGACUUAGCAUGUACGUGGACGGAAUGAGGGCUAGGACUAAAAAAACAAAAGAAAAUUCUGAACGUGCAUGGAAAGGGUAUGGGGAAGGCUGGCUUUUGGAAGGUGAGGCUAUGCAGGAAAAGAUAGCAGAUUGGGUGAUGAAGUGGGCUGGUUUUGGAGAGAAUAAGGGAGGAUUGAGAGCACGGAAAAUGGGACGAUUGAAAAAGAAAGUGAUUUUCUGGAGGGAAGCGGCAGCCGCACCGUGAAAGAAAAGAAAUUUUUUUGCAUUCAAGAGGAAGGAAAAUGAUCGGCCGAAGGAUUUUCUGGAAGGAAGUGGCAACCGCACCGUGAAAGAAAAGAAAUUUUUGCAUUCAAGAGGAAGGAAAAAGGGAUCAACUGAAGGGAUUCUGGGGGAAAGUGGAGAAGGUGCAGUCGCACCAUUCAGAGAUCCAGAGGAAGGUGAAGGAAACGGGAAAUAAGAGAGGAGAAAAGAAAGCUGGGUUUCGGAGACAAUUUCCAGUUUCUCUCAUCAGAGACACCACAGUCGCACCAGAAUUUUAAGGGGAGAGUCUUCUGUCCAGACAGCUAUAGAUCGGGUUCUGAAACGUGAUCCUCCACUGCUUAUGUUGCCGCAACACCUUGUGCCAUACUCAUGCAUCUCCGGUAACACCCUACUACCAUUGGAGAUCCACACCAGCUUGUCAAUCCCGCUACCUGAACACCACAAGCGCACCAGAAUUUUAAGGGAAAGGCUUCCACCACUCUACAGAUCUUCACGACUUCAUCUUCAAGAGCACAAGUGUGCACGCUAUCAAAGGAAAUUCCUCUCCAUUAACGUGCAGUGCAUUUGGGAUUGUGCAGAAGCCAUCAUGCCAUGCAUUCUUGGCACUAUUUUAAAAAAUCCUACUAUCACUUUUGGUGGAAAACGACCCAUGCUUUAUUGGAAAAGGUAAGCUAAAGGUAAGCUAGAACUCUUUGUUUAAUUUUUGAUGUGUGAAUCUUAAUUUGGUAGUGGUUUUAGAAUUUUAGUUUUUUUUUUAAUUUAAUUAAUUCCAUGAUGAUAUAUUCAUCUAUGUGCUUUAGACUUUAUUUUUUAUGUUUUUAUUUCUUUUUUAAUGUUAAUGUGAAUAAAAAAAUAAAAAUUUGUUUAGAAAUGUUUAGAUAAUUAAUUUAGUGAAUCUCAUAUUGGUGUUUGUGUAUUUCCGAAUUCGUUAAUUUUGAUUUUAAUCCAUUAAUAUUCAAUUGUGUACUUGAUUAUAAUUUUAGUUAGUUAAUUUAGUUAAUCACGUGUUAUCGUUUUCGUGUUUUAAGUUUAUUAAUUUUAAUUUUGAUCCGUUAAUAUUUAGUUUGAGUAUUUUAGAGUUUUAGUCAAUUAAUUUAGUCAAUUACAUGUUAUUAUUUUCGUGUUUUAAGUUUAGUAAUUUUAAUUUAGAUCUAUUACUUAAAGGUUAGAACCGUGUUUAAAUUUAGUUUUGAUGUAUCAUUUUAAAUUAAAAAAGAAAUAAAAUUGAUUUCAUAUAGUUUUAGCUUUGAUUCAUUAUAUUAGAAAAAAAGAAUGAUUUGAUCUCUAUUUAAUUUAAUUUUGAUUCAUUGCAUUAGAUUGAAAGCAUUUGAGUUUUAUUUAUUUAUUUAUUUAUGUAUUUUCUACUCAUUUAAUUACUUGUUAUUCAUUUAUGUAUUUAUUAAUAAGAUUGAUUCUAUAGGUUAGACAUAUAGUUUUAAAAUUUGUUUUGGUUAGUUUUUAAAUGAUUUUAGGUGCAAGUGUUUUAUAAAAUUUUAGUUCGUUAAAUAAUUGAUCAUAUGUGUUAAGGAUUUGAUUUUUAGAUUUGCCUUAUGUUUAAUUCAUUCACCUAUUCAGUUUAGGUAUUUUCUAUAAUAUUAGUUCUUUAAUAAAAUUAAUUCUAUGAUUGGAAAUUCAUUUUGAUUGUUACUCUUAAUUGACGUGUUUCUUGAAAAUUAGUUAUUAAUUCUUGGUGAGUACCUCGUUAGCUUAUUUGACCUAAGUUUGAAUAAUUUAUUUUGGUAGUCUCUGGUAAAAUCUACUUUUCGGAGGCCAUCGGAAAAUAGUGAAGAUUGACCUCCAUUCUCAUCACUUCAAUUUUCUCAGUUGUCAAAAAUUCUACUUUGUGAUUUUGUUCUUUUUGUUUAGCUUGGUAUUUUGAUUCAUAUAUUUUAUUGUUUUCAAAUUAAUUUCUUUCAUUUUUUAAAACAUAACAUUGUUCUCAAAAAAUCGCUUUAAAAAUCCAUUUCAAAAAUUCAUUUAGAGUUCUUAGAAUCAAAAUCUCAUUUUCCUUAAAAAUUCAUUUCAAAAAUUCAUUUAGAGUUUCUUAGAGUCAAAAGAUCCCCUUAACAAUCCAUUUCAAAAAUUCAUUUAGAGUUUUUAGAAUCAAAAUCUCAUUUUUUAAAAUAAUGUGCAACCAUGUUUUGAUCGGUUCAUAUCUUUCAAAUAAAAUUACAGUUUUGAAUAAAACACGAAUCAAAGCUUGUGGUCCCAAAUAAAUGAGAUAAUUCUAGGCUAAAUUCGUGUAUAUCAAUUGGGGAAUUGGUGAAACCCCUACAUAAGAAAAUCUUUUCAAAAAUUAUUUUUGUUGCCACUUUUGUCACUUGUUGAAAUUAUGUCUAUCUUUUUUUAGGAAUUGUAUACAAGAUGAGUGUGAUAAUUAGUGUUUUCAUAUACUUUGAUAAUUUCUACUAUGCUAAUUAGAUAACGAGCAUGCUAGGAUUUCUAUAUUUUAUUAUUUAUUAUCUAACCCCUCAUGUCUUAUGGAAGCGCGUUGUAAGUUAUCUAUGUUAUCCAGGUAUGUCCCCUAUCACCUACUUUCUAAAUUUUGUAAAUAAUCAUGUCACUGUGAAAUAUGCAUAUGAUUGAUAAUCCUUAGGUGCUUAGAUGUAUGCUAGAUUCGCUAUGAUUAAAUACAUGUUCUGUGUUAUACUUCUAUACUAACUUUGAUGUCUUGUGAUAGCGCUUAAGAAGCAGUCCAAGUACGUACCCUAAAUCUUCUUCAUGAUUGUGAUUGGUUUUCCUGCUAAGCAUGCUAUUUUUCGAAAUCACCUAGCCUACUUAGGUAUCCAUGAUUAAUCGGUUAAUUGCUAUAUUCCCCUUAACUUAGUUAGUAGAGACCUUUAUAGGGCUUAGAGGGGUGCUACCUUUUAAAGGUACCUUCCCAAUAGGCAACUUGAUCCCCGGAUCUAGACUCGGGUUUUUUCAAAGACAUGCCUUUUUCCAAAAAUUAUGGAGUCAUUUUUUAGGGUUUUUCUUUCUUGUUUUAUUUUCUCUUUAAAAUAAAAAUAAAAUAAGUGGCGACUCCAACUUUUUUUCCAAAAAUUAAUUUUUUCACAAAUAAAUAAAAAACGAGUCUCGCCGAUCGAGUGGGGGCGCAGGUGAAAAAUGCGGGUCCACAUGGAGUACCUGGACAGAUGCUUCUCUUGAAGAUCUGAAGGACAACAUCCAUGUUGUAAGCCUCUACUUGUAACACAACCUGACCAAACCGCUUCACGAACUCUCUUAAAGACUCAUUCUCCUGCAUUUUUAUGUUUUGCAGGGUGCUAAUGUUCUGUUUAUGCUGAGCUGAGCAUAAGUAUUGUCCCACAAAAGCUUUCGACAGAUCCCUGAAAUUAUCAACAAAGUUAGGGGGUAGAUGGUGAAACCAUGAGAGAGUCUGCCCUUGUAGGCUGGCGGGGAAUACUUUCCAUAGCAGUGCGUCGUUCCCUAUAUCGAGAGUCAUGAGUUGUCGAUAAUGUAUGAUAUGGUCGAAGGGGUCACUGGACCCAUCGUACGUGGAAAAUUUAGGCACGAGAAAUCCCCUUGGGGGGUCGUAAUGAAUAAUAUGCAAGCAAAAAGGUGUGGAGAGCAUGUCGUCCAGCCUUUUGCUGAUGGAGCCAGUAGGUGGCUCGUUUGGGAGGUUUCUCCCAGCUUGUCGUACCGCUUAGUGCAGGAGGACAUUCUUCACCAUGGGUGUGACUAGGGGGUCAGGGUGCGUUCCCCAGGUUGUGGCUACUGGCGGCCUUGUCUUCCCGGGUCCCUGUGGGCCUAGCCUCACGAGCAUCGCGUCCGAAAAUUAGGGUCUUUUGUCACGUUGUCUCUUUGAUGAGAGACGAGUAGAGUCUGAGCUUUCCUCCUGGGGAGCUUGGUGCAUGGGCGUGUGUCGUUCUUGUGGUCUAACAUUGCCCGUCUCGGGGAUGACCCCCGCAGUCCCAGGGUAUAUUGACUCGGGGUCAGGCCUUGAGUUCGCUCCCUGGCCUCUUGAGCGUUGACCAUGAGGGGUCCUGUUGAUGAAGCCUGGAUGCGUAACACAGCGUUUUCUUCUCUGUCUUGCUGUUUCCUGGAGGAGAGCCUGCAUUUGUCACUUGCUUUCCAACUGUCUUCUCUCGAUGGCUUCGCGCCAUUCGAAAUAAUCUUUGUCUCCCUUAGCCGACGAGCGGCUUCUGGAAGGUGUGGACAUUUUUGUCGUCGACUGAAUCAGAGCGUUCCCACAGACGGCGCCAAUGUUUGAGUUUUUAUAUUUUGAAGCAUAUGAAAGAUUAUCAAGUUGAUGACUCAUUAUCAAUCAGAGCCCACCAUCUUUGGUAAUUGUCCUUUUGAAAAAUGAUAAAUGAACAAACGGGUCAAACAUUAGUAGUAUGGAGCCCACCAUCUUUGCUAAUUCUCCCUUUGAAAAAUGAUAAAUGAACAAACGGGUCAAACAUUAAUAGUAUGGUACCGAAAAUAACUCUUCCGUGUCAUACCUCUACAAUGACCACAAGUGAGAAUGUAAAUCAGUCAAGACAAUUAUAAUAAAGUAGCAUCCGUAUUUAUUUUAUUGAAUUAGAAUUAUAAUUUGAUUAAAAUGAUAAGAAUUAUAACAACCAAUUCUAUUAUUUAAAGAUAAAUUGUCUAAAUAAGAUUAAAAAUUAAAAAUUAAUCCAUCUAACAACAUAGUUAAAAUGGAUUUAUAUAUCAUAAAAAAUCAUCACCGAAGAAACCAAUAACCAUAAAAAUAAAAGUUGAAAAUCACCUAUAAACAAAUCAAAAAAGAAAAAAGAGAAAAUAAUUUUUUUAUAUUUGAUUAACUCUAUGAGUUGGAUAUCUUCCACGACAGCUGUGAUGAUGAAUGUAAUUAAAGAGAGAAUGGAAGAGGAGAGACAAAAUGAAGUAUAUAUAUUUUCAAUUUUAAGAUGCAUGGUGAAGAUCUCGUCUUGCACAUCCAUUGGCGCAAGAUAUUCUUCAAUUGCUACCACACAGUGCUGUAGAAUUUUCCUAGAAGAUAUAUUGAAAGGGAAGUCAGUGGAAAGGAGAUUUCGACUCACCAGUCGCUGGGCCACAGGUCUGCCACUGCCUGUUUUGGAUGGCAAUAAGAUUAUUGAUGGGCUGCUUAAACGCUGCUUAUGAGUUAUGGGUAACAUGAAAAUUUCAACCAGAAGGUGGUCUGCUAAUCUCGUUUUCUUGCUUAUUUCUUCAGGUUUUCACUUGCAAUUUGUUGAUGCAUUUACAGAUACAAUCUUACAAGGUCAAUCACUCAUAACCUCUCAGACCAUCAUAUCUGCUGGUGGUAACUUUGAAUUAGGAUUCUUUUCUCCUGGAAAGUCCACAAAAUAUUAUGUGGGGAUAUGGUACAAGAAAAUCUCAGAGCAAACCAUUGUGUGGGUAGCUAACCGAGACUAUCCAUUCACAAAUCCGUCCGUGGUUCUUACUGUCAGCACAGAUGGCAACCUCGAGAUUUUGGAGGGGAAGUUUUCGUACAAGGUGACAAGCAUAUCAUCAAGCAGCAACACUAGUGCCACCCUGUUGGAUUCUGGAAAUCUUGUUUUGAGAAAUAAGAGGUCAGAUGUCUUAUGGGAGAGCUUUGACUAUCCAUCGGACACGCUCCUGCCCGGAAUGAAACUUGGAUAUGACAAAAGGGCUGGAAAAACAUGGUCAAUGGUGUCAUGGAAGAGCGCAGAAGAUCCCAGUCCAGGAGAUUUCUCCGUGCAGGUCGACCCUAAUGGAACUAGCCAGUUUUUUAGCCAGCAAGGACCCAACAGGUAUUGGACUAGUGGGGUGUGGGAUGGGCAGAUUUUCGGCCAGGUUCCUGAGAUGCGUUUCUUCUAUAUGUAUAAGUACAAUACAUCCUUUAAUGAGAAUGAAAGCUAUUUUACUUACUCUCUUAAUAAUCCCUCCAUUCUGAGCAGAGUGGUGCUAGAUGUGUCGGGCCAGAUUAGGCAUCUGAAUUGUCAAGAAGGCACACAUGAAUGGGAUUUAUCUUGGCUUCAUCCAAGAACACAGUGUGAGGUUUAUGUCUAUUGUGGGCCUUUCGGAAUCUGCACUGGGGAUUCUGUUGAAUUUUGUGAAUGCUUGCCAGGUUUUGAACCUCGCUUCCUUGAAGACUGGAAUCUGCAAGACAGAUCUGGAGGGUGUGUGAGGAAAGCAGAUUUGGAGUGUGUCAAUGAAAGCCAUGCUAAUGGGGAGCGAGACCAGUUUCUUUUGGUGUCUAACGUGAGACUGCCCAAGUAUCCAGUAACAAUACAAGCAAGGAGUGCUAUGGAGUGCGAAUCAAUUUGCCUGAAUAGCUGCCCUUGCUCCGCUUAUGCUUAUGAGGGAGAUGAGUGUAGAAUAUGGGGUGGAGAUCUUGUAAACGUGGAGCAGCUACCAGAUGGUGACAGUAAUGCUAGAAGUUUCUAUAUCAAACUUGCUGCCUCUGAGCUAAAUAAGAGAGGUAAGAAAAAAGAGUCAUAGUUGUUAUUGUAGGAGGACAUAAAGCAUCUGGGUCUUGUUUUGUUUUCAAAAUAAAAUGGCCAUCGAUUCAGCUAAAUUUAAUAUGAUAUAUUUCCUUCUACAGUUUCAAGCAGCAAGUGGAAGGUAUGGUUAAUUGUUACACUGGCCGUAUCUUUAACUUCAGUCUUUGUCAAUUAUGGGAUAUGGCGAAGGUUCCGAAGAAAAGGUCAGUAUUUCUCAUGGACAGAAGGAUAGCCAAGCAGUUCAACAGUUUUUAGGUUUCAUCUGCAAAUACAAAACCAGUUCUUUUUUUAAAUGAGUUCAUUACCACUGUUAUUGAAUAAUUGAGGUAACAUUAGGAUUUCAAUGUUCUGAUUACAUGUGAGUGUGUAUGUGGAAUCCAAUGUGAGAAAUAAUUUAUUCCCGUGCCAGAAUUCCUACAUUCUUAUGAUAUUUAAUGUCUGUUUGUUCUUUACCAAGCAGGGGAAGAUUUGUUAGUAUUUGAUUUCGGUAACAGCUCAGAAGAUACCAGCUAUGAGCUUGGCGAGACAAAUAGACUUUGGAGGGGUGAGAAGAAGGAAGUUGAUUUGCCCAGGUUCAGUUUUGCGAGUGCAUCUGCUUCUACAAAUAACUUCUCUAUUGAAAAUAAACUAGGAGAGGGCGGUUUUGGAUCUGUUUACAAGGUGAGAUUACAACCCCUGACAAUAAUGUUCUACAAUCUGUCCUGGAAUGUAAAGGCCCACUUGAUAUACAUCAAAUUUUUUUUACCUGGUGUAAUUGUAGUCACUUGAAAUUCUCAUGACAGGGAAAGUCACAAAGAGGAUAUGAGGUAGCUGUGAAAAGGCUCUCAAAAAGAUCUAAACAGGGAUGGGAGGAGUUAAAAAAUGAAGUCAUGCUUAUAGCCAAGCUGCAACACAAGAAUCUUGUGAGAGUUUUGGGAUACUGCACCGAGCGGGAUGAGAAGAUAUUGAUUUAUGAGUAUAUGUCCAACAAAAGCUUGGAUUUCUUCCUCUUUGGUUUGUAACUUCCACAUACAUAUACUUCCAGCUACUGUACAUUCAAUGAGAAAACUUUACACAUUCAUCAUUCUUCACCACUUAUUUGCUAACAUCUAUUUAUUUGGUGUAAAAUGGAGGUAGAUCCUACAAAACAUGGGAUUCUGAAUUGGAAGACACGGGUUCACAUCAUUGAAGGGGUUGCUCAGGGACUUCUUUAUCUGCAUCAGUACUCCAGAUUGAGGAUUAUUCAUCGAGAUUUGAAGGCUAGCAACAUUCUUCUGGAUAAGGAUAUGAAUCCUAAAAUAUCAGAUUUUGGAAUGGCAAGAAUAUUUGGAGGCAAUGAAUCAAAAGCAACAAAUCAUAUAGUUGGGACUUAGUAAGUGAAACCUGACAAAUUAUAAAAUAUGUGAAUGUUCAUACAACAUUUGAAAUCAUGCAGCUACUGAAUGAUUUUUCUCAUUAAUAAUCAAAUCCAGCGGCUAUAUGUCCCCUGAGUAUGCUUUGGAAGGUCUUUUCUCCACUAAAUCUGAUGUCUUUAGCUUUGGGGUCUUGUUAUUGGAGAUUUUGAGUGGCAAGAAGAAUACUGGAUUUUACCAAACCGACUCGCUCAAUCUUCUUGGAUAUGUGAGUAACACAAUAUUUAUUCACUUACAUAACUAUUUAUGAUGUUUUGAUAUGCUAAUUCCUAGUUUUCAAUUCCCUUGUUAUAUUACCUAUCCGGUUGUCUUGGGAUACUAGUAAAUUUUCACAUUAUGUCUACCACUCAGUUUCAAGGCUUAUUUUAUAUUGUUGGCUGAUAUAUAAAGGACUUUAUUAUCUUUUACUUUUCGGGAAUUUGCAUCAAUGGAUAAUUUUCUUCAUUUAGGUAUGGGAUCUGUGGAAAGAUAGCAGGGGGCAGGAGUUGAUGGAUCCAGGAUUGGAAGAGACAUUGCCAACACACAUUCUGUUGAGGUACAUCAAUGUAGGCCUUCUUUGUGUUCAAGAAAGUGCAGAUGACAGGCCUACCAUGUCUGAUGUUGUCUCAAUGCUUGGCAAUGAAAGUGUACGUUUACCUUCUCCAAAACAACCGGCAUUUUCAAAUCUGAGAAGUGGGGUGGAACCACAUAUAUCCCAAAACAGGCCUGAAGUUUGUUCCUUAAAUGGUGUGACACUUUCAGUUAUGGAAGCACGAUAGUGGUUCUGAACUUAAUUAAUAAUAUGCUUAAAUUUGAGCAUAUUGUCUUGUAUUGUUCUUGGUGAAUUCAUAGCUCAUAUACUAAAAUGGACAAGUGACCUUAUGUGUGUAUUUUUCUUCCAAAACAGUUUAAUAAUCAUCUUGUACUCAAUCCCCCUAUGGAUUCAGACCUGUGUCUUAGCUUCCUAUUUGAAAUUGCUACUAAAUCUGACUUUAUCUGGUCAAAUUUGGAUUUAGUUUGAAAAUGAUCUGUUCCAUUGUCGAUCCAAAGAGUAAAAUACAACUUUUUUCAUUGCUAAUUAGUAGCUAACAAAAGGUGCCUCUAGGGCCAAUCCAGCUAUAGAGAAUCAACCACCCACCUUCCACUUCCUCUCUUAUGGAUGUUUUUGAAUGCCUUGGCAUAUGUAUAUCAUGUACAUAUACACCACCAAUUUGGCCUGGGAUCAGUUUCAUCAAGUAUUUCAGGAGACAACAUAAAACAAGUCAAAAAGUAUAUAAUUACGAACUAAUUGGCCAUCCAGCACAGAAAAUCCAUCUCCCAAUGGGGCCUUAAAGCACUUGAAUUUACUGUUCUUUCCAUCAUUAUUUUCAUUCUGGGCAUGGCCUAGAUUGAAGAAAGGUCCGACACAAAUUGGAAAAGUCAUAGAAGGAAAUAUAUCUAGAAGGGAAUCCUAACAAAAGGUCUUUCAAAACUGCUACACCUUGCUUUGAAUGGUACCUGGUAUCUACAUUGAAUGAGUGUUUUUCCUAUGUCCCACCAUUAAAAUGAAUGGGAGUCUUGCAAAUUACAUAGAUUUUUUUUUUAUAAUGUAUUAUUUUAUAAAUUUCAUAGAAUUAUUAAUUUAGUAUUUUAGCCCCAAAGUCCCUAAAAAACAUUAUUUGCUUGAGGGGUUCAUAUUAUCAUGCAUUAAUUUAUUGAAAUUCUACUAUUUUUUCCUUAAUUAAAAAGUGAAUUUUUUAUUUUAUUAUUUUAUUUUUCUUUAACAAAAAAAGUCACUUUUUCUCUUUUUUCUUUGAAGUCCUCUAACUUCAUAACACUCGAACUCAUUUUCUCAUACAAAAUAAAAUUAAUCAAAUUCAAAUUUGAAACAUUGAAAAUUAAUCAAUAACAUAAAAAUCAAUUUAUAUAAUCAAAAACCUUAAUUAUUAUCAAAUUACUAACUUUCUAACUAUUUACAUGAUUAAUCAUUAUAAGAUUUUUAUUAUGACAAUAGAUUUUGGUACUGAUGAUCUACAACCCUGAUCUGUAGACACACAAGUCCCUGUCAUCAAACCCUGAUCUAGAACAGUAUUUGACAUCAUGGAAAUGCACUGAUGAUCCAUCCACUAGAAACUUCACUUGGAGAUUAGAUAUUCCCAGGCUGCCUCAACUGGCUGUUGGAAUGGGAUCAGUCAAAAAGUACCGCACAGGGCCAUGGAAUGGAGUUUGAUUUAAUGGUUUACCAGUGUUUCCCAAUGAGGAGGUCUAUUUACCAUUAAUGAUUUUUAAUGAGGAGAAUGUAUAUUACUUGCCUCAGGCUGGCAACUACUCUGCUAAUCUGAGAGUCACCAUCAAUCAUUUAGGCUUGCUGCAAUGGAAUAUAUUGAAUGAAAGCAAUGAUGAGUGAACUACUAUGUACACUGUACCAUAUGACCUAUGUGACAACUAUGGACAGUGUGGUAUGCUCUAUGUGACAACUAUGGACAGUGUGGUGCUAAUGGCAUUUGCAGGCUUUCCAGCAUGCCAGUCUGUGAGUGUUUGAAGGGGUUCACCCCCAACUCAAAAGGAGAAUGGGAAAUGUUUGAUUGGUCUAGUGGAUGUGAAAGGGCAGGACCUUGGAUUGCAAGAGCAAAGAUGACCUUAUGAAGGUCUUAGGGAUGAAAUUGCCUGACUUGUUGGAGUUUCGGUUGAACAAGAGCAUGAGCCUCAAGGAAUGUGAGGUAGAGUGCUUGAAGAACUGCUCCUGUGUGGCAUUUGCGAAUUCAAACAUUAAAGGUGGAAGCAGUGGAUGUUUGACCUGGUAUGGAGAUCUGAUUGAUAUUAAAGGGUUCACAGAUGGGAAAAGUGGGCAAGACCUUUAUAUCAGAUGUCCAGCUGGGGAACUAGGUAAGAGUAUUUGACACUCUUUUCACUUCCAAGCUCUUUUAUUGUUCAUCCAUGAAGGUUUAACAUGCAUUGCAAUCCGGAUUGCAUGGUUGAUUAUUUUCUCUAGGUGAGUUAGGAUCUUUUUCAUUUUUGGGAUAUGAAAGAAAGUUAGGAUUGUUUGUCAUAUAUCCUCAGUAAUGGUUUCUAUCUUUUAACUAAAGGCACAGAAACAAUUGAUGGCCAACUCUCUCUGCAGUAAGGUGCAGACAAAACUGAAGCGAGGAUUUGAUAACAAAAGUUUUUAGCAAAAUGAUUAAAUUUCUUCCCAUCUCCUGCUUCAGGGUCAAUCCAUGGUUCAAAUAAGAAGAAAUAACUGGUUGCUGUCCUAGUUGCAUCGACCAUUUCUGGAAUGCUAAUCUUGGGCUUGGUGUUCUGGUGCAUAAAAAGGAAAAAAAAAAAAGAGGUAAUCCUAAUUAUUGGUCCAUUCAUUGUUUCAACUUUCAUCAUUGAAAAUCUAUAUCAUACAACUGGAUCCUGAGUACAGUAAUGAAGUAGGCACUAUCUCAUCAAUAGGCCUGGAAAGUGAGAUGGAAGAUUUAGAGUUACCUUUGUUUGAAUUGGCUACCAUUAAUACUGCUACUAACAACUUCUGUGUCAUAAAUAGAACUGGCACAGGCAGCUUUGGUCCUGUUUUCAAGGUAACAUUUGAUUGUAAGAAAAAGUGUGUUUCCUAUGAGACAAUAUGCAGGGCAGUUUGUCAAUAGGACAAGAAGUAGCAGUGAAGAGGUUGUCAAAGAAUUCAGGACAGGGUCUUCAAGAGUUUAAGAAUGAGAUCUUUUUAAUUGCCAAACUCCAACGCAAGAAUCUUGUAAAGCUUUUAGGCUGCUGCAUUCAGGGACAAGAAAGGAUAUUACUCUAUGAAUAUAUGCCCAACAAGAGUUUGGAUUAUUUUAGUUCCGUUUGAAAUUCUCAACCCUUUAGAUCUCUUUGGACUGGUUUGGGUACAUGAUCAUCCAUACCAUGCUCAUGCAUCUAUAGAGUACAAAUAGUUAUAAUCGCAAAAUUUACAAGGGUUGAAAUGAUGUGCAGAUCAAAACAGAAGAGCGUUAUUGCCAUGGAAAAAGCGCUUUGACAUUGUUAUGGGGAUCGUGCAAGGACUUGUUUAUCUCCACCAAGAUUCUAGACUUCAAAUCAUUCAUAGGGAUCUCAAGGCAAGCAAUAUACUGACAGAUGAAAACCAGAACCCCAAAAUUUCAGACUGGCUUGGCAAUAAUUUUUGGAGGGGGAUGAAAUGGAAGCAAAAACAGAGUGAUUGGAACAUAGUAAGUUCUGUACUUCGACUUUAGAAAUGAUGUGCUUUUCCUUGAAAUAACUUAUAUUUGAAAUCUUCAUGCAGUGACUGCACGUCCCCAGAGUAAGUGAUUGAUUGCAAAUUUUCUGUUAAAUUUGAUAUCUUUAGUUUUGGUGUGCUUCUGCUGGAGAUUGUGGCUGGUAUAAAGAACAGGGGGUUCUAUCAUUCAAACUACCACCAUAAUCUUCUGGGACAUGCAAGUAGAAAGAAAGAAAAUCCACCUCUGUCACACACACACAUCAAAGACGCAUGCCCUCUCUUGCUUUUCUGACAAAGUAUAUGGCUUCCAAUUGCUUUAGACAUGGUUGCUUUGGAAACAAGACAAGGCCUUGGAUGUAAUGGCUGCAUGUUUGGAGGACUCAUGUAUUGAAUCCCAGCUACUAAGAUGCAUACAAGUCGGUUUAUUAUGUGUUGAAAACCUCCCAGCAGAUAGACCAGCUAUGUCAUCUGUGAUUUUCACGUUGGGUACUGAGGGAGCAACACUACCUUAACCUAAACAUCCUGCUUUCUUCACAGAAAUAAGUACGAUUGAUACAGAUGCAACAACAGGACGUGAAGAGUUACCUUCAGAAAAUGUAGUAACCAUCUCAGUGCCAGAAGGUAGAUAAAGGAUUCAAGCACUGUGUCAACAUGUGCAGGGUGCAUCCAAGGUUUUAUUCAUGUAGGAUAUAGCACUAGGCUCUUCAAUGGAUGGGCACCAAUUUCCUUAAGGUUGCAAAACUAGAUACAGCUUGGCCCCAAGGAGGCCAAGGUAUUGGAUUUACUGCACUAGAACCAUAUCUGCUGGGCUUCAUAAUCCUCUAAAUGUAUGAAUAAAAUGUGCUGGAGUGUGUCCUCUAUGGCAGCUCAGGGCAGUGUGAUUUGUAACUUAAAACUCACUAGUACAACUUUUGAAAUUCAUAUUUUCACAGGAUCAAGUUGGGUAUAUGCACAAGAAUGUGGAUUCUGCAGUCAACUUGGCUGCUUCACUUUCUUUUCCUCAGAGUUCACAUUUAUAGGGCUUAUAUAGAUGCUGAGCUAUACAAAAAUCUUGAUUUGAAAUCUCAAGAAUUUCUAGAGGUGUUCAAAAUCCUUUGAAAUGUCCUUGGGAAGUGCAAUGAGCUUGCAACAAAUUGGAGUGAAUGGAGAUAAACAAAUUGAAAAUCAAAUGAGAGGAUUUGAAGCUUAAACAAAUAAACACCUUCACAGAAUAAGGUGUGAAUCUCUACUGUCUCUCUCAAGUUAGACAUCUUUUAACUUCUUUUCAUCUUCCCAGAAGCUUCAAAAUUUUUUGCAAAACAUUAACUUGAAUACUAUACAGUGGCAAACCUUAGUGGGAGCUUUCAAAUUAUUUAGGAGAAAGAAUUCAAGAACUAUGUAACAGAUGAUUCACAUAGAUUCUUUCCUUAGGACUAACAUGGAAAGAAUUCAGGUAAAUAGAGAUGAAUGUUUAUCAAAUUAACAGAGACAAACCUGCCAAGCAACCAUUGAGAUGCUGCAAGCUCAAUUCAGAUCGUUUGAUCUUGCAAUAUUUUUUUCCAAUUAAUUGAGGGGGCAUAAGAGAAGACACUGAUUUUACAUCUUAGUAACUUGUUUUUCAUUGGAAUUGGAAAUUUCCAAGUUACCCUGUUUAGACAGUUCUUCCAAUUGAAAUGAUUGAGCCCUUAAACUUGCAUAGCACGGUACUCUGUUAAGAUUCUGGAGUCUUUGAAGACUGCAACCUGAUCCACUUGAUGCUGUGUCAUGGUUCAAUUAACUAGCUAGUCAUGCUUGAGAGGACCUGUCUGACAAACACCAGGAAAAAUCUACAUUAGCAACUAUUUUAUUUUAAUUUUCUUCCUAUGUCUAUAAGUAGAUAGCAUAGAGUGAUUUGUGGUAUAUCCUCUAUGGCAUCAUGUUUUUCCAUAAACACAUUGAUGAUGAAUAAGCUUUCAUAAAUUAGAUAGGGCAUGAGCUCUCCAUGUGGCACUAUUUUUUUUUUGUGGAAAAUAAUUUAGUAUUUUAAGUUUACUACAACCCAUAAAACUUUCCCUUCAUUUGGAAAAAACGAAUCUGAAGCUACCCAGAAGCUGACCUGAAAAGACAUGUCUUAAUUGUUCUUUUAAUUAUUAAUUUUAUUGUGGGCAUGGCCUAGGUUGAGAAAGGUCCAAUAAGGCUUAGAAAAGUCAUGGAAAGAGAUAUAUAUAUAGAAGUGAUAGGUCAAGUUCAUUCAUCCGCAUGAAAAGGACCAGGGUCGACUUCUUAAUGGUUCGUACUUACUAACGUAGAAAUUAGGGAAGAAAUCGCGGCAGGUGCUGCUACCUAGGGAAGGUAACACCAUUGCACUUGACUAUGAUCCUCUACCUCAUGUUCAUGUGAUGAUUAUGACGUAGGUGACAACUGUUUUAUCAGAUUGGAAGUAUAGAAUUCCAAGAAUAUUGAAGACAAAUCAAGCGCAAAUGAAGGCGAAGAUUAACAGAUGGAUUAUUACUCACAAAGGAAACUAAGGGUGAAUCUUCCCAGACAACGAUACAGAAAUGAGUGAUGGGUGCUGCAGUCCCUGUUUCAAGGCUGCUGUAUCGCCUACAGUUAAUCAAUCUCUACAAAAAGUGAUUAAAAAGUUAAUUUUUUUAACAAAAAAAAAAAAGUCCCUUUUUCUCUUUUUUCUUUGAGGUCUUAACUCUAUAACACUCGAUCUAGUUAAAACUAACAUGGAAAGAAUCCAGGUAAAUAGAGAUAGAUGUUUAUCAAAUUAAUAGAGACAAUCCAGACAUCAAGAUUGGCAUGCCAAGCAACCAUCGAGAUGCUACCUUCCAGGCCCUAUAACACAAACUCAUUUCAGAUAGUAUGAUCUUCUGACAUUUUUUUAAACAAAAUUCAAUUAGGGAACAUUUGGGAGGACUCUACAAUUUUACAUUUCAGUAACUUGAUUUUCAUUGGAAUUGGAAAAUUCAUAGUCACCCUGUUGAGGCAGUUCUUCCAAUUCUAAUGCUUGAGCCCUUAAACCUACAUAACACGGUACUCUGUUGGACUAAGACUGAAAGCCUGGCCAAGUCAAAAACUGCAGCGUUGUCCUCUUGAUGCUGUGUCUUGGACAAAUUCCAGGAAAAACCUACAUCAGAGAAAUUUUAGUAUUUUUUUAAACUAGUGUAUAGAAGUCUUCCUUCCAUCUGUGAGAAACGUCAAUGGAGACCCAUCUUUUCUUCGCCAUCUUUUGUGCUUGGAUUUGUCUCUCAGUUCCCUUGGAGUUCUGUAUUGCAGCUGAUUCCAUAAGGAUGGACCAAUCCAUAAGCCAUGGUGAGACUUUAGUUUCCUCAGGCCAAAGUUUUGAACUAGGCUUCUUCUCUCCUGGAAGCUCCAAAAACAGGUACUUGGGAAUAUGGUACAAGAAUACACCCCAGACAGUUGUAUGGGUUGCAAACAGAAACAACCCAAUUGCAGAUUCUUACGGAGUUUUAACCAUCAUCAACAAUGGCGCACUUGUUCUUCUCAACCAGUCAAAGAGUGUAAUCUGGUCUCCCAAUUUGUCAAGGGUACCUGAAAAUCCAGUUGCACGGCUCCUAGAGACUGGAAAUCUUGUUCUCAGGGACAGUAGUAAUGAAAGUUCUGAAAGCUAUAUAUGGCAGAGCUUUGAUGAUCCAUCAGACACAAUGUUGCCACGCAUGAAGGUGGGAUGGAACUUAAAGACUGGUCUACAACAAAAAUUGACAUCAUGGAGAAGUGCUGAUGACCCAUCCCUUGGAGACUUCUCUUACAGAAUUGAUAUUAAUGUGCUGCCUUACGUGGUUCUUGGUGUGGGAUCAAGCAAAAAAGUCCGUUCCGGGCCGUGGAAUGGACUUGAAUUCAAUGGUGUUCUUGUGUUGGACUACUUGGUUUACAAAGCAGUUUUUGUUAACAACGACGAUGAGGUAUAUACCCUCUGUGAGUCUAACAACAAUAAGAUCAUUUCAAGACUAACAUUGAACCAUUCAGGUUUCCUCCAGAGUCUGGUAUCAAAAAAAGGAAGCUCUGACUGGGAUGAUUUGUACUCAAUUCCCAGUGAACUUUGUGUAAAUUAUGGCCAUUGUGGUGCUAAUGGUAUCUGCAGAAUUGGCAAGGCGCGGAUUUGUGAGUGUUUGCCAGGUUUCACACCAAAUUCACAAAAAGAAUGGGACAUGUUUAAUACAUCAAGUGGAUGCAUCGAAGAAGGCCUUUGGAUUGCCAAAGUGAAGAGGGAUUUGUAAAGGUUACAGGGGUGAAAUUGCCCGACUUGAUAGAUUCUCAUGUGAUUAAUAGUGUGAGCCUUAGGGAGUGUGAGGUGUCAUGCUUGAACGACUGUUCUUGUACAGCAUAUGCCUACUCAAAUGCAUAUGCUUACUCAAAUCCUAAUGGAAACGGUGGCUGUUUGAUGUGGUCUGGGGACCUGAUUGAUAUCAGAGAGUUAACUUCAGAAAAACAUGCGGAGGACAUCUAUAUCCGCAUGCACACUUCAGAGCUAGGUAAGACACUUGAUUUUCUGUAAAUCACGUUUUGAUUGUAAGCUAUUGGGGUUGUCUCCAAUAGCCUAAGCCCUAAGUUUUCCUGGUAAAUCAAGAUGCAGAAUUACUUAUUUUCCAAAAUCAGAGAUUCAAUUUGACAAGAAGAUUAUAAUCUAGUUAAAACUAAGACCCUAUAUUAUAUUCCAGAAGAACCAUAGCUGUUAGGAUUCAGGUUAACUAAUGAUGAACUGACUUGUAAUAAUCCUAACAAGCAGAAAGCAAAUAUCCAAUUCAUUUUCUGAAGAAACAGGGAAAUCCGGGGAAAUGGUUACUUCAUUCUUGUUACUGUCUGUUCCAGGGUUAAACACUUAUCAGAAGAAAAAACUAGUGAUCAUCCUUGUUAUAUCUACCUUUUCUGGAAUCCUCACCUUGGGCUUAGCAGUCUGGUUUCUAUUUCAGAAGAAGAGAACAAUGGGAGCAGGUAUGCAUACUUAUCCACCUUGAUGAUUUUAUUGAAAGAAAACCACGUGGUUGUGCUUUAAAAGUAGCUUCUAAAUUAUUAUCCCUUUUAACAGACCAGGAAAGCAAGGAGAACUUAGAGUUACCUUUGUUUGACUUGCCUACCAUUGCAACUGCUACUAACAACUUCUCCAACACCAAUAUGAUUGGAGCAGGUGGCUUUGGGUAUGUGUACAAGGUAAUAUACGCCAUCUUAUGCAUCAGGAUAACCCAAAAAUGAUUUCAAAAGAAAGAAGUGUUAGCUUUUUUCCUAUAAUGUGUGGCCAUAUAUAAUUAUAUUUAUAUAAAUAUUAUUUAAGGCUAUCAAUUGAUAGGUAGGUGAAUCAAUUAAUUGGGCAUCCAAGAGUUUUAUGUAUGGAAGACUCAAAUUACAAAUGGGGAGUUAGAAAAUUUACUUUAUAUGAAUAUGGUGUCACAACUUUUGUAACCCCAUCAUUAUGAAAUUCAUUUUGUACAUUAUGUUUGAGUAAUAGAGGAAAAUGAAAAUGUAUAACUUAUGCAAUUAUAUAGAUGCAUUCAAGUUCAUAACCCACCAUUACCUAUUAAUUUGUACAUAAUGGGUGUAAAUAAUGAGUAUAACUCCCAUAUAGUCUUUGAUGGGAAGACUAAGAGAUGUACAACUUUUUAUAAAUUGAGGUCCCAAGUCACACUCUCAUUCUUAUGUCAUUUUUGUUGUUUAUUUUUAACAACAUACACCACACAAGUGACCCAUCCAUUAUAUGAGAGUAGUGAGUUGAAGAUCUUGAAAAUACAAUUCACAAGGUGACUCAAUCUCACUUCAUGGAUCAAGGUAAGAAUAUGAUCAUUAUUUUAGUAUUUACAUUUAUUUUGUUUUAUGCAUCAAAAUUUUUUUUUAAAAAUAAUUAUUUUCGUAUAAAGUUUAUAAAAGUUUGGUUAAUAAUUGGUAUCAGAGCCAACCAAUUUUGGAUCAUAAAACAUAUUUUUUCAUUUUUUGAUUAUUGUUUGAUCUUAUGGACAACUAAAAUAUAUAUGAUGUGAUGCAUAUGAAUGAUGUAGUAACACACAUUUUCAAUGUUUCAUGAUUUCAAUCAUAUCUAUUGCAUGAUUUUAUGAAAGUUGCAAAAAUAUGAUUAGUAAUUUAAAUGUGUGAUUAUGGAAAUCUCAAGAAAUAGCUUUUCUAGUAUGCAUGUUUAUUUACUUGUUUGUUUGAAGAUGAUCAUAUAUAUAUGUGUGAUCAACCUAACGAAGGAUCAUCACCAUGUUUGAUUAUAUGACAAGAGUUUAAUAAUAAAAGGUUGAUGAAGUUUUUACCCAACGGUAUUAAACUUCUUUACGUUUCAAUACUUUUAUUUUAAUAAUUAUGUCAUAUCUAUAUGAUUUAUGAAUUAUUAUAAUUCAACCCAAUGGAGGGAUUAUAAUAAUGUACUUUUGUGUUAUAUGAUUGUAGUUCGGUCCAACGAAAGAACGAUGAUAUGAUCUCUAAUGUUUAUGAUUAAUGUGAUAUCUAACUUAAUUUUUGUUGUAGUUAUAUAUUAUUGUAAAGUGUGGUGUUAAAUAUUGUCAUGACAUAAAAUAAUUUUCCUUUUUGAAUUAAAUUUUAUUUUCCAGCAAUGAAUCCUACUGCUAUUACAGGCUAUUUGUCUGGUAUUGAAUGAUUAAGUGGGGCAAAUUUUAAAAAAUGGAAGGAACAAAUUGGAAUUGUUCUUGGUUGCAUGGAUUUGGACUAUGCCUUAAGAGAGCCUACACCCACAAAGCCUACUUCUGAAAGUACUAAUGAACAAAAGGCUUUAUAUGAAAAGUGGGAGCGCUCUAAUCGCAUGAGUCUAAUGAUUAUGAAAGGUUCAAUCACUCCUGCAAUUCAUGGAGCAAUCCCGAAUUCAGAUAAUGCAAUGACCUAUAUUAAAUAAGUUGAAGAACAAUUCUUAGGAACUUCCAAGUCAUUGGCAAGUACUCUUAUGAUCAAAAUGAUAACAAUGAAAUAUGAUGGUCAUAGUGGUGUACGUGAGCACAUCAUGAAGAUGAGUGAUAUGGCUUCUCAAUUAAAAGGAAUGAACAUGACAAUUUUUGAAGGUUUUCUUGUUCACUUCAUAAUGACUUCCCGUCCUUCACAAUUUGGUCCUUUCAAAAUUAAUUAUAAUACUCAGAAGGAUAAGUGGAAAAUGAGUGAACUAAUUGCAAUGUGUGUUUAAGAAAAAGAGAGGCUUAAAGUGGAAAAGCCCGAUAUGGCUCACCUCACUAUUGGUCCAAAUAAAAAAUCCUUCAAGAAAGGUAAAGGUAAGAAAAAGAAGCAAGGUAAUGAUGUAUCUCAUAAUGGGAAAAAGGACGAAAAUAAGAUACAAUGUCAUUUUUGCCAUAAGAAAGGUCACAAAAAAAUAUAUUGUUUUGGCUUUAAGGCUUGGUUGGAAAAGAAAGGUAAAACUCAAUGCUUAGUGUCUUAUGAAUCUUAUUUAGUUGAUAUACCACCAAACUCUUGGUGGAUUGACACUGGUGCAAGCAUUCACAUAACAAAUUCAUUGUAGGGAUACCUUAUAAGCAAGAGACUAAGUAAAGGAGAGCGAACCAUUACUUUGGGAAAUGGAACGAAAGUGGAAAUUGAGGCUAUUGGCAUUCUUCGUUUAAUUUUGGAUAUUGGUUUCAUUAUGGAUUUAGUAGAUACAGUUUAUGUUCCUGUUUUUACUAGAAACCUAAUUUCAGUUCCAAGACUUGAUUCUUAUGGUUAUGAAUUAAAGUUUGGAAAUAAUGGAGUUUCCUUGUUCUAUAAUUCUUGUUUGGUUUGCUCUGGCACUUUACAUGGUAAUCUUUAUUCAUUGAAUUUAGAUUGCAAAUAUUCAUAGUCUCUUUUAUCUUAUCAUGUGUAUGAAGUCUCUAAAAAAUGAAAUCGAGUGAAUGAAAAUUCAUCCAUAUUAUGGCAUAAGCGACUGGGUCACAUUUCAAGAGAAAGGAUGGAACGUCUUAUUAAAGAUGAAAUUUUGACUUCACUUAAUUUUUCUAAUUUUACUAGUUGUGUUGAAUGCAUAAAGGGAAAGAUACACUAAGGUUAAGAAAAAGGGUGCCUCAAGGGCCACUGAAUUGUUAGAAUGUAUUCAUUCUGACAUUUGGGGACCUUAUUCAAUUCCAACUAUCAAUGGACAUAAGUACUUUAUUAGUUUUAUUGAUGACUUUUCAAGGUAUUCUUAUGUGUAUCUUAUUCGUGAAAAAUAUGAAGCAUUAGAUGUUUUUAAGAUUUAUAAAGUUGUGGUUGAAAAUCAACUCAAUCGGUGAAUUAAAAGUGUAAGAUCUGAUAGAGGUAGUGAAUAUUAUGGUAGGUUCACUGAAUCAGGUCAACUUCUUAGUACUUUUGCCUUAUUUUUAAGAGAGCAUGGUAUCAUUGCAAACUACACAAUGUCUGGAACACCAGAGCAAAAUGGUGUAGUAGAGCGACGGAAUCGUACUCUAAUUGACAUGGUGAGAAGUAUGAUGAGUAACUCAACCUUGCCUGAAUUUUUGUGGGGUGAAGCAUUGAAAACUACUGUUCACAUUCUCAAUCAUGUUACUAGUAAGGUUGUACCCAAAACUCCUUAUGAGUUAUGGGUGGGUAGGAAACCGACUUUGAAUUAUUUACAUGUAUGGGGAUGUCCAGCUGAAGCUAAAUUUUUUAACCCACAAAUAAAGAAAUUAGAUUCUAAAACCAUAAGUUGCAAUUUCAUUGCCUAUCCUGAAAUAUCGAAAUGUUUUAGAUUUUAUUAUCAUGGCCAGGGCCCUAAAAUUGUUGAAACUAGACAUGCUGCGUUUUUGGAAAAUGAAUAUUUUAAUGGGAGAACUGAGCUUAAAAAGUUAACCUCUAAUGAAGUAUCAACACCAAUGAUGGAAUAUGGUGUGACUCAAGAGGUUUCUAGUAAUGAAAAUGAGAAUGUCCCAACUACAGAAGUAUUUUUACGUAGAUCACAAAGAGAGAAAAUACAUGCUAUAUCAAAUGACUACGAAGUUUAUCUUAAUGAGUGUGAUUAUGAUGUUGGCUUGGAAAGUGAUCCUACUUCUUAUGAUCAAGCCAUCAAUAGUGAAAAUUCAACUCUAUGGCUUUAUGCUAUGGAAGAAAAGUUGAAAUCAAUGAAAGAUAAUGAAGUUUGGGAUCUUGUAGAAUUGCCCAAAGGAAUUAAAACUAUUGGUUGCAAAUGGAUUUUAAAAACCAAAUAUGAUUCUAAGGGCAACGUCGAAAGAUACAAGGCCAGGUUAGUUGCAAAAGGAUACACUCAAAAAGAAGGAAUCGCCUACAAGUAAACAUUUUCUCCUAUUUCCAAGAAAGAUUCUUUAAGAAUAGUCAUGGCUUUAGUAGCUCAUUUUGACUUAGAGUGACAUCAAAUAGACGUUAAAACUGCCUUUUUGAAUGGUGACUUGCAUGAAGAGGUUUAUAUGGAUUAACCUGAGGGUUUUCAGGAUAAAGGCAAGGAAUAUAUGGUAUGUAAACUUAAAAAGUCCAUAUAUGGUCUAAAGCAGGCUUCUAGACAAUGGUAUCUUAAGUUCCAUGAAAUUCUCAUCACUUUUGGUUUCAAAGAGAAUCUAGUGGAUCAAUGUAUAUACCUUAAGAUCAGUGGGAGCAAAAUUUGUAUUAUUGUUUUGUAUGUUGAUGGUAUGUUGCUUGCUAGCAACAAUAUGGGGAUGAUUUUUGAGACCAAACAAUUUUUAUCUAAGAAUUUUGAUAUGAAAGAUCUUGGUGAAGCAUCCUAUGUGAUAGGAAUUGAAAUUCAUCGAGAUAGGUCACGUGGAUUAUUAGGAUUAUCCCAAAAGAACUAUAUUGAAAAAGUUCUUAAAAGAUUCAACAUGCAAAAUUGUUCUAGCAAUGUUGCUCCUGUUGUGAAAGGGGACAUAUUUUGUGAACUUCAAUGUCCCAAAAAUGAUCUUGAAAAGAAACAAAUGGACAAAAUUCCUUAUGCUUCUGCAAUAGGGAGUAUCAUGUAUGCUUAAGUAUGCACUCGACCAAAGAUAGCUUAUGUGGUAGGCAUGCUUGGUCGAUACAUAAGUAAUCCAAGUAUUGAUAAUUGGAAAGCAGUUAAGAAAGUAUUGCGUUAUUUACAAGGGACUAAGGACUACAUGCUUACAUAUAAAAGAACAGAUAAUCUAAAGAUUAUUGGUUAUUCUAAUUCUGAUUAUGUUGGUUGUAAGGAUACCGGAAAAUCUACAUCUGGGUAUAUUUUUAUGUUAUCAAAUGGACCUAUUUUAUGGAAGAGCCAUAAGCAAUCAUUGAUAGCUUUUUCUACAAUGGAGGCAGAAUAUGUAGCAUGUUAUGAAGCCACAUGUCAUGUAAUAUGGUUGAGAAACUUUGUAUCAGGGCUUCAUGUUAUUGAUUCGAUAAUGAGACCAUUGAGAAUAUAUUGUGAUAAUAGUGUUAUUGUUCGAUUCUCUAAAAAUAAUAAGACUACAGGAGGAUCAAAGCACAUUGAUAUUAAGUAUUUGGUUAUAAGGGAGAAAGUUCAAAAUGGAGUUGUCUCUAUUGAACAUAUUGAAAAUACACUCAUGUUGGCAGAUCCAUUGGCAAAAGGUCUUCCACCUAAGCUUUUUAUGGAUUAUGUUGCGCACAUGGGCUUGGUGGUAAGUUUGUCAAUUUUAGAUUGAUUAAGAGUGUAAUGUAUGUGAUCACAUUAUAAUGAGAAUAAAGUUCUUGAUUAUGAUAUAUUGAUGAUUAUUAUGUUACUUUUAUACAUCAUUUUUGUGCACAAUCUAGAUGUUUAAAAGUUGAUGGGACCAUUAUGUGAAUGAAUUAGUAUUAUCACCUUAAUCUUUCUAAUGUCAUAAAAGUCAUUGAUUCAUGUUAAUGGAGGUGCUAGUACUAUAAUCCUUGAAGAAUAUUGGAUCAUUGUGUGAUCCAAUCAUUUCAAUGAUUUGGUGUUAGUGGUUCUAUGAAACAUAAUCUUAAUGUAAAGGAUGCCUAUUUUGAGAAAUUGUUAUGGUCAUAUUAUGUUUUAAUCUAUUACAAAUAUAAUUAUGUAGGCCAAGUGAGAGAUUGUUAGCUUUUUUCCUAUAAUGUGUGGUCAUAUAUAAUUAUAUUUGUAUAAAUAUUAUUUAAGGCUAUCAAUUGAUAGGUAGGUGAAUCAAUUGAUUGGGUAUCCAAGAGUCUUAUGUAGGGAAGACUCAAAUUACAAAUGGGGAGUUAGAAAAUUUACUUUAUAUGAAUGAGGUGUCACAACUUUUGUAACCCCAUUAUUAUGAAAUUCAUUUUGUACAUUAUGUUUGAGUACGUAAUGGAGGAAAAUGGAUAUGUAUAACUUAUGCAAUUAUAUAGAUGCAUUCAAGUUCAAAACCCACCAUUACCCAUUAAUUUGUACAUAAUGGGUGUAAAUAAUGAGUAUAACUCCCAUAUAGUCUUUGAUGGAAAGACUAAGAGAUGUACAACUUUUUAUAAAUUGAGGUCCCAAGCCACACUCUCAUUCUUAUGUCAUUUUUGUUGUUUAUUUUUAACAACAUACACCACACAAGUGACCCAUCCACUAUAUGAGAGUAGUGAGUUGAACACCUUGACAAUACAAUUCACAAGGUGACUCAAUCUCACUUUAUGGAUCAAGGUAAGAAUAUGAUCAUUAUUUUAGUAUUUACAUUUAUUUUGUUUUAUGCAUCCAAAUUUUUUUUUAAAAUAAUUAUUUCCGCAUAAAGUUUAUAAAAGUUUGGUUAACAAGAAGAGAAAAAUAAUUGUGUCUUACACAUCAUAUUUUGUAGGGCAAUCUAUCUGAAGUAGCAGUAGCAAUGAAGAGAUUGUCCAAGAAUUCAGCACAGGGUGUUCAAGAGUUCAAGAAUGAAGUUGUUUUGAUUGCGAAACUUCAGCACAAGAAUCUUGUUAGGCUUUUGGGCUGCUGCAUUCAAGGAGAAGAAAGAAUAUUACUCUAUGAUUAUAUGCCUAACAAAAGCUUGGAUUAUUUUAUUUUUGGUUUGACCUUCUUAUCCCUAUCUGUUAGGAUUAGUUUCACUUUUUGAUCACCUAUAUUAUGCUCAGUCGUGUUCAAUUCAAUUCACACAUCUAAGUAAUUAAUUAAGCCUAAUAAAAAAAUUUAUAAAGGCAGAUGUAUUGUGCAGAUCAAAACAAAAGAGCAUCAUUGGCAGGGGAUAAGCGCUGCAAGAUUAUUAUAGCGAUAGCACGAGGGCUUCUCUACCUCCAUCAAGACUCUAGAUUUCAAAUUAUUCACAGGGAUCUCAAGAUAAGCAAUAUUUUACUGGAUGACAAUCUCAAUCCUAAAAUUUCAAAUAAAGAAUUCUCUCUAACCUCCUCUCAACAUAUUGAACAUAAAUUCUAGUUGGUUAAGGCUGCGAAUCACAUACGAAAUACAAUGAAUGAUGAAAUUCAAUCAUCUGAUGACAAUUUUUAGGUAAGAUUUAUAACUUUCAUUUGUUUCUAUAAAGAAAUAUAUAUAUUUAUCAAAAAAUAAAAAUAAAAAUCGGCAACUUGGGUGGGGCUUUGGCGUCCUGGGAGGCAGUAACCACGACAGUGGUUAUGGUUUGGAGUAGGGAUGAAAGUCGGUGACCAUCAACAACGAUGGUUGGGCAAAAUUUUUGCUUAUAAUAAUUAUAAAAAUCAAAUUUUUUAUUAUUAUUUAUAAUAGUUAAUAAAUUACUUUUCGUUUAUAAUAGUUAGAAAAUUCUUCAUGACAUAAAUUUUUGCUUAUAAUAAUUAUAAAAUUCUAAUUCUUUUAUUUGUUUAUAAUAUUUACUAAAUUACUAAUUUUUUGUAAGAAAACAUUAUAGUAGCCACAUAAAUUAUUAAUUUAAACAAGAUUUGUUUUUGCCAAUUUUACUAAUUUAAAUGUUUUAAUUUCUUUUUUUGAAAAUUUUAACUAAUUGCUUCAUGUUUUAAUUUUUUAAAUGCUUUAACUUUGUCAUGUACAUUCUCAUAUAAUUUGUAUAAUGUUAUUGUCUUCAUGAUAUAAAUAGAAUUUUUUAUCUAUUUUGUAAGAUGAAUAUUUUGUGGAGGAAUUUCCAUCACAAUUGAUAGAUUAUGGCAAACAUUUCACUAUACAUAAAAGAUUCAAAGAUCGAGAAGAGUUUAUUAAAGAGGUUAAACAAAUUGGAGAACAACAAAAUAUAUUUGUGAUUAUUUGUCGUUCCACUAAAGCUGAUGGUUUAGGAAGUGGCAAAGUAUGGAUAGGCUGCGAGAUAUUCGAAGGCUAUAGACCGUAACAGAACAUAAAAACCGAUGUGGUGCCUAGAAAUCGAACUAGGACGAAGAAGUGUCAUUGUCCCUUUAUGUUGAAGGGUAUUGAACAUGAUGAUGGAGGACUUUAGUCAUCAUUAAUGGCAACCACAAUCACUACCUUGGAAAGUAUCCUCACGGUCAUUCAUCGGUUGGUAAAUUAAAGGAAAUAGAGUUCAAGAUAGUAGCUACAAUGACCAAAAGUCAUGUUAAGCCACAACUUAUCUUAAAUCACGUCAAACGGGAGAAUCCAAGCAACUUGAGUUGUGGGAAACAUGUCUACAAUGCCAAGCAAAACCUUAAAGAUCAGAAAAAGAAAGGUUGUUCAGUGAUGCAACAACUACUAAAAUUGCUAAUUGAUCAUGGUUAUAUCACCACUGGUAUAGAGAAGUGAUAAGGUUAAUUUUGAGGAAGAGAAGGUAGAAAAGAAGAAGAGGACGGAGAAGGAUUUUUGGAUUUUCUGCUAUGCUUUAUUGAUCAUAAUACCGACUAUUUAUAAUAGUCUUACAGCUGGGAAAUAACAAACAAUGCUAUAACUUAGGAAAGAACUAAGGCCAGUCCACCUGGUAAAACAAAUAAAACAACACAAUGAAGACUAGCUCCGACCAGCUUAUUAAGUGGAGACUAGUUAACAGACUACUGACUAAGUCUAGUAAGGCUCACGUAUCAUGCCUCCCCUCCCUCAAGGAUCCUUGUCCUCAAGGAUAAAAAUCUGGAUAGGACCUGUUGAAGCGUCAUUCGUUCUCCUAGGUUGCAUCUUCCCUUGGAGCUCCCUUCCACUUGAUUAAAACUUUAGACCUUGGACGGUAUUUCCCUUUUUGAAUAACUCGUCGAUCAAGUACAACUUCAGGUUGUGGUAGUAUAACCAAAUCUUCUGAAACUAGAGGAAGUUGAUUCUGAACUAGAGUAUGUACUGGACCCAAAUGUUUCCGCAACAUGCUAACAUGAAAUACACUGUGAAUUUGAGUUCCCGGAGGGAGAGCUAACCAAUAAGCCACUGGAUCUACUUUUCCCAUAAUCAGAUAAGGGCCAAAGAAACGUGGAGCAAGCUUCAUUGAAGCUCGAAAUGCCACAGAAGUUUGGCGAUAUGGUUGGAGCUUCAGAUAGACAUAAUCACCAAUAUCAAAAGAGACUUCUCAUCGUUUCUGAUAUUCUUGACAUUUCAUUCGCUGACUAGCUAGUGAAAGGUUGUGGCGUAGCACACUUAAGAUGGUGUCACGGUCACGAAGGUAUUCAUCAACUACUUGAAUGUGAGAAGUACCUAGAACAUAAGUUAGAAUGCUUGGUGGAGGAAUUCCAUAGACGGCUUCAAAUGGUGUCAUUUUGGUUGAGGAAUGGAUGAAAGUAUUAUAGCUAAACUCAGCCCAGGGAAUCCACUCGAGUCAUUUUCGCGGUUGAUCACCUGCAAAACAUCGCAAGUUUUGUUCCAAAGUGCGGUUUACUACCUCGGUCUGACCAUCAGUUUGUGGGUGGUAACUUGAGCUCAUGCGAAGCUUGGUUCCUUGUAGCUGGAAUAGUGUUUGCCAAAAAGAACUGAUAAACACUUUAUCUCGAUCACUCACUAUGGAUGUCAGAACACCAUGGAGGUGAACCACGUUGGCUAUAAAUGAUUUAGCAAUAGUGACUGCGGUAUAUGGAUGUCUUAAGGCAACAAAAUGAGCAUAUUUUGUUAAGCGAUCAACAAUUACCAUGAUGACUGUGUGUCCAUUUGACGGUGAUAAUCCUUCGAUAAAAUCCAUUGAUACUUCAGUCCACAUCUAGGUAGGAAUGGGUAAUUGUUGAAGUAAGCCAGCUAGUUUCAUGCAGUCGGUUUUGUACCUUUGACAUACACUGCAUUGUUGUAGAAACUCUUUCACUACUCGACGCAUUGCUAAGGCAUGCGAGAAAGUGUUUUAUGGAAUCCAAAAUGCCCCCUAGUUGGUGAUGAGUGGCAAUCUGCAAUUAUUUGGUGAAUUAAAACUGCAGUGGGACUCAAGUAGACUUUGUUGUUUUUGAACCAAACUUCAUCUCGAAGUGUUAGCUGGUAAGGAGAUUGUGUUUGGCUCAACUUCUUAUAAAAAUGAUCUUUUUGUACUUUCUCUUAUAAUUUUGGCCACCAAUCUGCACGUGGCAUAGAAAUGGAUAAGAACUGAAAUUCAACCACACAAGAAAGGAAGUCAACAGCUUGAUUUUCAGGCCCACGCUUGUACCCAAUUUCAUAGUCAUAUCCAAGGAUCUUUGGGAGCCACCGGGUUUGUGCUGGUGUGGUAAUUCGCUGCUCAAGUAAAUAUUUGAGGCUCCUUUGGUCGGUGCGCACCGUAAAUGGUUUGCCCAGAAGAUAUGGACGCCACUUUUGAAUUGACUUGACAAUUGCAACAUUUCUUUCUCAUAUGUAGAUAACAACAAGGCUGACAUCUUCAAAGCUUCACUAAAGUAAGCUAUGGGCCGAUUAUUUUGAGAAAGGACUGCUCCGAUUCCAAUCCCACUAGCGUCGCAUUCAAUUACGAAUAUUUGAGAAAAAUCUAGAAGGCCUAGGACUGGUGGAGAUGUGAGUGUUUUCUUUAGUCUUCGAAAAGCAAGUUCCGCUGCAUCGUUCCAUUUAAAUCCUUCUUUAGACAAGAGUUGCGUUAAUGGAGCCGCUAUACCUUCAAAAUGACGGAUAAAUUUGAGGUAAUACCCUGCUAGCCCGAGAAACCCAUGCACUCCUUUUGUUGUGGAAGGUGUUGGCCAUUCAAGAACAACUUGUAUUUUUGUUGGGUCUACUACCACUCCAUGUUCGGAAAUGAUGUGUCCCAAAUAGUCCACCUGAGAAACACCAAACCUGUAGUUGGUUGCCUUAGCAAACAAGUGAUUAGUUUUUAAAAUCUUAAGAAUGGUCCGGAGAUGUGAGAGAUGGUCAUCCCAUGUCUUUGAAUAAACUAGAAUGUCAUCAAAGAAUACCAAGAUAAAUUUUCUGAGAUACGUGCGGAAGAGGUCAUUCAUAAGGCUUUGGAAGGUGGAUGGUACAUUGGUAAGGCCAAACGACAUUACAAUGAACUCAUAGUGCCCUUCAUGUGUUCGAAAAACUGUUUUUGAAAUAUAUUCUUCAUAUACCCGAAUCUAAUGGUAUCCGGCCUUCAAAUCUAACUUGAAGAAGAAUUUGGCUCUGUGAAGUUCAUCAAGGAGUUCAUCAAUUACUGGAAUUGGAUAUUUAUCCUUGACUGUGAUGCAGUUCAGUGCUCGAUAGUCAACACAAAAUCGCCAAUCACCAUCCGCCUUCUUGACUAACAAGACAAGUGAUGAAAAUGGACUUUUACUAGGCCUUAUCAAUCCUGAUUGUAGUAGUUCUCGCACCAAUUUCUCAAUUUCUGUUUUCUGGUAGUAUGGGUAACGGCAGGGUCGCACACUCACUGGUUCAAUGUUUGGCUGUAAUGGGAUGCGGUGGUCAUGUGGUCUUUUUGGGGGUAAGCUGGUGGGUAGUUCAAAUACUUUAGAGAAUUCGGUUAAGAGAUGGGUUAUGUUAGGUGACAGAAGACUUGGUUGGGGUACAUUGGAAGAGAGUAAAAUUUGGAAGAGGAAUCCAGUACCUUGAAAAGAAUUAAAUUCUUUAUCAGAUAAGGCUUCUAGAGCAGCAUGCUUCAGACCUUGGAAGAUGCAGGAUUUUUCUCCAAUUUUAUAGGUCAUGGUCAGUUUUUUGUAGUCCAUCUCUAUUGGCCCAAGGGUCUCCAACCAUUGCACACCUAGGACCAAUUGGCAAGCUGAAACAGGAAGCACAUAAUAGUCAGCGGUGAUCGAUUUACCUUGGAUGGAAAUGGUGACAGUUGGACACAAUCCCACGCAUUCUAUUUUUUCUUAGUUGGCAACCAUGACUUGAAAUUUCUUUGCUGGAAUGAUGGGUAAUCCAUGCUUGGUGACUAUGGCCUGAUCAAUAAAAUUGUGGGUGCUCCCACCAUCUAUGAGCACAGUUACAUUUUUGUUUUUGAGUUUGCCUAAUACUUUUAAGGUGAUUGGUUCCAGCGAUUGCAUGAAAGGAGAUUUCAGGCAAGGUUUCUUGGUUAUCAGGUUCUAUUUGGGGUUGUUCAUCCUUGUCAACGUUUGAUUGAUCCAAAUCCUCCAUCAUGAAUAUUUGUGGACGUUCACAUCGAUUACCCGGAACAAACUUAUCAUCACAAUAGUAGCAUAGUCUUUUUUCACGACGCUCUCUCGCCUCUUGGUUAGUUAUUCGUCGGAAGGUGUUUGGGUUAACAUUUGCACUUUGACUUCCACGCUGAUUAGGAGGAGGGCUUAGGACUCCGGAAGUAGAGUUGGGACCUGCUCUUGAUGUUGAAAUCACUGGUUGAGGUCGACUUGGGUAAUUCAGUUUCCUCUGAAGUUGAUUUCCCUCUUCUAUCAGUCGAGCAACUCCUAUAGCGUACGCCAGCACCUUUGGUUGUUUAAUUUUUACAUCUAGGCGAAUGUAGUCUCGAAGACCUGUAAUAAAACAACCAACAAGGAAUGCCUCAGGUAAGCCAUCAACUUGAUGAGACAGUUUUUCAAAAGUUUCAUGAUAGGCUGCCACAGUCGAAGUCUGUCGGAGUCAUGUGAGAGCUUCAGAAGGGUCCUCAUAAUCAGUUGGUCCAAAGCGAAGAAGGACGACUUUGGUGACUUCAUCCUAAUCUUGUGGUCCACGGAAUUUCAUGAACCAUCAGUGCCACUGUAGAGCUAUGCCUUCUAAAUGGAAGGAGGCUAGCUGAACUCGUUGGUCCGUACUGAUGUUUUUAAAUUCAAAAUAUUGCCCUGCUUUGUAAAUCCACCCGAUUGGGUCUUCUCCAUUGAAUUUUGGGAAGUGUAGCUUGAGGUAGGGGUGAGGGUCGUUUGGGGUAUAGGGUUUCACAGUGCUUGAGGGAUGUGAUGUGUCUCCUUGGUAAAAGGGGUUAAUUUCAGGUGGGGUGGCUGGGGUAGUGUGAGAGACUCCCAAGACUUGUAAUUCGGUUAAUACUGAUUGCAGGGCAGCAUUGAUUUGAUCGAAACUGGACUCAUGUCGAGCCAAGGCUUCAUUCACAUCAUUGCGAAAUUCAGCAUUAGUUUUAUCACUAGUGUCCAUUGUCAGAACCUGGCUUUGAUAGCAAAUGAUAAGGUUAAUUUUGAGGAAGAGAAGGUAGAAGAGAAGAAGAUGAUGGAGAAGGAUUUCUGGAUUUUCUGCUAUGCUUUAUUGAUCAUAAUACCGACUAUUUAUAAUAGUCUUACAGUUGGGAAAUAACAACAUGCUGAAGACUAGCUUCGACUAGCUUAUUAAGUGGAGAAUAGUUAACAAACUACUGACUAAGUCUUACAAGGCUCACGUAUCAAGAAGAUGCAGAAACUAACACAGUGAGUGAUAUAUUAUUUGCUCAUCCAAAAUCUAUUCACUUAUUGAAUGUUUAUUCAUAUGUUUUGAUCAUGGAUAGUACUUACAAGACUAACCGAUACUUAAGCCUCUUAUGUACCUAAAGUUAUCAUGUUUACUACUAUAUUUCAAGCUUCAAGUUAGAUCUUUGAAUGCAAUUGACCAAAUUAGGACUAUAUAUCUUUCUUUUUUGGGGGAAUUGUUCAUCAAAGUAUAAUUUUUUUUCCUUUAGGCAUGGGACCAAUGGAAAAACAAUAGAGAACUGUAGUUGAUUGAUCCAGCACUAAAUGAGAUAUCUUCAAGACAUAUUCUGUUAAGGUACAUCAAUGUAGCCCUUCUUUGUGUUCAAGAAAGUACAAAUGAUAGGCCCACCAUGUCCGAUGUUGUCUCCAUGUUUGGCAAGGAAACUGUACUUUUAUCUUCUCCAAAUGAGCCGACCUUCUCAAAUCUAUCGAGUAUGAAACCACAUGCAUCUCAAGAUAGGCUUGAAAUUUGUUCCUGAAAUGAUGUAACACUUUCAAGCGUGGGAGCACGAUAAGUGUUCUAAAUUGCAGAUUGCAUAUGCUUAAAUGUCUUCAGCGUAUUGUCUAGUAUUAUAUCGGCCAUCAAGUUGAUUGUUGAUGUACUGAACGUGUGAACUUUUGUAUGUAUUUUUCUUUCAAUGCAGUUCAAUAAUGUGCUUACUUUUACUCAA